AAAUCUCACUUUUUAUGAGUUUAUAAAAUCUCACUUUUGCAGAAUCCAAAAAUAACCAAUACUAAUCACACAAAAAAAAUAAAAAUUAUUGCUGUCACGACAUUACACACUUUCUUCGCGGUUUAGAAAGGUAGAACAUUUUGAAGUUCCUCAAUACAAAAUGCGUGCUACUACUAAAUUGGCACAAAUAAUGCCUCAUAGAAAAGGCCAUCAAUUUAGACGGCAAUUUUGUCAAAAUUUCAACAAUUGAAGAAACAAUGAUCACAAACGGAACAGGUGAAUUUUGAAGUUGAAUAAAUCUUGAGAUGUAUACAACAAAGCUUUGAAACUUUAUUCUUCACAAUUUGAGCACGCACUGAAUAUUAAAGCAAAUAUAUAUGAAAAAAAAAUCAUAAAGCUACCAAAAGGAACCACAAAAUCAUCAAUAUUAUCGUUUAAUAUGGAGAACGGCCUGCGCAUCCAAAUUGUGCGAACUGAACACGUUGAACAAAGCUUCUUUUUGUUUUUUUGGAUUUUUGGAAUUUUUUUAAAAUCAUUUAUGUUCGCUGCCAUCUUUUUCUUCGCUGGCGUCUUCAUUGGCACCUCCUCGUCUGUAGUUUGCUGUGCCUAUAUAUCCAACCAAUAAAUUGGGCAUUAAAUACGAAUGAUGAAUAAAAUGAUUAAAAAACAAACAGAGAAAAUUAUAAUAUAACACAUAUAUAUAUUGAAAGAGAAAUUUUGAUUUUAGGAUAGAUCAAUUAGCUAUCACAAACGAAAACAUGAACCAACUAUGUAUAGAGUCAAUUAAUUUAAAGUUCUCAAGAGUUGACCUGCGCUCCUGAAUUCUUGGACUCAUCUAUCUCCUUCUGAAUUUCCACGAAGCCUGGGACAAUUACUAACAAAUACAGACUUGGCAGAUGGAAAUGGGAUCUGAUAACCCGCAGGCCAAAAGUUGGUGAGGUUUGGUAAGUCUUCCAGUAUCAAGUACCAAAGUUCAUUCAUAACAAUUUCAUUGUAAUCCGUGACGUCUGCUCCAUCUUUAUGCCAGAAUACUUCUUCUAAUUCAUCAUUACCUAUUAUCCAUAUGUACUUCAGUUUUUGAAGACUUGGAGCUACGCUGAUAUGAAAUAGAUGCUUUAGUUUGGGGCAAUAACCGACAGAGAUCUCUGUGAGUUUUGGGAAACAUAGGGGUUGGAGAUGAUCCUCAUCAAUGAUUUGCUCUAAUUCCAAGCAGUUAUCAAUAACCAGCUUCUCCAAUUGCAACAGAUUUCGAGCAAGUGUUGAUGAGAAGAGACGUCUCAGCAUAGUGCACCCGUCCACUCUUAAAUAGGUAAGACUUUGCAGGCUAAAAUUAUGCGUAGGACCUUCGUGAUAUAAUACUUGCAGUUCUCGAAGGUUUUCCAAUUGCAACCUCUUCAAACAUGGGAAUAGUUUGUUUUCUUGUCCCUCGGCGAUAAUAGCUUCCAAUUGAAAUACCACCUGUACUCCAAUUUCCAUAAUACCCAAAUAUUCCAAAUUUUUUAAUCCGUGCUUCAACAGUGCUGGAAUUGUGUCACUCAAAUGGGAACAAUUGUCCACAUCUAGAGUAUUUAAGUUCUGAGACAAAUAAAUAAAUAACUUGAUGCAAUUAAAAUUUAUUAGCAGCUACGAUUAUCACAUGAUAACACCGCAAAAAUAUCAUAAUACAUAUGUAAACUAAUAAAAUAAUUAAAAAAUAAUGGAUUUAAAAAAAAGAAAUUAGUUAAAAGAGAUCAUGUGAAGUGAUAUAAAUGUGACAGUAGAUUGUUUUAGAAAAAAAUAUUAUUCUAUUAAUUUAUAUGGCUUGAUCAACUAUUUAAUUGAAUCAGAAGUAUUUGCAUCAAUUCUUUCUAAACCAAAAUGAGAUAUGACUUUUAUUUGAAGAAUGGUUUUAAGCCCUAUAAUAAAGAAAUUUCCCUAAGAUAUCGGAGCAUUAUUGUUAUCACCGCCACAUCCACCACCACCAUCAUCAUCUCCAUAGGAUCAAAUAAUUAAUGGCUGAUCAUAAAAUUUAUUGCUAAACUACCAUUUUCAGUAAAAUUAAAGGAAAAGAGAAAAAAACAUAAAUACAAAUAAACAUACCUUUUCAAGAUACUGCAAAUUGGCUUCAAGUUCAGUACUGUUGACGGUCAAGUUGGGACAGUAAUGAAGCUGUAACUCUUCCAAUGCUGGCCAAAUUGAACAAUAAUUUUCUGAACAGAAGCUGGUGAGUUCUGAGAGAUUAUCAAGUGUUAAUUCUCUCAACAAAGGGAGGGCGAGCAUCGUAUUUCCAUCUCCGACACUUAUUUCCCCUUCAUUAUGAUCAAACUUUGCUUCGACAAUAUAUUCCAGUCUCUCGCAUCCACUUACAUUGAGACUUUUAAGCUGCUCCAAACUUCUAGCUUGUGACAACGUGAAGAUAUAUGUCAACUUGUUGCAGCCAUGCACAUUCAAUUUUGUAAGAGUUUGGAGACUGAUCACAUGUUGGGCGGGCGCCUUCCAUAUCCACUUCAGUUCUGGUAAGUCCCACAUAGAUAACUCUGCUAAUCUUGAGAGACUCUUUCCAUGCGGCGACUUAGAGGCUUCCAUUAUGCAUUCUAAAUCUUCGCAAUCGCGGACAUCAAGACAAGUCAACUCAUUUAAGCCCCUUUCAUCUAUGCUUGGCACGAUAUUAUGACAACCUAUUAACCCCCUCAAACAAAGAAAUUCCAGAUUUUGAUACAAUGCUGAAAAAAUAACGAGCGAGGUCGAAGUUUCAAUCUACGAAGUUCAUCCGACAAUUCUUCAGGAAUUUCAAUGGGAGAAUCCUCGAGAUAAAGAAGUUCAAGUCUCUUCAACUUUCCAAGAAAAGACGCGUCACUCACAUCACAUCGAAUCAACUGCAGAACUCGGAGGUUUUUGUCGAGGAAUCGAAGCGAUUUUAGUGAAAUGACUCCACCUAUUAUAGUAACAACUUUCAAUGCUGGCAUCCCUUUAAAAAAAUGUUCUGGAAUUUGCAAUUCAUAAUUAUAUACGGUGUUCACCAAUCGCAGAAUAUGAAGGUUAGGGCAUAUCAAACCACUAGGAAGCUCUUCUUCUUUUUUAUCUACGACCAAAGACAGUCCCCUACACUGUUCCAGGCCUUCUUCCACCGCCCGUUCCACCAUUUCGAUGCCAGUUAUACUAAAAAAUCUCUCCUCUUCCUCCUCCUUCUUUUUGCUUAUCCAUAUGGCUACAUCACGGACUACGUCAUGAAUUUUCACAGAUCUGUCAUUGCCAGUGUCUAACAGCAAUGAAGAAGCUUUGAGCUCUUUCAUCGUUCCACUCAGUAGGCUCCUGACUUUUUCAAUUGACUCAGCUCGAUACCAUCUCAACCCCACUGCAUAUCCAACCAAAUCAUCCAAAUAUAUCUCAUAAUCCUCUGGAAACAAAGAACACAACAAGAAGCACGACCUGGAAUCCUCACCAUUCAAAUAAUCGUAACUAAAUUUGAGACAAUGGUAAACGUCUUGGUCCUCCUUGCCAAUUCCUUCUAUUGUAUUGAGUUUUGAAUCUUGUAGUUUAUCUAGAGCUAGGUUCCACUCAUCAAAUCCUUUAGCUCUUAGUGCACUUCCAACAGCUUUAAUAGCUAAAGGCAGCCCCUUACAUUCAUUAGCAACCUGUUCUGAAACACCAAUCAAGGUUGAAUCAGCAACAUCAAUGCCAGCAAGCUUUCUUAGUAAAGCCAAUCCUUCUUCUCGCUUUAGAACACCUAGUUGAAUCUGCGGGUCACAACGCAUGCGAUCACAAACUGGCUGCAGGCGAGUGGUUAGAAGGAUUUUGCAACAAUUGUCUCCAUCACCAACAGGAAUACCUACUGUCUUCAAGUCGAGUUCAUUCCAGACAUCGUCAAGUAUUAUGAGUAUCUUGCUGCUUUUACUCUCAGAAAACAUCAAGCGCAAUCGGUCUGCUCUCUCUUUUUCAUCUUUCUCAUUUAGUGCCCAGCCUAACGACUUUGCUAGCUCACCUUGAACCUUUAUUAUAUCUGGAUCCUGAGACACAGUGGCUAUCCCCACCUCAUCGAAAAUCUUUUCUUGCCGAAGUUGAUUGCCCACAAAGUUUGCCAAAGUCGUCUUUCCGACACCACCGAUACCAUACAAUCCCACCAUCUUCGUGCUAUCUCUUUUCAGUUCUUCAAUAAUCUGAUUGCAAGUCGAUUCUGUAGUCUCGAAAGACAUAAAAUGUCUUGGUAUAUGCAAUUCUUUGUCUGAUGGUAGAGGUUUAGGAAGGGCAACUGAGCUGAAUUUGCUGCAUUUCUUUUGUAUAUCGGACAACUUGCUAGUCUUCUUUGAUGCUUUUCUACCUAGCCAAUAUCGCCAACCCCAAUUAGGACACCAUCCAUUAAGACAACUCUUCUUUUCAUCUAUCUUUGCUUUCAAAUUUCGAACGUCGGCCAUUUCUUUGUCUACAUCCUCAAGCCAUGUCUUGACAUCUUCCUCGACUUCUAUAGCACGGUGUAUUUGUCGUUCUUGUUCUACUCUUUUAUUGAUGCCAUCUUGUGCCUCCUUCAAAUUAGUUUCUUGAUCCUCAAGUUCUUUAAUAACGCUGUUGAAACAGAGCAGAUAACGAGCUUGGUUUAUGGUUGCAUCCACCAACAACUCUCCAAGCCUUGAUGCAACACCUGACAAAAGUUCCAUGCUAUUUAUCUGCAAUUAAUAAAGUUGAUCUCAGUAAGCUAUAAGCAAAACAAUGAGGCUUGAUCACAAGAUCGAACGAGAAAGUUUAAUUACCUUUUUCUAUUCUGUGAAUGCACGUUUAUUGACACUAGCUUUGACCAGUAAGAGCAAAAUGCAAACGCCGAGCUUUAAGUGGCCAUUAGCUGCAAAACAAAAGAGAGGAAAUAAGGUAAUUUAUUAUUAUUAUUAUUAUUAUUAUUUUUAAGGACGGAUAAAGGUUAGCUAGCUUGCAGACAAAUUUACUAAACUCAAGACAAACCUAAGAGUUUUCCUAAUUUGUUCAAACAUGGAAUAAGCGUUUCACAACAGUAUAUCCAUAAAGGCCCCAGCGAACGUAAUAUGUGCUGGACUAUAUUGAAAUUAGAUUAUUUUAGAAAAUUUUAAAUAAAAAAUAUCAAACAACAAAGAAAUCUAAUAGAAUCUGGAUAAACAGCAUGGGAGAAUAUGGUAAAAUUGAUAAACUUGGUUCAAAAAUUACAAUUCUUUUUGAGAUUUGAACCAACGAUUUUGACUAAGGUCUCCUAAGCCACAAAGCAUAACUCUUACUACUAAAUUACGCGCAUUUUGUUACAUUUAAAUGUGGUCAUAUUCUUUUUAUUAUCUUUUUUUAGAAGGGACUCAUGGUAUACUUAAAAGAAAUAAUAAUGAUUUAGAUGGGGCUGAAGCCCACUCAUGAAAAAAUUUAAAGGUUUUCAAGAUAAUAACCGAUUAUUUUCCACCCAAUAUUCUAAUAGAAUGGUGCCAGAAUUCUCAAAUAAUAUCUUAAUAUUAUUUAACUGGUUGGCACCCACCUAUUGGAUGAUUAAUUUAAUAAUUUGUUACAUUAUUUAAUACUCCAUCUCACUAUCUAGUGAUGUAAAUGGUGGAGAAGGAUCGUCUCCUAGACUUUUUUCUCUCACUAAUCUCUUAGUGAAAUAAGUGGCCGAAAUUGAAUUUUAAUUUUUGAUAUUGACAAUUAAAUUGGCUUGUUUCACAUUAUUAACAAUUAAGCCAAUUUUUUUUUUCUCCUUUUUUCAAUUAGAUUUGGAAGGCUAUAAGAGAGUAGGAGAGAAAAAACACUAGAAGGAGAUCUUAAUCCAUAAAUAGUACCUUAUUUGGGAUGGUAAAGAUUGAGAUAAAUUUCCUCUUAGUCUCUAAAAUUUUGGCCUAUGCGCAGCCAUAAUUUUAGUAUUUUUAAAAAGAAUGGGAUUAUUUACAUUCUAAAAUCUAUUUUGAAUACUCUUUUACUCAACACACUCAUUCAAUAAAUAAAUUUUAAAAAAUAAUUUUUACUUUACACACUAUUUCGAGAGUCAAAACUAUCCUUCAUUAGGACCAUUUCAUUAACUAAUUAUUUUCUAUUGACACCCAUAAAAUAUUCAUCAUUCUUGAACCAUGUGGCGUUAAUUAAUGAUUCCGAAGCAUUAUCAAGAUUCAAGAUUUAUGUUGAAAUUCUUUCAUCUGACAUUUGAACCCAGCCACUAGCUAUAUACAUAUAUACUUUCAAAUGCAGCUCUGGGAAUAUUUUGUGACUGAUUUUAUAAAGUGUUUUAGUUACAUUAAUGCAGUGAAACAAUAAAGAGUACGUGGCUUGCUGAUUUCCAAAUCAAGUUGGGGGAAAAAACAGAGCAUUUUUCUUUUAUAAUGGAUUAGAUUAGACGAUGAAGGACAAAUUAUUCGCGAUUAUUAGUACUUUUGUGUGUGUUAAGAGUAAUAAUAUUAUUUUAAAUUAUAUUAAUGCCUUUCGUAGUGAAUUCAAUUAGGGUUAUUUUAGUAAUAUAAAUUUUCAUUAAAAUUAAAGUGUCCAAAUUAUAAUUUAGAUUUUUCAAAUGUAAAAUAAUAUUUUUUUAUCUGAUAUAAAUUAAAAUUCAAACAAAUGUAUCAUGCAACAAAUGAAAAGUAAAGAAUAUUAAUUAGGUUUUAAUAGAAACAAAUAUAAAUAGAUGUUUUGAGUAGUUAUUUUUUGUUAUUUUAUGCUAUUGGUAGUUUGUGGAUUAAAUAAUUUGUAUAAGGAUAAAUGGGGGUUUGUAUAAUUUAGACGAAGAUAAUCUCCAAAAUAAGCUUAUAUGUCGAAUUAAAAAGUGUUAUAUAAGUAGUAAUUGUAUUUGCAUCAAAAUUUUUAAUAAAAUUUAUUUAGAAAUUGGCCAAUUGGGUUUUAUGAAGAAAAUAGAGGGGCAAGUAAUUAUGUAACAAGUAAUUUGUAGGUUGUGGUACUUCUCCAUACUUUAAAUCACUUUUAUCUAAUCAAUUGAUAAAUAUUUUUUGGGCACCAACAAAAUGAAAAGAAAAGUUUAAAAAUAAUUCUGAAAUUAAAAACGUUAGGUAUUGCCUAUAAGCUAUACAAUUUUACCUUUUCUUCUACACAAUUAGUAUUAGAAAUAAAAGUAGUUUCAAAAUAAAUGUAAUUAGGAGGUAAUAUUAUCUCAACAAUACCUUAUAGGGAAAAAGACAUCUACAUCCUAAAGUUUGGAGAAAUGGUCGUAAAGACCCUAGGUUUUCAGAAAGGGAUAUCAAGACCCUUUUUUUAUCGUAAUACCCUUUAAAUAUAGUAAUUAGAAAAUUGACUUUAAGAAUUUUUAAUUGACAAAUUUAAUAUAAAUAAUAUAAUCUAUCUAGUAGAUUAAUAAUAUUAACAAUAAAAAUAAUAUUAAAAUUUAAAUUCUUAUAUUUAUUUUAAUAAUAUAUUUUUUUUUUUAUAAAGAUUUUAAAUAAAUCCUUGGGUUAAAUAGGUUUUCCAGUUAACAAAAUAUACCCCUAUUAAUAAUAUUGAAAUUACUUUCUACAUAAUAUUUAAAAUAAUUAUAAUUUAUUUAUUUUAAUAUUAUGUUUCUAUUUAUUAAAAAUUACUUUAUUAGAGUAAAUUUUUAUUAAUUAAAGCUUUAAAAUCAAUUUUCUAAUUACUAAAUUAAAAGGGUAUUAUGGUAAAAAAGGGUCUUUCCUUUUUGAAAACUUAGGGUUUUUGCGACCAUCUCCGCAAACUUUGGAGUAUAGGUGUCCUUUUCCCUACUUCAUAUAAAGAUAUUCCAUAAGGUCUUAUAAUAACUUAUAUUAUAUGAAUUUAAUUAAAAGAUCAUUAAUACUUAAAUAAUAAUAAUUAUAGAAGACAUUGUAAUAAAUUAUUUGAUAUAUAUUAUUAAUGAUACUAUAUAUAUGUGUAUAUAACUACAUGAUGGCUUGGAUAUAUAUUGUUUAGUGGUAAUAAAUUUUUUUAAAAAAAUUUAAACUAAUGAUUUCAUGUAAUUCAAUGGUGGAUGAUUUAAAAUCAUAAAAUAUUGUUUUGACUUUCAAUAUCAACCGUUAGACUGUGAGAAAUUAAUUGCUCAAUAUUUUGUGUUAAAUUUUUGAAUUAAAAUAUCCCAAACCAUUUGUUUUACUUAAAAUACAAAAAAUAUAUAAAGAAAUUUUCUCAUUAAUUUUCAUAUUUUUAUUAGAGAUAAUAUUUUAUGUAUCGUCACCAUUAAUUGCCAUCAUUAAAGUAGUGACUCUUAGUAAUAUAAAAUUUUAUAAUUAGUUAAUUGCAAUCAAAGGAUAUCAAUAAAAUAAUAUUUUAUGAUUCAUAAAUUAAAGCUAAUUAAGAAUAUAUGUUUGUUUUAACUUUUAUGAAAUCAACUAAGUGAUAUUAGAAAAUAAAAUGAAAAUAAACUAGUGAAACUUAAAUUUUAUAAGGUUUGAAUAAUUUUCUACCAUGUAAGAAUAUUAAUUGUGACAUAAACCAUAGUUUCAUGGUAUAUGUAUGCCGAAUGGGGUAACAAAUAAUAUAUACUUCACGAUCAUGAUAGUAUAUAAAGUAGUGGAUAUUUUAAUAUAUAACAUAAAAUUCUUUAAGACAUAGGUGGUCAAUUAUAUAUUUUUUAGGACAUAGACAAUCUCAAUCAAGAGUUUAUUGAUGUGAAUAGAUGGCAUUCACUUAAAUGUAUACACUUAAUUGUGUUGUUUAUUGGUAUUAGAUAUUCACUUAAAUGUAUAUACUUAAUUGUGUUGUUUAUUGGUAUUACAUGUAACAAAAUUUUAUAUUAAAUUUUGAAGUUUUAUAUUGUUGUUUCUAUUGAAUUUAUAAAUACAAUAAAAUUAUGGCCAUCAACAAUCACAACCAACUGCCACCAACAAUUAGAUUCUCAUAUCCGUUGACGACAAUUUUUUAUACUAUUGGAACUCCAAUCUUUGAAGCUACACAAUAGUUAAAGUACCAACAUCACUAGAACUUCCGUUCAUUGUAGAUCUAUAGUCAAAGUUUCGAAUCUUAAAAAUUUGACAGCAGAUUUAUGUCAAAUGAAAGCUUGUUACCAGUGAUUCUUAUACAAUUAUGUUGUUAUAGUAAUAAGGAUUCUAGUGGUACUAAAAUGCACUCCAUUAGACAUAAAGAUCCGACGACUAGUGGCGACAACAACUAUCAUUAGUGACUUGGAGGUAAUUGCCAUUAAUAAAUUAUUUUUAACUUAAUAAUUAAUACAAACAAAUAAAAAAGUAAUUUAAUGAAAAUUAAUGUAAUAAAUAAUUGAAUUAAAAAAAUUAAAACCUAAAUUCUCGACCAUUUAUCCGUAUGUUUCGAAUCCAACGUUCAAAAUUGGAAUAAAACAUAGUAUAGCCAUUGGAAGUAAAACAAACAUUAAAGAGACUAGGAAAAAAUAUCUCAUACCUUCUAUAAUGAUACAUCCUCAAUCACUGCAGAAAGCUCCAAUUAAAAAGUCGCACAAGUUCGGAGAAAAUUACCUAACAACACAAAUAAACAUCAAAUCAAAGCAACAUAGGAUCCAGCUAAUUAACAUCAUAAGUAAGUCCUUGUUCUCAGUCAAAUCUUGCAUUCUUAGGAUAAAAAAAAAAUUGAAAGAAUAACGGUAACUGGAAAGUUUGACGACAUAAAGAUCUAGCUAAAUUUUAAGAAGCAAAAGUAAAUAAUGAAAGCUCAAUAAAAGAUCAUCAGCAUUAACAUACCGAAAUGAGAGCAGCUCACAGAACUGGUAAUUUCCAAGAACAGGAAAAAUAAGUGAGCUGAUAUUGAGGACAACUAAAGUAGUCAUGGAGUAAUUUGCUAUUGAGGACACCUAAAAUAAGAAAAUUAAUUAACAUUGCUCUAUACACCAUUUCAAUAAUUUGACUAUUAAAAAAAAAAUCUAUCUAGAUCACGAUUUCUCAAAAUGAUGCUUUUUCUAAUUAAAUAAAUCAAAAUGCUUGCUUCUUUCUUUUUCAGAAAAGAAAAAGUGGCAAUGGCAUCAAUUUUUUGCUAGAUUAUUAUCACCAAAAGCACAAGCAAGGAAUAAGGAUACUCUCUGAAACCAACCAUAUAAAGAGUAGAAAUAUUUGUUGGAGUGUAAGGUAGAAGUAAGUGGUCAAUUGUAAAUAAGUCUUUCUUUUUUCUUUGUUGUUUUUUCAUUUUUUGAAUGUGAACUAAAUAAAUUUAAGGGUGAAGCUAUUACACCUUGAAAACUAUGACUGAACACCCAUUUUUUUAAUUAAAUUUUUAUUACUAAAAUAACCAUGGAGUAAUUUGCUUCUAAGGAAAACUAGAAUAAUAACAUGAAUAAUGAUUGCUCUAUACACCCUUUUAUACGUCUAUCUUCUUCUUAAUUUCAUAAUUUGGCUGUCAAAAAGUAAUCUAUCUAGAUCACGAUUUCUCAAAAUGAUGCUUUUUAUAUCUAAAUAAAUGAAAAUGCUUGUUUCUUUCUUUCUCGAAAAGAAAAAGUGGCAAUGGCAUCAAUUUUUGCUUGCAAGCACAGCAAGUAAUCAGUAUACUCUCGGAAACUAACCAUAUUAAGAGUAGAAAUAUAUUGGGUUAUCACGAAGUAAGUUAGAAAUCAAUUAUAAAUGGUCUUUUUUUUUUUUUUUAAUGUGAACUAUAUAAAUUUAAGGUGAGGUUAUUUACACUUUGAAAAACAUUCUAAAAACCAUUAUUUCAUUAAAUUUUUUAUUAUUAAAGGUCCGUUUGCUGCCCCAAACGCUCUCUAAAAUAGCCAUGGAGUAAUUUCUUACUGAGGAAAACUAGAAUAAUAAAAUCAAUUAUCAUUCUGCCAUGACCCCGUUUCUAGAUGUAUCUUCUUCUUGAUUUGGUAACUUGGCUGUCAAAAAGAAAUCUAUCUAGAUCCCGAUUCCUCAAAAUGAUGCUUUUUCGGAUGAAAUAAAUGAAAUUGAACCUACAAUCUGUCACAAACACGUUAUAAUGAGCCUAAUGAAAAGCAGUAUGAGAAAUUUUGCUUCCAUGUUGUUUCUUCCAUAUGUAAAGGUAGUAAAAAGAAAUUUAAGUCCUAGAAACAAAUGGAUGAAGAAUUAUCAAUAAUUAAAAAUUAAAAAAAAAAACAGAGUUAUUAAAGAAUCACAGUUCCACCAAAAAUUAAGAGUUAUUUUAUUUGGUGGUUUCCUUAUCCCGAAGCAUUACUUGUAAAUAUGUGCUAACAAGUAAUAAUUAAGAAAGUUAAGGCCAAUCAUUUAGAAGGGAGAAAAAUGGAAACAUCCGGAAUAUUGUUAUGUGUUUUCAGUGCGUAUCUACCAAUCAAUAAUGAAAAAUUAAAUACGCAUGUGACGAAAAUUUAAUAAAGAGAACUGGACGUGACAAAAUUUUUAUUAUUCUAUCUUUUUCUCCUCUGAAACUUCCUUAAUUUGGUUGGGAAUUGCUUUGUCUUAGGCAGUGGAUCUGUUAUAAAUACCCUAUGCUAAAGUUAAUAUUUUGAUUGAAGAAAAAAAUAGAGGCGAAAAAUUUUAUUAAAGUAUAACAGAAUUUGAUAAAUUUAGAAUUGAGGAGAGAAAAUGAGUCUAAAUUCGAAAAUUUUGGCACUAUUUACAUAUCAUUAUUUGGGCAAAAAUUUAUUUCUCUGCUUUCAUAUGAUUUGGUCUUUUAUUGUUACGGUGCCAAUUUUUUAUUUAAAGAUGUAAGAUGGUGGUACUAUAGCUUAGAUUUUCCGUAAUUACUAUAUGGUAAGUACAAAAUAAAAUACUAGUUUAAAAUAUAAAAAUGAAAAACUAUUUUUAUAACCAAUAUUUAAUUAAAUACACUUGAAACUCUAUUUUUUCUUAAUAAAAAAAAUUCUAAUUUAUUUUCUCAAUUUAUCUAAACAACUUUACCUAAUCAAGCUAAAUCUACAUAUAACCCUAAACCUUAAUUUAUAAACACCCAAUCAAUCCAAUUGUUAAAUCCGAUUUCAUAAUUAAAAAAGUUAAAUUCUAUUUUAUUAUUUAUGGUGCAAAGUAAAAAAUGCCCUUGAAGUUAAGGGUAAAAUUGAUAUUUUAUUUAAAUUUGGGAAAUUAUCAUUCGUAUACCCUAUAUUUGCUCUGUUAUAAAAAAUACUACAACACUUUGAGGGUGUAUCAAUCGUCCACCCUAAGUUGACAAAAUGUAUCAACCGACCACUAAACCGUUAAUUGUCGUUUGAAAGUUAACGGAAUUACAGUGAAUUGACGAUUUUACCCUUGAAAAUUAUCACUUGUAUACCCUUAAAUUAUCACUUGUAUCAUAUGAAAAGACCAGAUUACCCUUCUGACGUUAUCAUAUUUAAACGGCAACUAACGGUUCGGUGGUCGGUUGAUACAUUUUGUCAACUUAGGGUGGACGAUUGAUACACCCUCAAAGUGUUGUAGUAUUCUUGAUAAUGAAGUAAACUAAGGGUAUACAAAUGAUAAUUUCCCUUUAAAUUUUGUUAAUAUUCUAAUAAUGUUAAUGUCUUAGUGGUUAAUAAAAUCACAAAGUCAAACUUUUGUAGUAUUUUUUAUAAUAAGGUAAAGAUAUAUGUUUGAUAAUUUUCCUACGUCUUUUUACGUUAAAUUGAGUCUCAAGGGAAAAAUGGUUAAUUUGCUAUAAUUCUGUCAGUUUUCUAAUGGAAGAUAAUGAUAUAAUGAAUAAAUAAUACAUAUUCUUAAAUUAGUAUAGAUGAAUGAUACAACUUGAAAAUAUUGUAGUAUUCUUAAUAGUAGAGAAAUUUAAAAGUGGAUGGUUGAUAAUUUAAUGAAGUAACUACAGAAUUUUCCUUUCAAAUAUAUUUUUUAAAAUAUAUGAUGAGUAAAAAUCAUUUUACAGAAUGAUCUUUCAAAUGCACAUUCCACAAGCCAAAAAGAAAGGGUAGCGAACAACCCUUGUUGAAAUGGCACCCCGGCUUUUGCAGCGUACCCAAGUGCAGCCACCACCCCAGAAUCUGGUACUACAAUCACAACAUCACACUCAACAGGAGCCUCGGUAGCAAGUACUUCCCCAAAAUGAUACCUCGACUCGUAAGACCUUCCAAAAACAACAGAAUUAGGCAAAGCAAAAUAAAUAUGCUCAAAGAUGCACUGCUUAGGUUCAGGGUGAGGCAUCAAACAAAGUGAUUGAACCCCAUCUUUAUCCACCAUCAAAACUUCACCGGGAUAUACCUCUCUCUCGUAUGUGGCCUCAAUCAAAUCAAGUGCGCAAGUUUCUGAUGCAAAAACCACAGCACCGUUACUCCUCCUACCCAUCACCAACGGCCUAAACCCAUACGGGUCACGAACCGCAACAAGCUUAUCCUCAGUAACAAACACCAUUGAAUAAGCACCCUCAAGCUUCUCACAAGCAUCCACAAUCCUCAAAAAGAACGGCUUAGCUUUCGAUAUCGCAAUCAAAUGGAGAACAAUCUCAGUAUCAGAACUAGUAUAAAAAAUGGAUUCAUUAUCCUCGAGCUUAGCCCUCAAAGUAUUAUAAUUACCUAAAUUCCCAUUAUGUGCAACACCAACAGAACCAAACCUGUACCCAGCAACAAAAGGCUGCACAUUCUUAAGCAUAGAACUACCCGCAGUCGAAUAUCUAACAUGACCAAUGGCCAUAUCACCCGGCAAUUGAUCAAGUUUAGACUGAUUAAACACAUCAGAGACUAAACUGUUGAUGCGAGAUUCUGGUUGUCCUCGUUCUACGACCAGGGUCUCUGCUCGAUCAACUUCACCACGACCAGGAUCUCUCCUCGUAAAGCUUCUUCUCCAGAGGUUCCUGCGCACACAGACAAGUCAGAGUACGCCGGUUAUUUUCCCGGCGCAAACCCUCCGACGCUCAAGUCAGAUAUGAAGGUUCGGGGAACACUUGCCACAGAUCUUAUGGCUUUUGGGUAGUUUUCUCUUCUUUAGAAUUUCUUUAUCUCUCUUCUAAUGUCAAAAUUGCUAACCCUUUUACCUUCGUUGGCUACCUUUUUAUAGGCUUCCUCUGAAUCCCAGUUUUCCGCAGUCUACGUCCGUUAUCCUCCCACCUCUCGAACGUGGAUUCCCCAUUUCCGUAGUCGUGGGUGGUUGCGUGGCCUUCGUGCCUAGAUUCUCGGGCUGGAGAGCAUGCCUUGCCAACUGUCGUUGACCGGGCCUCCUCGAAUCAACCCUUAGCAAGAAUACAGCAGGAAUGGCUUUAUGCUUCUUACAAGAAAUUGGCCUCGCGGAUGACGUGCUCGUGGAUGAGCAGGAUAUUCCUGCCCCUGCUCCCCUGCUACUUGGCUCUUACAGGACACACCUGCUCGCCGACUUCUGCCACCAAACAUCUGCUCAUCACGUCUGGUCUCGUCGGAGUAUUUCCCUCAAACACCGGUCCCCCAGUUUCUGGUGUUGGGUAAUGUAAUGGACCAGCAGUAGAAACUUAGCGGUUCUUGGUCGCGUGGGACUGAAAAAGGCUGCCAAGAGUCAUAUCGCAUUUAAUUGCGGACGAGGUGAUGUGGCAGAAAUCUGCCCCUCUAUUCGAAUUUCCAACCAACGGUUACGAGGCCCUUGGGAUUUGGUGCCGUUAAAUGCUGGCAACCCAAGAGUCCGUCCCCAUUAGGAAACCUAAAUCCUUUCAAACAGCAAAUUCGUCAUUCCCUCCGUCUCCGUCCCUGUCUCUCCGGCAAAGAAGUUCCAGCAUAAAGGCCUCCAUCUCUGUCUUUCACCGACUGAACCAUUACUUCAUGUAUUUCUUCUAUCUCCUUGGUCUCGGAUAGUUGUAGAUAAUUUCUGUUCUCUUUUGUUUGGGUAGUAGUUGGUGGUGGUGUUGUGGUUAGAGUUUAGGGAAUGUCGAAAGCUAAAGAGAAGGUCAUUGAAGUUGACGACGAUGAGUUAGACUUCCUGCCUAGUCUGCUCACUGAUCCUGCUUUUGACCCCGGGAUCCCCUUAGAGCCCAUUAGAUCUAGUGUCGGCACUAGCGCUAGGAGGAUGUCUCCCCAAACGACCUCCUCGAGCAGAGAUAGUGAUGAAGAGGGGUCUUCCGGCUCGGAGAACACCCUGAGUGAGGGCCGAGGAGAUGAUUCUGGCGAGGUGUCCCCAUCAGGAGCGUCGCGACCAGAAGGGCGGAGUACAAUAGGAGGUAGAGCCCUAUCGCGGGAUUACGCUAUUGAUUACAUGACAUGCACAACCACGUUUGAUGAGCUCAAUGACCUCCGGCUUAGGUAUAGUAUUCCUGGUGAAAUCCCUCUUAAGGUCCCAGGAAAGAAGGAUACUCCUAGCCGGCCUCCUAGGGGAUACGUUACCCUGUAUCUGGAUAGGUUUAAGUAUGGGCUGAGGUGUCCCGUGCAACCUUACUUUGCCCGGAUACUUAGCGGGCUGAAUCUAUCUCCUGGUCAGCUGAACCCAAAUGGUUGGAGAGUACUUUAUGGUCUGUUUAUAUUGUGGGACAGAUGUUGCCAGAGCGAGCCCACAGUUGAUGAGGUGAAGCACUUGUACCAGCUAAAGAGCAGCCCCAAAGAUGCCGGCUGGUACUACUUUCAAUCUAGUACCAAGACCAGGAAACCCAUAACCGACCUCCCUACUGGUGGUGGUGGGAAUUGGAAGAGGAAAUUCUUUUUUGCUGGGGGUCCUUGGGGUUAAGUUGCACAAAUAGACGGGAAGGAUUAUCGCGUCCCACCCCGUUUCACGGUCCCAGGUUGCCUGCUCGCUUUAGGUGUCUUGUGUCCGUAAUUGUGCUCGCUUUGUUGGUUUGUCUCUAACCAAGUGUCUAUUUGUGUUGUAGUUUCUUGGGGUGUUCAUUUCUCGCUCAAACCUGGCCAACUCAAACGGGUCGAGGCUGUGCUAGCCAAUUCCUGCUCGAGCCGGGAGCUGAUAACUACAUACAACUUGCUCGAGUCUCGCUUAAUACUCCCUGGUCAUAAGAUGGAGGACGCUGUGAUUGGGGCUCUGAACAGGAAACGUUCUCGACCUCAAACCACGAAGAGGGACCAGAAUAAGGACGCCCCUACUGCAAAGCGGGCCAACAUCGUGCAGCAGGUCUCUCCCUUGAAGACUUUACCUCCUGCUCCUGCCAAAGUCGGGGAAACUAGUGGAGGAGCAGCCACCGAUCCUGCUUCUUCUUCUCCUCAUGUCGGGCCUCGAUCUCGCUUACCUGACAGCCGAGCAGAACACUUGGUCCCCUAUCUCAAUGAGUUAUCUAAACUCGUGAGCAAGAAGGACCUGGAGGACUUUGAUGGCUGCACUCUGGGCGAGCUGGUGCGAGCCAUGCAGUAUAGCGCUUUCCAUCUCAGCUGCAUGACCACCUACUAUAAGGCCAAGGUCGGCCGUUAUGACAGGAAGAUGAAGGAGGACAUUCAGUUAGCGAUGACCAGAGCUGACGGCGCCGAGAAGAAAGCAGGAGCGCUGAAUGUCGAGAACCUGAAGCUGAUAGAGCAAGAAUCUCUUGCUCAAGCGAAAGCCAUUACCCUCGAGGAGGAGCUGACCAAGGUCAAAGAGGAUCUUCAAAGGCAGAAGGCUAUGUAUGAGGCUCAGCUCGAAUCUCUCCGUGAUUCCCACCGGGUUCAGGUCGAGAACUUAGAGAAGGAGGCUGACAACCAGUACGACCAGGGACUUCGGCAUUCCUAUCGUUGCAUCAUGGCCGUCCUCGGGAAGCAACACCCUGAUCUGAAGAUGGAUGACCUUGCAGCUGGUGUUGCUCAACAUAUGGACGAGGAGGCGGCCAAGGAAGACGCUGAAGGGGUAGAGCCGAUCGUGAUUGAGGAGGAAAACUCUCCUUCUCGUGCAGAACCUGCUGGUGUUGGCGAGGCGAGCACCCCCCGGACGCAACUGGUGAUACCCCCUGCACCUGAGGAGGUCCAGCCGACUGAUGCUGCUCGGCUUACUGAUCCACCAUCUUAUUGAUAUAUUUCUUGUAUUGUAAUGCACAAUGUUUGUGAAGAUUAUCUCCUCUGUUAAUUAUUAACAAAUUAAUAAAGAUGUUUUUGAUUACUUUCUUGUGUUGUAAUCAUGAGUUAUUUUUCGUUUGAGAAUCUGCUCGUCUUUGUCUGGUCGAGCAGGUUCUGGCUUGGCACAUGGUUUUGCCACAUGCCUUUGAAAAUUCUUCAAUGCUUGGGAUUCUGCUCGCCUUCGCAUGGUCGAGCAGAUCCUGGCAUGCUUGGCUUCUGGUCUCGCCAAAAGACAGGCUUUCAGACUUGGUGAGCUUUUGCAUGCCUUUGAUUCUGCAAUGAUUGGGAGUCUGCUCGCCUUCUCGUGGUCGAGCAGAUCCUGGCACGCAUGGCAUCUGGUCUCGCCAUAAACAGGCUUUGAGACUUGAUAAGCCUUUGCAUGCCUUUAAUAAUUUCUUGAAUGCUUUGGAGUCUGCUCGCCUUCUUGUGGUCAAACAUAUCCUGGCACGCUUGGCUUCUGUCGCAUGCCUUCAAUUCUUCAAGGAUUGAGAUUUCGCUCGCCUUCUCGUGGUCGAGCAGAUCCUGGCACGGUUGGCUGCUGUCUCGCCAUAAAACAGGCUUUGAGACUUGCCGAGCCUUUGCAUGCCUUUGAUUCUUCAAGGAUUGGGAUUCUGCUCGCCUUCUCGGGGUCGAACAGAUCCUAGCACGCUUGGCUUCUGUCUCGCCAUAAAAUAGGCUUUGAGACUUGCUGAGCCUUUGCAUGCCUUCAAUUCUUCAAGGAUUGGGAUUCUGCUCGCCUUCUCGUGGUCGAGCAGAUCCUGGCACGCUUGGCUUCUGUCUCGCCAUAAAACAAGCUUUGAGACUUGCUGAGCCUUUGCAUGCCUUUGAUUCUUCAAGGAUUGGGAUUCUGCUCGCCAUCUCGUGGUCGAGCAUAUCCUGGCACGCUUGGCUUCUGUCUCGCCAUAAAACAGGCUUUGAGACUUGCCGAGCUUUUGCAUGCCUUUGAUUCUUCAAGGAUUGGGAUUCUGCUCGCCUUCUCGUGGUCGAGCAGAUCCUGGCACGCAUGGCAUCUGGUCUCGCCAUAAACAGGCUUUGAUACUUGAUGAGCCUUUGCAUGCCUUUGAUAAUUUCUUGAAUGCUUUGGAGUCUGCUCGCCUUCUUGUGGUCAAACAUAUCCUGGCACGCUUGGCUUCUGUCGCAUGCCUUCAAUUCUUCAAGGAUUGGGAUUUCGCUCGCCUUCUCGUGGUCGAGCAUAUCCUGGCAUGGUUGGCUGCUGUCUCGCCAUAAAACAGGCUUUGAGACUUGCCGAGCCUUUGCAUGCAUUUGAUUCUUCAAGGAUUGGGAUUCUGCUCGCCUUCUCGUGGUCGAGCAGAUCCUGGCACGCUUGGCUUCUGUCUCGCCAUAAAACAGGCUUUAAGACUUGUUGAGCCUUUGCAUGCCUUUGAUUCUUCAAGGAUUGGGAUUCGGCUCGCCUUCUCGUGGUCGAGCAGAUCCUGGCACGCUUGGCUUCUGUCUUGCCAUAAAACAGGCUUUGAGACUUGAUGAGCCUUUGCAUGCCUUUGAUAAUUUCUUGAAUCCUUUGGAGUCUGCUUGCCUUCUCGUGGUCGAGCAUAUCCUAGCACGCUUGGCUUCUGUCUCGCCAUAAAACAGGCUUUGAGACUUGAUGAGCCUUUGCAUGCCUUUGAUAAUUUCUUGAAUGCUUUGGAGUCUGCUCGCCUUCUCGUGGUCGAGCAUAUCUUGGCACGCUUGGCUUCUGUCUCGCCAUAAAACAGGCUUUGAGACUUGCUGAGCCUUUGCAUGCCUUCAAUUCUUCAAGGAUUUGGAUUCUGCUCGCCUUCUCGUGGUCGAGCAGAUCCUGGCACGCUUGGCUUCUGUCUCGUCAUAAAACAGGCUUUGAGACUUGCCGAGCCUUUGCAUGCCUUUGAUUCUUCAAGGAUUGGGAUUCUGCUCGCCUUCUCGUGGUCGAGCAGAUCCUGGCACGCUUGGCUUCUGUCUCGCCAUAAAACAGGCUUUGAGACUUGCCGAGCCUUUGCAUGCCUUUGAUUCUUCAAGGAUUGGGAUUCUGCUCGCCUUCUCGUGGUCGAGCAGAUCCUGGCACGCUUGGCUUCUGUCUCGCCAUAAAACAGGCUUUGAGACUUGCCGAGCCUUUGCAUGCCUUUGAUUCUUCAAGGAUUGGGAUUCUGCUCGCCUUCUCGUGGUCGAGCAGAUCCUGGCACGCUUGGCUUCUGUCUCGCCAUAAAACAGGCUUUGAGACUUGCUGAGCCUUUGCAUGCCGUUGAUUGUUCAAGGAUUGGGAUUCGGCUCGCCUUCUCGUGGUGGAGCAGAUCCUGGCACGCUUGGCUUCUGUCUCGUCAUAAAACAGGCUUUGAGACUUGAUGAGCCUUUGCAUGCCUUUGAUAAUUUCUUGAAUGCUUUUGAGUCUGCUUGCCUUCUCGUGGUCGAGCAUAUCCUGGCACGCUUGGCUUCUGUCUCGCCAUAAAACAGGCUUUGAGACUUGCCGAGCCUUUGCAUGCCUUUGAUUCUUCAAGGAUUGGGAUUCUGCUCGCCUUCUCGUGGUCGAGCAGAUCCUGGCACGCUUGGCUUCUGUCUCGCCAUAAAACAGGCUUUGAGACUUGCUGAGCCUUUGCAUGCCGUUGAUUGUUCAAGGAUUGGGAUUCGGCUCGCCUUCUCGUGGUCGAGCAGAUCCUGGCACGCUUGGCUUCUGUCUCGCCAUAAAACAGGCUUUGAGACUUGCUGAGCCUUUGCAUGCCUUCAAUUCUUCAAGGAUUGGGAUUCUGCUCGCCUUCUCGUGGUCGAGCAGAUCCUGGCACGCUUGGCUUCUGUCUCGCCAUAAAACAGGCUUUGAGACUUGCUGAGCCUUUGCAUGCCUUUGAUAAUUUCUUGAAUGCUUUGGAGUCUGCUCGCCUUCUUGUGGUCAAACAUAUCCUGGCAAGCUUGGCUUCUGUCGCAUGGCUACAAUUCUUCCAGGAUUGGGAUUUCGCUCGCCUUCUCGUGGUCGAGCAGAUCCUGGCAUGGUUGGCUGCUGUCUCGCCAUAAAACAGGCUUUGAGACUUGCCGAGCCUUUGCAUGCCUUUGAUUCUUCAAGGAUUGGGAUUCUGCUCGCCUUCUCGUGGUCGAGCAGAUCCUGGCACGCUUGGCUUCUGUGUUGCCAUAAAAUAGGCUUUGAGACUUGCUGAGCCUUUGCAUGCCUUUGAUUCUUCAAGGAUUGGGAUUCUGCUCGCCUUCUCGUGGUCGAGCAGAUCCUGGCAUGGUUGGCUGCUGUCUCGCCAUAAAACAGGCUUUGAGACUUGCCGAGCCUUUGCAUGCCUUUGAUUGUCCCAUCGCCAUAAAACAGGCUUUGAGACUUGAUGAGCCUUUGCAUGCCUUUGAUAAUUUCUUGAAUGCUUUGGAGUCUGCUUGCCUUCUCGUGGUCGAGCAUAUCCUGGCACGCUUGGCUUCUGUCUCGCCAUAAAACAGGCUUUGAGACUUGCUGAGCCUUUGCUUGCCUUCAAUUCUUCAAGGAUUGGGAUUCUGCUCGGCUUCUCGUGGUCGAGCAGAUCCUGGCACGCUUGGCUUCUGUCUCGCCAUAAAACAGGCUUUGAGACUUGCUGAGCCUUUGCAUGCCUUCAAUUCUUCAAGGAUUGGGAUUCUGCUCGCCUUCUCGUGGUCGAGCAGAUCCUGGCACGCUUGGCUUCUGUCUCGCCAUAAAACAGGCUUUGAGACUUGCUGAGCCUUUGCAUGCCUUUGAUUCUUCAAGGAUUGGGAUUCUGCUCGCCUUCUCGUGGUCGAGCAGAUCCUGGCACGCUUAGCUUCUGUCUCGCCAUAAAACAGGCUUUGAGACAUGCCGAGCCUUUGCAUGCCUUUGAUUCUUCAAGGAUUGGGAUUCUGCUCGCCUUCUCGUGGUCGAGCAGAUCCUGGCACGCUUGGCUUCUGUCUCGCCAUAAAACAGGCUUUGAGACUUGCUGAGCCUUUGCAUGCUUUGAUUCUUCAAGGAUUGGGAUUCGGCUCGCCUUCUCGUGGUCGAGCAGAUCCUGGCACGCUUGGCUUCUGUCUUGCCAUAAAACAGGCUUUGAGACUUGAUGAGCCUUUGCAUGCCUUUGAUAAUUUCUUGAAUGCUUUGGAGUCUGCUGGCCUUCUCGUGGUCGAGCAUAUCCUGGCACGCUUGGCUUCUGUCUCGCCAUAAAACAGGCUUUGAGACUUGCUGAGCCUUUGCAUGCCUUCAAUUCUUCAAGGAUUGGGAUUCUGCUCGCCUUCUCGUGGUCGAGCAGAUCCUGGCACGAUUGGCUUCUGUCUUGCCAUAAAACAGGCUUUGAGACUUGAUGAGCCUUUGCAUGGCUUUGAUAAUUUCUUGAAUGCUUUGGAGUCUGCUUGCCUUCUCGUGGUCGAGCAUAUCCUGGCACGCUUGGCUUCUGUCUCGCCAUAAAACAGGCUUUGAGACUUGCUGAGCCUUUGCAUGCCUUCAAUUCUUCACGGAUUGGGAUUCUGCUCGCCUUCUCGUGGUCGAGCAGAUCCUGGCACGCUUGGCUUCUGUCUCGCCAUAAAACAGGCUUUGAGACUUGCUGAGCCUUUGCAUGCCUUUGAUUCUUCAAGGAUUGGGAUUCUGCUCGCCUUUUCGUGGUCGAGCAGAUCCUGGCACGCUUGGCUUCUGACUCGCCAUAAAACAGGCUUUGAGACUUGCCGAGCCUUUGCAUGCCUUUGAUUCUUCAAGGAUUGGGAUUCUGCUCGCCUUCUCGUGGUCGAGCAGAUCCUGGCACGCUUGGCUUCUGUCUCGCUAUAAAACAGGCUUUGAGACUUGCUGAGCCUUUGCAUGCCGUUGAUUGUUCAAGGAUUGGGAUUCGGCUCGCCUUCUCAUGGUGGAGCAGAUUCUGGCACGCUUGGCUUCUGUCUCGUCAUAAAACAGGCUUUGAGACUUGAUGACCCUUUGCAUGCCUUUGAUAAUUUCUUGAAUGCUUUGGAGUCUGCUUGCCUUCUCGUGGUCGAGCAUAUCCUGGCACGCUUGGCUUCUGUCUCGCCAUAAAACAGGCUUUGAGACUUGCCGAGCCUUUGCAUGCCUUUGAUUCUUCAAGGAUUGGGAUUCUGCUCGCCUUCUCGUGGUCGAACAGAUCCUAGCACGCUUGGCUUCUGUCUCGCCAUAAAACAGGCUUUGAGACUUGCCGAGCCUUUGCAUGCCUUUGAUUCUUCAAGGAUUGGGAUUCUGCUCGCCUUCUCGUGGUCGAACAGAUCCUAGCACGCUUGGCUUCUGUCUCGCCAUAAAACAGGCUUUGAGACUUGUUGAGCCUUUGCAUGCCUUUGAUUCUUCAAGGAUUGGGAUUCGGCUCGCCUUCUCGUGGUCGAGCAGAUCUUGGCACGCUUGGCUUCUGUCUCGCCAUAAAACAGGCUUUGAGACUUGAUGAGCCUUUGCAUGCCUUUGAUAAUUUCUUGAAUGCUUUGGAGUCUGCUGGCCUUCUCGUGGUCGAGCAUAUCCUGGCACGCUUGGGUUCUGUCUCGCCAUAAAACAGGCUUUGAGACUUGCUGAGCCUUUGCAUGCCUUUGAUUCUUCAACGAUUGGGAUUCGGCUCGCCUUCUCGUGGUCGAGCAGAUCCUGGCACGCUUGGCUUCUGUCUUGCCAUAAAACAGGCUUUGAGACUUGAUGAGCCUUUGCAUGCCUUUGAUAAUUUCUUGAAUGCUUUGGAGUCUGCUGGCCUUCUCGUGGUCGAGCAUAUCCUGGCACGCUUGGCUUCUGUCUCGCCAUAAAACAGGCUUGAGACUUGCUGAGCCUUUGCAUGCCUUCAAUUCUUCAAGGAUUGGGAUUCUGCUCGCCUUCUCGUGGUCGAGCAGAUCCUGGCACGAUUGGCUUCUGUCUUGCCAUAAAAACAGGCUUGAAGACUUGAUGAGCCUUUGCAUGCCUUUGAUAAUUUCUUGAAUGCUUUGGAGUCUGCUUGCCUUCUCGUGGUCGAGCAUAUCCUGGCACGCUUGGCUUCUGUCUCGCCAUAAAACAGGCUUUGAGACUUGAUGAGCCUUUUGCAUGCCUUUGAUAAUUUCUUGAAUGCUUUGGAGUCUGCUUGCCUUCUCGUGGUCGAGCAUAUCCUGGCACGCUUGGCUUCUGUCUCGCCAUAAAAUAGGCUUUGAGACUUGCUGAGCCUUUGCAUGCCUUUGAUUCUUCAAGGAUUGGGAUUCUGCUCGCCUUCUCGUGGUCGAGCAGAUCCUGGCACGCUUGGCUUCUGUCUCGCCAUAAAACAGGCUUUGAGACUUGCCGAGCCUUUGCAUGCCUUUGAUUCUUCAAGGAUUGGGAUUCUGCUCGCCUUCUCGUGGUCGAGCAGAUCCUGGCACGCUGGCUUCUGUCUCGCCAUAAAACAGGCUUGAGACUUGCUGAGCCUUUGCAUGCCUUUGAUUCUUCAAGGAUUGGGAUUCGGCUCGCCUUCUCGUGGUCGAGCAGAUCCUGGCACGCUUGGCUUCUGUCUCGCCAUAAAACAGGCUUUGAGACUUGAUGAGCCUUUGCAUGCCUUUGAUAAUUUCUUGAAUGCUUUGGAGUCUGCUCGCCUUCUUGUGGUCGANNNNNNNNNNNNNNNNNNNNNNNNNNNNNNNNNNNNNNNNNNNNNNNNNNNNNNNNNNNNNNNNNNNNNNNNNNNNNNNNNNNNNNNNNNNNNNNNNNNNNNNNNNNNNNNNNNNNNNNNNNNNNNNNNNNNNNNNNNNNNNNNNNNNNNNNNNNNNNNNNNNNNNNNNNNNNNNNNNNNNNNNNGCUCGCCUUCUCGUGGUCGAGCAGAUCCUGGCACGCUUGGCUUCUGUCUCGCCAUUAAAAGGCUUGAGACAGCCUUUGCAUGCUUUUGCCUUUGGAUCGAGCUCCUGCACGCUUGCUUCUGUCGCCAUAAAACAGGCUUUGAGACUUGCUGAGCCUUUGCAUGCCUUCAAUUCUUCAGGAUUGGAUUCUGCUCGCCUUCUCGUUGGUCAGCAGAUCCUGGCACGCUUGGUUCUGUCUCGCCAUAAAAGGCUUUGAGACUUGCUGAGCCUUUGCAUGCCCUUUGAUUCUUCAAGGAUUGGGAUUCUGCUCGCCUUCUCGUGGUCGAGCAAGAUUCCUGGCACGCUUGAGCUCUGUCUCGCCAUAAAACAGGCUUUGAGACUUGCUGAGCCUUUGCAUGCCUUUCGAUUCUUCAAGGAUUGGGAUUCUGCUCGCCUUCUCGUGGUCGAGCAGAUCCUGGCACGCUUGGCUUCUGUCUCGCCAUAAAACAGGCUUGAGACUUGCUGAGCCUUUGCAUGCCUUGAUUGUUCAAGGAUUGGGAUUCGCUCGCCUUCUCGUGGUCGAGCAGAUCCUGGCACGCUUGCUUCUGUCUGCCAUAAAACAGGCUUUGAGACUUGAUGAGCCUUUGCAUGCCUUUGAUAUUCUUGAAUGCUUUGGAGUCUGCUGCCUUCUCGUGGUCGAGCAUAUCCUGGCACGCUUGGCUUCUGUCUCGCCAUAAAACAGGCUUUGAGACUUGCUGAGCCUUUGCAUGCCGUUGAUUCGUUCAAGGAUUGGGAUUCGGCUCGCCUUCUCGUGGUCGAGCAGAUCCUGGCACGCUUGGCUUCUGUCUCGCCAUAAAACAGGCUUUGAGACUUGAUGAGCCUUUGCAUGCCUUUGAUAAUUUCUUGAAUGCUUUGGAGUCUGCUUGCCUUCUCGUGGUCGAGCAUAUCCUGGCACGCUUGGCUUCUGUCUCGCCAUAAAACAGGCUUUGAGACUUGCUGAGCCUUUGCAUGCCUUUAUUCUUCAAGGAUUGGGAUUCUGCUCGCCUUCUCGUGGUCGAGCAGAUCCUGGCACGCUUGGCUUCUGUCUCGCCAUAAAACAGGCUUUGAGACUUGAUGAGCCUUUGCAUGCCUUUGAUUCUUCAAGGAUUGGGAUCUGCUCGCCUUCUCGUGGUCGAGCAGAUCCUGGCACGCUUGGCUUCUGUCUCGCCAUAAAACAGGCUUUGAGACUUGCUGAGCCUUUGCAUGCCUUUGAUUCUUCAAGGAUUGGGAUUCUGCUCGCCUUCUCGUGGUCGAGCAGAUCCUGGCACGCUUGGCUUCUGUCUCGCCAUAAAACAGGCUUUGAGACUUGCUGAGCCUUUGCAUGCCUUUGAUUCUUCAAGGAUUGGGAUUCUGCUCGCCUUCUCGUGGUCGAGCAGAUCCUGGCACGCUUGGCUUCUGUCUCGCCAUAAAACAGGCUUUUGAGACUUGCUGAGCCUUUGCAUGCCUUUGAUUCUUCAAGGAUUGGGAUUCUGCUCGCCUUCUCGUGGUCGAGCAGAUCCUGGCACGCUUGGCUUCUGUCUCGCCAUAAAACAGGCUUGAUUGCGAGCUUUGAGCUUGACUGAGUCCUCCCUCUUGACAGAUCCGCACCUUGCUCUGUCUCGCAUAAACAGCGAACUUGUUUGCAUUUUGUUUUCAAGGAUUGGGAUUCGGCUCGCCUUCUCGUGGUGGAGCAGAUCCUGGCACGCUUGGCUUCUGUCUCGUCAUAAAACAGGCUUUGAGACUUGAUGAGCCUUUGCAUGCCUUUGAUAAUUUCUUGAAUGCUUUGGAGUCUGCUGGCCUUCUCGUGGUCGAGCAUAUCCUGGCACGCUUGGCUUCUGUCUCGCCAUAAAACAGGCUUUGAGACUUGCUGAGCCUUUGCAUGCCUUUGAUUCUUCAAGGAUUGGGAUUCUGCUCGCCUUCUCGUGGUCGAGCAGAUCCUGGCACGCUUGGCUUCUGUCUCGCCAUAAAACAGGCUUUGAGACUUGCUGAGCCUUUGCAUGCCUUUGAUUCUUCAAGGAUUGGGAUUCUGCUCGCCUUCUCGUGGUCGAGCAUAUCCUGGCACGCUUGGCUUCUGUCUCGCCAUAAAACAGGCUUUGAGACUUGCUGAGCCUUUGCAUGCCUUGAUUCUUCAAGGAUUGGGAUUCUGCUCGCCUUCUCGUGGUCGAGCAGAUCCUGGCACGCUUGCUUCUGUCUCGCCAUAAAACAGCUUUAGACUUGUGAGUUUGCUUUUUUUUUGGUUGGAUUUGCUUUUUGGUAGCAGAUCUGGCACGCUUGGCUUCUGUCUCGCAUAAAACAGGCUUUGAGACUUGAUGAGCCUUUGCAUGCCUUUGAUAAUUUCUUGAAUGCUUUGGGAUUCUGCUCGCCUUCUCGUGGUCGAGCAUAUCCUGGCACGCUUGGCUUCUGUCUCGCCAUAAAACAGGCUUUGAGACUUGAUGAGCCUUUGCAUGCCUUUGAUAAUUUCUUGAAUGCUUUGGAGUCUGCUGGCCUUCUCGUGGUCGAGCAUAUCCUGGCACGCUUGGCUUCUGUCUCGCCAUAAAACAGGCUUUGAGACUUGCUGAGCCUUUGCAUGCCUUUGAUUCUUCAAGGAUUGGGAUUCUGCUCGCCUUCUCGUGGUCGAGCAGAUCCUGGCACGCUUGGCUUCUGUCUCGCCAUAAAACAGGCUUUGAGACUUGCCGAGCCUUUGCAUGCCUUUGAUUCUUCAAGGAUUGGGAUUCUGCUCGCCUUCUCAUGGUCGAGCAGAUCCUGGCACGCUUGGCUUCUGUCUCGCCAUAAAACAGGCUUUGAGACUUGCUGAGCCUUUGCAUGCCGUUUGAUUGUUCAAGGAUUGGGAUUCGGCUCGCCUUCUCGUGGUGGAGCAGAUCCUGGCACGCUUGGCUUCUGUCUCGUCAUAAAACAGGCUUUGAGACUUGAUGAGCCUUUGCAUGCCUUUGAUAAUUUUCAAGUUGGAUUCUCGCCUUCUUGUGAGCAAUCUGGCAGCUUGGCUUCUGUCUCGUCUUUACUUUUUCUUUGAUUUUUGAUUUUGUCUCUUUCUCGUGGUCGAGCAUAUCCUGGCACGCUUGGCUUCUGUCUCGCCAUAAAAACAGGCUUUGAGACUUGCUGAGCCUUUGCAUGCCUUUGAUUCUUCAAGGAUUGGGAUUCUGCUCGCCUUCUCGUGGUCGAGCAGAUCCUGGCACGCUUGGCUUCUGUCUCGCCAUAAAACAGGCUUUGAGACUUGCUGAGCCUUUGCAUGCCGUUGAUUGUUCAAGGAUUGGGAUUCGGCUCGCCUUCUCGUGGUGGAGCAUAUCCUGGCACGCUUGGCUUCUGUCUCGCCAUAAAACAGGCUUUGAGACUUGCUGAGCCUUUGCAUGCCUUCAAUUCUUCAAGGAUUGGGAUUCGGCUCGCCUUCUCGUGGUGGAGCAUAUCCUGGCACGCUUGGCUUCUGUCUCGCCAUAAAACAGGCUUUGAGACUUGCUGAGCCUUUGCAUGCCUUCAAUUCUUCAAGGAUUGGGAUUCUGCUCGCCUUCUCGUGGUCGAGCAGAUCCUGGCACGCUUGGCUUCUGUCUCGCCAUAUAAAACAGGCUUUGAGACUUGCUGAGCCUUUGCAUGCCUUUGAUUCUUCAAGGAUUGGGAUUCUGCUCGCCUUCUCGUGGUCGAGCAGAUCUUGGCACGCUUGGCUUCUGUGUCGCCAUAAAACAGGCUUUUAGACUUGCCGAGCCUUUGCAUGCCUUUGAUUCUUCAAGGAUUGGGAUUCUGCUCGCCUUCUCGUGGUCGAGCAGAUCCUGGCACGCUUGGCUUCUGUCUCGCCAUAAAACAGGCUUUGAGACUUGCUGAGCCUUUGCAUGCCGUUGAUUGUUCAAGGAUUGGGAUUCGGCUCGCCUUCUCGUGGUGGAGCAGAUCCUGGCACGCUUGGCUUCUGUCUCGUCAUAAAACAGGCUUUGAGACUUGAUGAGCCUUUGCAUGCCUUUGAUAAUUUCUUGAAUGCUUUGGAGUCUGCUGGCCUUCUCGUGGUCGAGCAUAUCCUGGCACGCUUGGCUUCUGUCUCGCCAUAAAACAAGCUUUGAGACUUGCUGAGCCUUUGCAUGCCUUCAAUUCUUCACGGAUUGGGAUUCUGCUCGCCUUCUCGUGGUCGAGCAGAUCCUGGCACGCUUGGCUUCUGUCUCGCCAUAAAAACAGGCUUUGAGACUUACUGAGCCUUUGCAUGCCUUUGAUUCUUCAAGGAUUGGGAUUCUGCUCGCCUUCUCGUGGUCGAGCAGAUCCUGGCACGCUUGGCUUCUGUCUCGCCAUAAAACAGGCUUUGAGACUUGCCGAGCCUUUGCAUGCCUUGGAUUCUUCAAGGAUUGGGAUUCUGCUCGCCUUCUCGUGGUCGAGCAGAUCCUGGCACGCUUGGCUUCUGUCUCGCCAUAAAACAGGCUUUGAGACUUGCUGAGCCUUUGCAUGCCUUUGAUUCUUCAAGGAUUGGGAUUCUGCUCGCCUUCUCGUGGUCGAGCAGAUCCUGGCACGCUUGGCUUCUGUCUCGUCAUAAAACAGGCUUUGAGACUUGCCGAGCCUUUGCAUGCCUUUGAUAAUUUCUUGAAUGCUUUGGAGUCUGCUUGCCUUCUCGUGGUCGAGCAUAUCCUAGCACGCUUGGCUUCUGUCUCGCCAUAAAACAGGCUUUGAGACUUGCUGAGCCUUUGCAUGCCGUUGAUUGUUCAAGGAUUGGGAUUCGGCUCGCCUUCUCGUGGUGGAGCAGAUCCUGGCACGCUUGGCUUCUGUCUCGUCAUAAAACAGGCUUUGAGACUUGAUGAGCCUUUGCAUGCCUUUGAUAAUUUCUUGAAUGCUUUGGAGUCUGCUGGCCUUCUCGUGGUCGAGCAUAUCCUGGCACGCUUGGCUUCUGUCUCGCCAUAAAACAAGCUUUGAGACUUGCUGAGCCUUUGCAUGCCUUUGAUAAUUUCUUGAAUGCUUUGGAUUCUGCUCGCCUUCUCGUGGUCGAGCAGAUCCUGGCACGCUUGGCUUCUGUCUCGCCAUAAAACAGGCUUUGAGACUUGCUGAGCCUUUGCAUGCCGUUGAUUGUUCAAGGAUUGGGAUUCGGCUCGCCUUCUCGUGGUCGAGCAGAUCCUGGCACGCUUGGCUUCUGUCUCGCCAUAAAACAGGCUUUGAGACUUGCUGAGCCUUUGCAUGCCUUCAAUUCUUCAAGGAUUGGGAUUCUGCUCGCCUUCUCGUGGUCGAGCAGAUCCUGGCACGCUUGGCUUCUGUCUCGCCAUAAAACAGGCUUUGAGACUUGCUGAGCCUUUGCAUGCCUUUGAUUCUUCAAGGAUUGGGAUUCUGCUCGCCUUCUCGUGGUCGAGCAGAUCCUGGCACGCUUGGCUUCUGUCUCGCCAUAAAACAGGCUUUGAGACUUGCCGAGCCUUUGCAUGCCUUUGAUUCGUCAAGGAUUGGGAUUCUGCUUGCCUUCUCGUGGUCGAGCAGAUCCUGGCACGCUUGGCUUCUGUCUCGCCAUAAAACAGGCUUUGAGACUUGCUGAGCCUUUGCAUGCCUUUGAUUGUUCAAGGAUUGGGAUUCGGCUCUCCUUCUCGUGGUCGAGCAGAUCCUGGCACGCUUGGCUUCUUUCUCGCCAUAAAACAAGCUUUGAGACUUGCCGAGCCUUUGCAUGCCUUUGAUUCUUCAAGGAUUGAGAUUCUGCUCGCCUUCUCGUGGUCGAGCAGAUCCUGGCACGCUUGGCUUCUGUCUCGCCAUAAAACAGGCUUUGAGACUUGCUGAGCCUUUGCAUGCCUUUGAUUGUUCAAGGAUUGGGAUUCGGCUCGCCUUCUCGUGGUGGAGCAGAUCCUGGCACGCUUGGCUUCUGUCUCGUCAUAACACAAGCUUUGAGACUUGAUGAGCCUUUGCAUGCCUUUGAUAAUUUCUUGAAUGCUUUGGAGUCUGCUCGCCUUCUCGUGGUCGAGCAUAUCCUGGCACGCUUGGCUUCUGUCUCGCCAUAAAACAGGCUUUGAGACUUGCUGAGCCUUUGCAUGCCUUCAAUUCUUCAAGGAUUGGGAUUCUGCUCGCCUUCUCGUGGUCGAGCAGAUCCUGGCACGCUUGGCUUCUGUCUCACCAUAAAACAGGCUUUGAGACUUGCUGAGCCUUUGCAUGCCUUUGAUUCUUCAAAGAUUGGGAUUCUGCUCGCCUUCUCGUGGUCGAGCAGAUCCUGGCACGCUUGGCUUCUUUCUCGCCAUAAAACAGGCUUUGAGACUUGCCGAGCCUUUGCAUGCCUUUGAUUCUUCAAGGAUUGGGAUUCUGCUCGCCUUCUCGUGGUCGAGCAGAUCCUGGCACGCUUGGCUUCUGUCUCGCCAUAAAAUAGGCUUUGAGACUUGCUGAGCCUUUGCAUGCCUUUGAUUGUUCAAGGAUUGGGAUUCUGCUCGCCUUCUCGUGGUCGAGCAGAUCCUGGCACGCUUGGCUUCUGUCUCGCCAUAAAAUAGGCUUUGAGACUUGCUGAGCCUUUGCAUGCCUUUGAUUGUUCAAGGAUUGUGAUUCGGCUUGCCUUCUCGUGGUCGAGCAGAUCCUGGCACGCUUGGCUUCUGUCUCACCAUAAAACAGGCUUUGAGACUUGCUGAGCCUUUGCAUGCCUUUGAUUCUUCAAAGAUUGGGAUUUUGCUCGCCUUCUCGUGGUCGAGCAGAUCCUGGCACGCUUGGCUUCUGUCUCGCCAUAAAACAGGCUUUGAGACUUGCCGAGCCUUUGCAUGCCUUUGAUUCUUCAAGGAUUGGGAUUCUGCUCGCCUUCUCGUGGUCGAGCAGAUCCUGGCACGCUUGGCUUCUGUCUCGCCAUAAAAUAGGCUUUGAGACUUGCUGAGCCUUUGCAUGCCUUUGAUUGUUCAAGGAUUGUGAUUCGGCUUGCCUUCUCGUGGUCAAGCAGAUCCUGGCACGCUUGGCUUCUGUCUCGCCAUAAAACAGGCUUUGAGACUUGCUGAGCCUUUGCAUGCCUUCAAUUCUUCAAGGAUUGGGAUUCUGCUCGCCUUCUCGUGGUCGAGCAGAUCCUGGCACGCUUGGCUUCUGUCUCACCAUAAAACAGGCUUUGAGACUUGCUGAGCCUUUGCAUGCCUUUGAUUCUUCAAAGAUUGGGAUUCUGCUCGCCUUCUCGUGGUCGAGCAGAUCCUGGCACGCUUGGCUUCUGUCUCGCCAUAAAACAGGCUUUGAGACUUGCCGAGCCUUUGCAUGCCUUUGAUUCUUCAAGGAUUGGGAUUCUGCUCGCCUUCUCGUGGUCGAGCAGAUCCUGGCACGCUUGGCUUCUGUCUCGCCAUAAAACAGGCUUUGAGACUUGCCGAGCCUUUGCAUGCCUUUGAUUCUUCAAAGAUUGGGAUUCUGCUUGCCUUCUCGUGGUCGAGCAGAUCCUGGCACGCUUGGCUUCUGUCUCGCCAUAAAACAGGCUUUGAGACUUGCCGAGCCUUUGCAUGCCUUUGAUUCUUCAAGGAUUGGGAUUCUGCUCGCCUUCUCGUGGUCGAGCAGAUCCUGGCACGCUUGGCUUCUGUCUCGCCAUAAAAAUAGGCUUUGAGACUUGCUGAGCCUUUGCAUGCCUUUGAUUGUUCAAGGAUUGUGAUUCGGCUUGCCUUCUCGUGGUCAAGCAGAUCCUGGCACGCUUGGCUUCUGUCUCACCAUAAAACAGGCUUUGAGACUUGCUGAGCCUUUGCAUGCCUUCAAUUCUUCAAGGAUUGGGAUUCUGCUCGCCUUCUCGUGGUCGAGCAGAUCCUGGCACGCUUGGCUUCUGUCUCACCAUAAAACAGGCUUUGAGACUUGCUGAGCCUUUGCAUGCCUUUGAUUCUUCAAAGAUUGGGAUUCUGCUCGCCUUCUCGUGGUCGAGCAGAUCCUGGCACGCUUGGCUUCUGUCUCGCCAUAAAACAGGCUUUGAGACUUGCCGAGCCUUUGCAUGCCUUUGAUUCUUCAAGGAUUGGGAUUCUGCUCGCCUUCUCGUGGUCGAGCAGAUCCUGGCACGCUUGGCUUCUGUCUCGCCAUAAAACAGGCUUUGAGACUUGCUGAGCCUUUGCAUGCCUUUGAUUCUUCAAGGAUUGGGAUUCUGCUCGCCUUCUCGUGGUCGAGCAGAUCCUGGCACGCUUGGCUUCUGUCUCGUCAUAAAACAGGCUUUGAGACUUGCCGAGCCUUUGCAUGCCUUUGAUAAUUUCUUGAAUGCUUUGGAGUCUGCUUGCCUUCUCGUGGUCGAGCAUAUCCUAGCACGCUUGGCUUCUGUCUCGCCAUAAAACAGGCUUUGAGGCUUGCUGAGCCUUUGCAUGCCGUUGAUUGUUCAAGGAUUGGGAUUCGGCUCGCCUUCUCGUGGUGGAGCAGAUCCUGGCACGCUUGGCUUCUGUCUCGCCAUAAAAUAGGCUUUGAGACUUGCUGAGCCUUUGCAUGCCUUUGAUUGUUCAAGGAUUGUGAUUCGGCUUGCCUUCUCGUGGUCAAGCAGAUCCUGGCACGCUUGGCUUCUGUCUCACCAUAAAACAGGCUUUGAGACUUGCUGAGCCUUUGCAUGCCUUCAAUUCUUCAAGGAUUGGGAUUCUGCUCGCCUUCUCGUGGUCGAGCAGAUCCUGGCACGCUUGGCUUCUGUCUCGUCAUAAAACAGGCUUUGAGACUUGAUGAGCCUUUGCAUGCCUUUGAUAAUUUCUUGAAUGCUUUGGAGUCUGCUUGCCUUCUCGUGGUCGAGCAUAUCCUGGCACGCUUGGCUUCUUACUCGCCAUAAAACAGGCUUUGAGACUUGCCGAGCCUUUGCAUGCUUUUGAUUCUUCAAGGAUUGGGAUUCUGCUCGCCUUCUCGUGGUCGAACAGAUCCUAGCAUGCUUGGCUUCUGUCUCGCCAUAAAACAGGCUUUGAGACUUGUUGAGCCUUUGCAUGCCUUUGAUUCUUCAAGGAUUGGGAUUCGGCUCGCCUUCUCGUGGUCGAGCAGAUCCUGGCACGCUUGGCUUCUGUCUCGCCAUAAAACAGGCUUUGAGACUUGCUGAGCCUUUGCAUGCCUUUGAUUCUUCAAGGAUUGGGAUUCUGCUCGCCUUCUCGUGGUCGAGCAGAUCCUGGCACGCUUGGCUUCUGUCUCGCCAUAAAACAGGCUUUGAGACUUGCCGAGCCUUUGCAUGCCUUUGAUUCUUCAAGGAUUGGGAUUCUGCUCGCCUUCUCGUGGUCGAGCAGAUCCUGGCACGCUUGGCUUCUGUCUCGCCAUAAAACAGGCUUUGAGACUUGCUGAGCCUUUGCAUGCCGUUGAUUGUUCAAGGAUUGGGAUUCGGCUCGCCUUCUCGUGGUGGAGCAGAUCCUGGCACGCUUGGCUUCUGUCUCGUCAUAAAACAGGCUUUGAGACUUGAUGAGCCUUUGCAUGCCUUUGAUAAUUUCUUGAAUGCUUUGGAGUCUGCUUGCCUUCUCGUGGUCGAGCAUAUCCUGGCACGCUUGGCUUCUGUCUCGCCAUAAAACAGGCUUUGAGACUUGCCGAGCCUUUGCAUGCCUUUGAUUCUUCAAGGAUUGGGAUUCUGCUCGCCUUCUCGUGGUCGAGCAGAUCCUGGCACGCUUGGCUUCUGUCUCGCCAUAAAACAGGCUUUGAGACUUGCUGAGCCUUUGCAUGCCGUUGAUUGUUCAAGGAUUGGGAUUCGGCUCGCCUUCUCGUGGUCGAGCAGAUCCUGGCACGCUUGGCUUCUGUCUCGCCAUAAAACAGGCUUUGAGACUUGCUGAGCCUUUGCAUGCCUUCAAUUCUUCAAGGAUUGGGAUUCUGCUCGCCUUCUCGUGGUCGAGCAGAUCCUGGCACGCUUGGCUUCUGUCUCGCCAUAAAACAGGCUUUGAGACUUGCCGAGCCUUUGCAUGCCUUUGAUUCUUCAAGGAUUGGGAUUCUGCUCGCCUUCUCGUGGUCGAGCAGAUCCUGGCACGCUUGGCUUCUGUCUCGCCAUAAAACAGGCUUUGAGACUUGCCGAGCCUUUGCAUGCCUUUGAUUCGUCAAGGAUUGGGAUUCUGCUUGCCUUCUCGUGGUCGAGCAGAUCCUGGCACGCUUGACUUCUGUCUCGCCAUAAAACAGGCUUUGAGACUUGCUGAGCCUUUGCAUGCCUUUGAUUGUUCAAGGAUUGGGAUUCGGCUCUCCUUCUCGUGGUCGAGCAGAUCCUGGCACGCUUGGCUUCUUUCUCGCCAUAAAACAAGCUUUGAGACUUGCCGAGCCUUUGCAUGCCUUUGAUUCUUCAAGGAUUGAGAUUCUGCUCGCCUUCUCGUGGUCGAGCAGAUCCUGGCACGCUUGGCUUCUGUCUCGCCAUAAAACAGGCUUUGAGACUUGCUGAGCCUUUGCAUGCCUUUGAUUGUUCAAGGAUUGGGAUUCGGCUCGCCUUCUCGUGGUGGAGCUGAUCCUGGCACGCUUGGCUUCUGUCUCGUCAUAAAACAGGCUUUGAGACUUGAUGAGCCUUUGCAUGCCUUUGAUAAUUUCUUGAAUGCUUUGGAGUCUGCUCGCCUUCUCGUGGUCGAGCAUAUCCUGGCACGCUUGGCUUCUGUCUCGCCAUAAAACAGGCUUUGAAACUUGCUGAGCCUUUGCAUGCCUUCAAUUCUUCAAGGAUUGGGAUUCUGCUCGCCUUCUCGUGGUCGAGCAGAUCCUGGCACGCUUGGCUUCUGUCUCACCAUAAAACAGGCUUUGAGACUUGCUGAGCCUUUGCAUGCCUUUGAUUCUUCAAAGAUUGGGAUUCUGCUCGCCUUCUCGUGGUCGAGCAGAUCCUGGCACGCUUGGCUUCUGUCUCGCCAUAAAACAGGCUUUGAGACUUGCCGAGCCUUUGCAUGCCUUUGAUUCUUCAAGGAUUGGGAUUCUGGUCGCCUUCUCGUGGUCGAGCAGAUCCUGGCACGCUUGGCUUCUGUCUCGCCAUAAAAUAGGCUUUGAGACUUGCUGAGCCUUUGCAUGCCUUUGAUUGUUCAAGGAUUGUGAUUCGGCUUGCCUUCUCGUGGUCAAGCAGAUCCUGGCACGCUUGGCUUCUGUCUCGCCAUAAAACAGGCUUUGAGACUUGAUGAGCCUUUGCAUGCCUUAGGAAAUUUUCACAGUUUCAAGCGAAUGAAAUUCCUCAUUGAUUCAUUUAUUGCUGAGUUCGGCUUACAUGAGGUUGGUUUGAAAUAAGAAAUCAAAAAUAGAAAACAACGGACACGAACAGAAAAAAAAAAAACUUUAAAACAUGAAUAAGUCUUACUAGAAAUAUUUCCUGAGGUGUGCCGCGCUCCAUGGACGUUUCACCUCGUGGCCCUCCGUGCGAACCAACUUGUAGACUCCGGGUCCAACUAGCUGCCUUUCCCGGCUUCCACUCGGGUACCAAGGUAUGUUAUCUGCAUUGCUUCCCUUGCUGCCGAGGAGUAACAAGUUCGUGCGAUUCUCUGGUCUCCUCGUACCACUCCAACUACCCCAUUCACCCGGUACUUGAGAGCCAGAUAAUGGUUGGACAGCACCGCUUUGCUCAUCCUCAGAAAUGGCCGACCUAGGAUCAUCUGAUAAGGACCUUCCUCAUCCACUACCACAAAGUCCAGUAUCAUUGUCCUUUCUGUCGGGGAGCUCCCAAUCGUGAUAGGCAGCUCGACCACGCCCAGAGGGACCAGCUUUCCUCUUCCAAACCCCUUCAAGGAGGUAUUGGUGUAUUCCAACUUCCGGUCUACUAUUCCCAUCUCCUCCAAGGUUGACUUAAAUAAUACAUCAACUGAACUCCCUGUAUCAACCAGUAUCCGGUCACACUUCUUGCUAGCGACAGUAGCCUUGAUGACUAAAGCAUCCUCGUGGGGGUAUAGAAUUCCUUCCUCAUCUUCAUCCGUCCACAUGAUUGGCACUUGCCUGACCCUUGCUCGUUUGGCUGCUGGGGUGUUGAAGAAUACCUCUUUACUAGUCAUGGCGUAUCUAGCAUAGUUCUUCCUAGAUCUGUUGGAAUCUCCAGCCAAUGUCGGGCCCCCAGCAAUCACCCUUACUGUAGGCUGCUCGUGCCUCAAAUUUCUGCCACUCUGCUCCCCUUCACAUGUCGAGGCCACCAUCGGGAAAGUCCCAUCUACAAACUCGUCCAGGUACCGAUUUCUCACCAAAUCUUCAACCUGGGUCUUGAGAUCUUUGCAUUCUGCAGUGGUAUGGCCAUGAGUGCCAUAGAACUUACAAUGGCGUCCCCUAUCCCUCCUGCUGGGUAGCUUUGUUAUUAGGGCAGGGAGGUACAGCAAUCCUCGGUCCUUUAUGGCCUCGUAUACUUUGUCCAGGGACAUCUUCAAGGAGGUGUAUCGCCCAUACUCCUGGUUUUGGUCAAUCAGGUGCACAGCCCUUUCUCUAUUUGCUCCGUUUUGAGUUGGAGGCGAUGGCAGCAUUUCUGGUCUGCUCCCUCUACUACUGUGGGAGUGUUGAUGAAGACCACCAUAUGCCGAAUCAUGCCUUCUCCAAGGCUCCCUAGCUGGGGAACGAGGAGGGUGCGCCCUGCUGCGCUGAUACUGUGGUGGCCUCUGAUGAGGCUGGUGAGCUGUUAUCCGACCUCCUGUUCCACUACCUGAGGCCUGGAGGUCCCUCCUCCUGAUCGGCCCAUUUCCCGGUAAUGCCCUCUUCUCUUUCUUUUCCAGCCCCUCCAGCUGGUCUGUCUUAAUCCGACCUGCCUUUUCUUCCUCGAUCUCUAUGUCUCUUUUAGCCUGCUCGUAUGCGGCUGCAUACGUCUGAAUAGCUGGGCUUCUCAAGUUGUACCACAGCCUUCCUAUCUUCACUCCCUCUUUCAAUCCCCUUAGUGCCUGAGGAUGGUCGAAGGCUCCCAAAUCGAGGACAGCACGAUGAAACCUCUUGAUGAAUUCCCGAAGGGUUUCUUGCUCCCCUUGCUUCAUGCUUUUCAGCUCCAUCAUGUCAUCUUCUGGUGCCAUUGCCCCACGAAACUGCUCUGCAAACUCCUGGCACAUCUGCUCGAAGGUUUUAAUGCUCCCCCGAGGAAGUUUCUUGUACCACUCUCGUGCACGUCCCUCAAGAGAUAGUGGGAACACCCUGCACCUUUGGGAUUGAGAUAAUCCUUGUACCCCAGUUAUGUCGUUGAAACGCUCUAUGUGCACCAGCGGAUCCGUUCGUCCCGAAUACCUAAGGUCUGGGAGGCGGAAAUCUCUCGGAAUAACUGCCCUCAUGAUCUCUGCUGCGAGCGGUGAUUCUCCGUCCAGCAUUAUCCUCCAACCAGGAGCUCUGCUCCUUCCUUGCAUGUCGUCAAUUAUCUGCGCUAGUCUGCGCACUUCCUCCUCCAGCUGCACUGCGCGACUAGGGUCACGUGCUGCAGCUUGAUCCCGCUCUUGCUCUACAUCAAGCAAGUGUUGCCUCAACUCUGUUUCCUCUGCAUUUGCCACCCUGUCCACUUUAAAUCUGGUGUGGUUAAUGAACAUUUUGAGGUCACAAAAUUUGCACUACUGGAAACAAUAAAGGAAGCAGUACCAGAGAUAUGGUCACCAGAAAUGAAGAGUGCCUGGUCCGAAGCUUGCGAUCAAUUGGUUGCAGCCAUUAAGUUAGAGAUGAAGCCCUCCUCUUAGAGUUUCCUGAACAAAUUUCUCUUCCCUUGUAAUAUUAAAGAAUUUCAACAAGAUCAUUGUUUAUUUGUUAAUCUUUGCAUUGGUACCCAUGUGUGUUUCUUAUGCCUUUUUGUAUCAAUCCUUGUGUUCAACUCUUAAAUCUUAAUAAUAAAAGUUUGUUCCUAAUAUUUGCAUUUAAAUAUUAACAUGUGUGUUAGAUGAUUUGCCUCUUUGAUUCUGUUGCUUCAUUCCCGUGCAUCUAUCCAAUUAUACUGAUUAGUCCUAAACUGGUUUCAAUGCUCUUAACAAGGAAAAGCUUCAAAAUAAGCUCUUCUUUUUUAGUUGUAAGUGUGUUCUCUUCUGUUGAGUUAUUAAUGGAUCAGUGAAAAGGGCUAACAAUUCUUUUGGAAUGUGUUUGCACUAUGUAUAACAACAAUAAAUGAACUCAAAAGAUUAACGUAUAAUGAAGUUAACUUUCUAUAAUGAAGUUUGUUGUGUUUAAUUUAUAUCAUAUUUGUUCUUUUCUAUUGAUAGUGAUCCAGUUGAAAGAAAAGCAGGGGAAGAAAAAAUGGACAACAUCCAAGAAGCAUCUCAUGCCUUUAAGCCGGCAAAAAUUUCGUGCUUCUAAUGUUUUCUUGCUGCUGAAUUCUUGAAUGUAGAAGUUCAACAGUCAAUUCUCACGAACCAGUUGGCGUUUUGCAGCUUGGAAGCUCUAUACUUGAGGUUUUGCAGUUUGCAAUUUGCAGUCUGCAGAUUGUAAGUUUUGAGGGGAGUGUUAUGGUUCACGCUUGCGCAAAUAGAAGGAUAAAGAGAAUGCUCACGUGCUGCACAGGUGGAAUUAAAAGGAAAGCAAUCAAAACCAAAAAGCAAUCAAAGCAAAAGAAAAGUAAUCAAAGCAAAAAGAAAGCAAUCAAAGCAAAAUGCACCGUUUUUACCAAUAUUCCGGGGGCGGAUUCAGGGUUUAAUUCGGGGUAAAUAGCUUUUUCCCUAUUAUAAACACCUGAAGUCAAAGUUAAUGUUUUAAUUUCUUUAGUUUGGUAAAGACUGCUUAAGCUGACUUGAAAAGCUCAAAUAUAAGUUCUAUAUUAACAAAUGCCCGCAGCUUGUGAAGACAUAGAUAAUUGAAGCCGAUGAGGCAUAUUUAACAGAUGAUAAUCAAAACUAAUGUGAUUAAAAUUAUAAUUCAAUAAUUAAGCACAUAAAACAACAAGUAACUAGUUGUAUAUAUACCAAACAACAUUUUGAAGUUAAGGCGUAAAACAGCAACAUAGAACAAAUUAAUUAAAUAUACCAGCACCAAUACUCUUAUUAUUAUCCACAUAGAAAAGAACAAUAUAUCAAACAAGGAAAAUGAAAUAUUGUUAAUAACUCAAAAACCACUAGUGUCAAGGACUAGACUAAUAAGUGAAACCCAUAAUUGGAGGAUAAUUAUGUGCACAUGAGUUCGCUUAGCAAAAGUCCGCCUAGGCGUGGAGUGCGCUUAAAAGCGGGAUGCACUUAGAAGUGAGAUGCGCUUAGCAAAUCAUCCAAGCCCAACCCAAGAUCUAGAACUCUCUGUAAAUUAUUAAUAAGCUAAAGUUUUUAUGUUUCUCCAUGUAGGUCCCUAGGAUAUUUAUGGAAGUUGCUAGGAAGUUUCCUCCCCUAGAACUCUAAUACCUAUAAAUAGGGGUGGGCCGCCUCAUUUGCCCACCAAUCACACCACACACACAAACACUCCAGCACACACACACAAGCUCUCUAGCUUUUGCAAAAAACUCUCUUGUAUAUUCUCUCUUUGUGAGUAAUAAAAUCAUAUUCAGCCAUAUUGCUCUACAUAAAAUCAUAUUCGGCCAUAUUGCUCUACUUCUCUCUAGCAUUUUCCGCAAGUGUUCUUGCUUUGCUAGUUUGAGGAGUGGUCUAGGCUUGCUUAGCAACUUGUUUGCUACAAGGACAUCUUGGUCACAAAACAUGGACAUGCAAGGAAAAAAAAAUAUUGAUACGUUCUAAAAAUAAUACGCAUUCUUCUACAGUGAACCAAAAAAUUUAGGCUAAUGGUAGCAAGUGAAGGAAUUGUGAUUUCACGUGCAUUUUGUUGACAUGAAGGUAAAGAACUUUUUUAUAGUUUAUAUUGUUUAAUAUAACAUUUGAAUUGCAAAAUAGGGGUACAAAAUUGAUACACGAAGUGAGAAAACUAAGCUAAUUAUGAUAAAUAUUGAAUUAAAAGAUUUAGGUUUAAUCAUAAAGACAUAAGUGGCCCACAAAGUCAUGAAUUGAUAUCAUCCACGAUGCAAGUUCAAAAAACUGCAUAAUAAGUUGCCCCAAGCUAAACUAUUAAUCUAGUAACUAUUCUAGUCGAUGUGGGAUAAUUUUCCUAUCACCAUCUAUCACGUGCAGGCCGAAUUUGUUGCUUGGUCCUUACAUGUGGUAAGGUAAUAUGAAUCCACUUGCGCAUGAAUUUGGCUCCGAUAUUAUAUAGAAGCCUAUGACACAAAAUUAUACUUAAAGGUUAUUUCAAGAUUUGAGGGUUGCCUCAAGCUAAUAUUAUUAUUAGCCUGGUAACCCUUUUUUUUUUUGUUGAUAUGUGAUAUUUUCCCUAUAACUUUUAUUAAUCUUUAUGCUUAUGUUUUGUCAUUUAUCCCAAAAUAUAACAAUAACAAAAGUUCCAAAAUUUCCUUCAAGAGAUAUAUUUGAGACAAGUAAUUUGUGCAAUAACUUUGUGAAUUGAUGAGCAAAUUCAGAGAAAAGAAUAUAUGUGCCAAACGUAACGUUUAUUAUUGUGUUUAUUUGUAGAGCUAUUUAAAGCCCAAAAAAAAAAAAAAAGCACCGGUCCGCUAUUAUUUCAAAUAAGUUCAAGCCCUAUGUCAUUAUUGGUACAAAAAUGUAUUAGAAUGGUUAAAAACUAUUUUUAUUUAACUUAUAAACUUAGGAAAUUAUCAACUGUUCACCCUUAAAUUGCAUUGUUAUAAAAAAUAUUACAACAUUUUCAGGUUGUAUCAUUCAUCUACCAUAAAUUUACAAUUUGCAUCAUUUAUCCACCAAAUCAUUAACUUCGUUAAAAAGUGAUAGACGUCACAAGGGUAAUUUAGACAUUUAACACACAAAAAAAAUAAAAGAGAAAUUAUCUAAGCUUACCAUGUUAUCAAAAUUGCUACAAAAUUUUAAAUUUAUUCAAUUUUCCAAUCUAAGUUUAUGACCUCCAAGAUGUUAAUUGCAGUUUGUAAUUAAUGACUUCAUAAGGAUAAUUUAGACACUCAAUAUGCAAAAUAAAAAAUAAAAUAAUGGCUUAAAACAUUAAAACAAAAAACUACUUUUUAUAAUUGAUAUUCAAUUAAAUACACAUAAACUCUAUUUUUUUCUUAAUUAAAAAAAUUCUAAUUUAUUUUCUCAAUUUAUCAUCAUAAAUUUACAUUAAUAAACUAAAUCCACAAAUUACCCUAAACCCUAAUUCAUAAAUGCCCAAUCAAUCUAAUAGUUUAAUUCGAUUUCAUAAUUAAAAAAGCUAAAUUUAUUAUAUUAGUUGUGGUGCAAAGUCAAAAAUGCCCUUAAAUUCAAGGUAAAAUAACAUUUUAUGUAAAUUCUAUAAAUUAUUCUAACAAUGUUAACAUUUUGGUGGACGGUUAAUAUAAGUUACAAACUUAAAAUAGAAAAUCAAAUAAAUUCAAAAUUUCAAACUAUUUAGGGCAAAUUUAGGAUAUAUGGUUAAUAAUUUUCCCAUGUCUUUUUACAUUGGUUGAUAUAAGUUACAAACUUAAAAUAGAAAAUCAAAUAAAUUUAUAUUUUCAAACUAUUUAGGACAAACUUAGGGUAUAUGGUUAAUAAUUUUUCUUUAUCUUUUUACGUUAAAUUGAGUUUCAAAGGUAAAAUGAUCAAUUUAUUAUAAUUCUAUUCAUUUUUUAGUGGAAGCAAAUGAUAUAAUGGACGAGUGAUAUAAAUUGUAAAAUUCUAUUCAUUUAAAGUGCAUGAAUGAUACAACUUUAAAGUAUUGUAGUAAUUUUAAUAAUAGAACAAUUUAAGGGUGGAUUGGCAAUAAUUUAAACUUUAAUGAAGCAACUAAAAAAAUUUGUUAACAAAGAAAAAUAAUUGAAUGCUUGGUGAAACCAAAAGUAAUUGAAAAGCUUUAAGAAAAAUAAAGGAAAUUAAAUAUCUUUAUAAAAACAUAAUUGAGUAAAAUCAUUUUACAAAAUGCUCUUUCAAAUGCACAUUCCACAAGCCAGGGAGAACGGGUGGCUAACAAAAAUGUCACUUUUUAUGAGUUUAUAAAAUCUCACUUUCGCUAAAUUAAAAAAUAACCAAUACUAAUGACACAAAAAAUAAAAAUUAUUGCUGUCACGACAUUACACACUUUCUUCGCAGUUUAGAAAGGUGGAACAUUUUGAAGUUCCUCAAUACAAAAUGCGUGCUACUACUAAAUUGGCCCAAUUAAUGCCCAUCGAAAAGGCCAUCAAUUUAGCCGCCAAUUUUGUCAAAAUUUCAACAAUUGAAGAAAUAAUGAGCACAAAUGGAAAAAAAAAAUCAUAAAGCUACCAAAAGGAACCACAAAAUCAUCAAUAUUAUCGUUUAAUAUGGGGAACGGCCUGCGCAUCCAAAUUGUGCGAACUGAACACGUUGAAAUGUGUUUUUUUUUUUGGAUUUUUGGAAUUUUUUAAAAUCAUUUAUGUUCGCUGCCAUCUUUUUCUUCGCUGGCGUCUUCAUUGGCAUCCCUCUCUUGGCUGGCAUCUGCCUCGUCUGCAGUUUGCUGUGCCUAUAUAUCCAACCAAUAAAUUGGGCAUUAAAUACGAAUGAUGAAUAAAAUGAUUAAAAACAAACAGAGAAAAUUAUAAUAUAACACAUAUAUAUUGAAAGAGAAAUUUUGAUUUUAGGAUAGAUCAAUUAGCUAUCACAAACGAAAACAUGUACCAACUAUGUAUAGAGUCAAUUAACUAAAGUUCUCAAGAGUUGACCUGUGCUCCUGAAUCCUUGGAAUCAUCUAUCUCCUUCUGAAUUUCCACGAAGCCUGGGACAAUCUUGAACAACAACGUUAAAGGAUGGAAUUGAGAUCUGAUAACCCGCAGGCCAAAUGUUGGUGAGGUUUGGUAAGUUUAUCAGUUCCACCCGAAGUUCAUUCAUAACAAUUUCAUUGUAAUCCGUGACGUCUGCUCCAUCUUUAUGCCAGAAUACUUCUUCUAAUUCAUCAUUAGCUGCUAUGUUUAGGUUCUUCAGUUUUUGAAGACUUGGAGCUACGCUGAUAUGAAAUAGAUGCUUUAGUUUGGGGCAAUAAGCGACAGUGAUCUCUGUGAGUUUUGGGAAACAUACAGGUUGGAGAUGAUCCUCAUCCUCAUCCUCAUCAAUGAUUUGCUCUAAUUCCCAGCAAUUGCGAAUGUAUAACUCCUUCAAACAUGGGAAUAGUUUGUUUUCUGGUCCCUCAGCGAUAAUAGCUUCCAAUUGAAAUACCACCUGUACUCCAAUUUCCCUAAUAUGCAAUUCUUCCAAAUUUUUUAAUCCGUGCUUCAACAGUGCUGGAAUCGUGUCACUCAAAUGGGAACAAUUGUCCACAUCUAGAGUAUUUAAGUUCUGAGACAAAUAAAUAAAUAACUUGAUGCAAUUAAAAUUUAUUAGCAGCUAGGAUUAUCACAUGAUAAGUGAUGAACACCGCAAAAAUAUCAUAAUACAUAUGUAAACUAAUAAAAUAAUUAAAAAGUAAUGGAUUUAAAAAAAAUGAAAUUAGUUAAAAGAGAUCAUGUGAAGUGAUAUAAAUGUGACAGUAGAUUGUUUUAGAAAAAAAUAUUAUUCUAUUAAUUUAUAUGGCUUGAUAAACUAUUUAAUUGAAUUUGAAUAAUAUUAUAUACACUUCUGAAGUAUUUGCAUCAAUUCUUUCUAAACCAAAAUGAGAUAUGACUUUCAUUUGAAGAAUGGUUUUAGGCCCUAUAAUAAAGAAAUUUUCCUAAGAUAUCUGAGCAUUAUUAUUAUCAUUACCACAUCCACCACCACCAUCAUCAUCUCCAUAGGAUCAAAUAAUUGUCAAAAGUCAUGGCUGGCAUCGGCCAUCUAGAUGGCCAGUGCCAUGCGAUUCAACACGGCCCACCAUUAUUGGUGGUGCCGCGUUGACUUAUUCUAUAAAAAAAAAAAAGGAGCCAAAAUUUUGGCUAUAUAAAGAGGGCUUCCCACCCUCAUUUUGCAUUCCAUUACGAGAGAGCAAUUUAGUAGUUGAGAGAGAGUUUAGAGAGCUUGAAAUUAUAAAGCUUUUGUUAUAGUGAUUUAGAGAGUUUGGGUGUAUUGAGAUUUUUGGGAAGUGAGCUAAAAUACUACAAUACUUGUAACUCCUUUUCACUAGUAAAAUAUUUCCUUCUGUUUUUGCCCGUGGACGUAGGCUAAAAGCCGAACCACAUAAAUUCUGGUGUCCUCUAUUAUGCUUGUUCUUUAUUUUCUUCCAAUUUCACUUUAGCUGCUUGUCUGCUUCACCCACCAAUUUCCUAACAGUGGUAUCAGAGCUAUUGGUUGUAUUUUUUUGAGUCGGGUACUGUUCACGUAAGGGGUACUAUUCACGUAUACGGUACUAUUCACGUAUACAGUACUAUUCACGUAUACGGUACUAUUCAUGUAUACAGUACUAUUCACGUGAAACGGUGGGAGCGAUCCAAGAAUUUUACGGUGCAAAGCAGGGAAUAGUGGUGUGAGUAAAACAACUGUGUGGUUUUGUACAUGUCUAGGAAAGUUAUGUCACAAAGGCGAUAAGAGCUUAAGGAGUCUGGGUUUUAAGUGGGACCAUUGUGACCCCUCCAGUCUUUCCUGGGAACUUUCCUGGUGUGCAUUCUCACACAUACUUACAACUAUUCAAGGUGGUACACUAGUUUGUGUGCGGUAUUUAUCAACAAAAUGGCGGCAAAGUAUGAAAUUGAGAAAUUUAACAGAAACAAUUUUUCGUUGUGGAAAAUGAAGAUGAAAGCUGUAUUGAGGAAAAAUAAUUGCUUGGCAGGAAUUGGAGAAAGGCCCAUGGAGAUAACUGAUGACAAGUGGAAUGAGAUAGAUGGCAACGCCAUUUCUGAUCUACACUUGGCACUUGCAGAUGGAGUAUUAUCCAGUGUGGCAGAGAAAAAUACAGCGAAGGAAAUAUGGGAUACUCUUACAAAAUUGUACGAGGCCAAGUCACUACACAACAAAAUCUUCUUGAAGAGGAAACUUUAUACUCUUCGAAUGACGGAAUCUACAAUGGUGACCGACCACAUCAACACCUUGAAGACUCUAUUUUCACAACUCACAACGUUGGGUCAUAAUAUAGAGGAGAAUGAACGAGCAGAGCUUCUACUUCAAAGUCUAUCAGAUUCGUAUGAUCAACUCAUCAUCAACCUAACGAAUAAUAAUCCAGUGGACAAUCUAGUUUUCGACGAUGUUGCAGUCUCCGUAUUAAAUAAGGAGAGUAGGCGGAAAAAUAAAGAAAACAGACAAGCAAGUUCACAGCAAGCGGAGGCGCUAUCGGUGACGAGAGGGAGAUCAACAGAACGUGGCCCCAGUGAGAGCCACAAUCAUGGUAGAUCAAAAUCCAAAAGUAAGAAGAAUAUUAAAUGCUACAACUGUGGCAAGAAAGGGCACAUCAAGAAAAAGUGUUGGAGUAACCAGAAGAGAAGAGAGGGCAAAGAACCUGAGUAAUCAAAUGCUCAGGGUUGUGUAGCAAGUACCUCGGAUGAUGGCGAAAUUCUCUACAGUGAGGCAACAACUGUUUCAGAAGGCAGAAAACGACUAUUUGAUGUCUAGCUUAUAGACUCAGGAGCUACCUGGCAUAUGACCUCUCGGAGAGAAUGGUUCCACACAUAUGAACUUAUCUAAGGAGGAUCUGUAUAUAUGGGUAAUGAUCAUGCCUUGGAGAUCGCUGGUAUUGGUACUAUCAAAAUAAAAAUGUUUGAUGGUACAAUUCGCACAAUUGGGAAGGUACGACAUGUCAACGGCCUGAAGAAAAAUCUAUUGUCUUUGGGACAAAUGGAUAGUUAUGGGUAUAAAACUCAUGUGGAGAAUGUAAUUAUGAAGAUCGUUAAAGGAGCGCUUGUAUUAAUGAAGGCAUAAAAGAUCAGUGCUAAUCUAUUCAUGCUUAAAGGAGAAACACUACAGGAGGCUGAUGCGUGUGUCGCAUUUAAUGGAGAAGAAUCAACGAUGAUGUGGCAUCUCAAACUUGGCCACAUGUCAGAACAAGGUUUGAAGAUUCUCUCUGAGCGAAAAUUGCUUCUGGGGCUCAAAUCGGUAAGUUUACCAUUUUGCGAUCAUUGUGUUACAAGUAAGCAGUAUAGAUUAAAAUUUAGUAGAUCUAUUGCUAGAAGUAAAUGCAUUCUAGACUUGAUUCAUUUUGAUGUUUGGGAAUCACCGGAUAUAUCCAUGGGAGGUGCAAAGUACAUGGUGACUUUCAUUGAUGAUUAUUCCAGAAAAUGUUGGGUGUAUCCAAUUAAGAAAAAGUCAGAUGUAUUUCCAGUGUUUAAAGAAUACAAAGCGCGGGUGGAACUUGAAUCUGGUAAAAAGAUCAAGUGCUUGAGGACAGAUAAUGGUGGAGAGUAUACAGACGGCGAGUUUCUUGCUUUCUGUAAGCAAGAAGGUAUUCAGAGACAGUUCACGCUAGCAUACACUCCUCAACAAAACGGAGUGGCGAAGCGGAUGAACAGAACUCUUACAGAAAAAAUAAAAGCUAUGUUGAGGACUGCUGGUCUACCCAAUUUAUUCUGGGCAGAAGCAGCCAAAACUGCUUGUUAUAUAGUAAAUCGGUCGCCAUCUACAGUUAUUGGGCUGAAGACAGCGAUGGAGAUGUGGACUGGAAAGCCAGCUGAUUAUUCAUACCUACAUGCAUUUUGAUGUCCUGUGUAUGUGAUGUACAAUGCCCAAGAAAGAAAAAAACUGGAUCCAAAAUCUAGAAAAUGUAUCUUCUUGGGAUAUGCUGAUGGAGUAAAGGGGUAUCGUCUGUGGGACCCCACUGCCCACAAGAUCGUCAUCAGCAGAGAUGUUAUAUUUAUAGAAGAUCAACUGCAAAGGAAAGAUGAGGAUGAUAGCACUAUAAAAGAAAAGUCAGAGACUGUACCGGUAUAUGUGAAAAAUAAUCCAGAAGAUUCAUAUUCUUCUGAAGCAGCACCAGAGCACGAGGAACAAGAACCAGUCGAGUCCGAGGCUCAAGAAGUUCGUCGAUCAACUCGUGAGAGACGACCGCCAACGUGGCACUCGGAGUAUGUUACAGAGAUCAACGUUGCAUACUGUCUUCUAACAGAGAAUGGAGAGCCUUCAACUUUCCAUGAAGCUUUAAACAACUCAGAUGUUACUUUGUGGAUGACAGCAAUGCAGGAAGAAAUUGAGGCUCUACACAAGAACAAGACAUGGGAACUUGUACCACUACCACGUGGAAGAAAAGCCAUUGGAAACAAAUGGGUCUACAAGAUCAAACGUGAUGGCAAUGACCAAGUGAAGCGGUAUCGUGCGAGAUUGGUGGUGAAAGGAUAUGCUCAGAAAAAAAGUAUUGACUUCAACGAGAUAUUUUUACUGGUGGUUCGACUCAUAACAGUCAGAGUAGUCUUGGUGAUGUGUGCUACAUUUGACUUACAUCUUGACCAGUUAGAUGUGAAAACUGCAUUUCUUCAUGGAGAACUUGAAGAAGAAAUAUAUAUGCUCCAACCAGAAGGUUUUGCAGAAACAGGAAAGGAGAACUUGGUUUGCAGGUUGAACAAAUCUCCAUACGGUCUUAAACAGGUGCCGAGGUGUUGGUAUAAGAGAUUUGAUUCCUUCAUUGUGAGUCUUGGAUACAAUAGACUCAGUUCAGACUAUUGUGCAUAUUACAAGAGGUUUGAAGACAAUGAUUUCAUUAUUUUACUGUUGUAUGUGGAUGACAUGUUGGUAGCAGGCCCCAACAAAAAUCAAAUCCAAGAAUUGAAGGCACAGUUGGCUAGGGAGUUUGAAAUGAAGGACUUGGGACCAGCAAACAAGAUUUUAGGGAUGCAAAUUCACCGAGACAGAAAUAACAGGAAGAUUUGGCUUUCGCAGGAGAAUUACUUGAAGAAAAUAUUGCGGCGCUUCAACAUGCAAGAUUGUAAGUCAAUUUCUACCCUACUUCCUGUUAAUUUCAAACUAUCCUCAAGUAUGUGUCCUAGCAAUGAAGCAGAGAGGAAGGAGAUGUCUCGAGUAUCGUAUGCAUCAGCAGUGGGAAGUUUGAUGUUCGCUAUGAUAUGUACAAGACCAGACAUUGCACAAGCAGUGGGAGCAGUCAGUCGAUACAUGGCGAAUCCUAGUGGAGAGCAUUGGAUAGCUGUGAAGAGGAUUAUGAGAUACAUCAGAGGAACCAUCAGAUGUUGCAUUAUGUUAUGGAGGAUCAGAGUUUACUGUCAGGGGCUAUGUGGAUUCAGAUUUUGCAGGAGACCUUGAUAAAAUGAAAUCUACUACUGGUUAUGUGUUUACACUUGUGGGAGCAGCUGUAAGCUGUGUUUCAAAACUGCAGACCGUUGUAGUUUUAUCUACGACAGAAGCAGAAUACAUGGAAGCUACACAAGCUUGCAAGGAAGCUAUUUGGAUACAAAGGUUAUUGGAGGAGCUCGGGCACAAACAACAGAAAAUUCCUGUGUUUUGUGACAGUCAGAAUGCCUUGCACAUUGCAAGGAAUCCAGCCUUUCAUUCCAGGACAAAGCACAUAGGAGUUCAGUAUCACUUCGUUCGUGAAGUAAUGGAAGAUGGAAGUGUGGAUUUGCAGAAAAUCCAUACCAAAGAGAACCUAGCAGAUGUUUUGACCAAGCCGAUAAAUACUGAUAAGUUUGUUUGGAGUAGAUCUUCUUGUGGCCUAGCAGCAACAUAAGCAACAUGACUACGACGAAGCAGAAAGGAUAAUGUGGAGAUUGAUUAAUUCUCAAUCUAAUCUCCAAGUGGGAGAAUGUCAAAAGUCAUGGCUGGCACCGGCCAUCUAGAUGGCCAGUGCCAUGCCAUUCAACACGGCCCACCAUUAUUGGUGGUGCCGUGUUAACUUAUUCUAUUAAAAAAAAAAAGGAGCCAAAAUUUUGGCUAUAUAAAGAGGGCUUCCCACCCUCAUUUUGCAUUCCAUUAAGAGAGCAAUUUAGUAGUUGAGAGAGAGUUUAGAGAGCUUGAAAUUAUAAAGCUUUUGUUAUAGUGAUUUAGAGAGUUUGAGUGUAUUGGGAUUUUUGGGAAGUGAGCUAAAAUACUUGAUGGGUGUCGAAGCCAACAAAAAUAAAUUCCUACUCUAAAUAAAUUGUGUAUAGUGAUUGAGCAGGGUCGUGUCCACAGAGAUCGGUAAUUAUUUAAAUCCUUUUGAAACGUAAAACGUAAAAUGGGGGAAUUGUAGACAAUAAUAAAAAUCAAAUUAAAUAACAAGAAUGCAAAUUAAAGUUGUAAUUCAAAUUGGAGAAAGCUCUGGUUGAAGGAAUUAACUAAGCUUGAUUCGACUACUGAUCAUUGAUUCAAAUAUAGAUUAUUAUUACUCAUGAAUAGACCGGUUAUAGCUAUUGAGACCCUCUAAUAGCCAAUCUCUCCUUAACUAGUCGAUAACCAAGGUACGACCGUUAGUUAUUUCCCUAAUCAAUAGACAACCCUAGAUACGAUCAUAUGAUUUAAUCAAUUGACAGCCUGAAAAACCAGAGAGACCCAAAUCCUAAUCAACACAUAUGAUGAUUCAUUUAAAUUAGAUUGUUUAUUCUCACAACACAACUCUCUGCUAUGUUAUUUGUCACAAACAUUAAAUUCUUAAUACGAUGAAUCCUUUAAUUGACAAUAGAUUAAGUUGAUAAUUAAAUAGUGGUCAAUUACCUAAUUAACAAACAUAAUCAUGAAACUAAUUCAGAGAAUAAACAAAUACCCAAAAAGUAAUAAAACAAUUAAAGCAUAAGAAAGAUCUCACAGUAGUGAUGAAUCAAAGCUUCAUUAUCCUUCAACCAGAAAAAUAGGUUUAGUUCUUCAUAGAGAGAAGAGAAUCUAGGGUUUCUUUCUUCUUCUUCAAUCCAAAAAUCCCCCUUUUUCACAAUAGAUUCCUCCCUUAAAUACUCUCUCUCUCUUCUCUUUUAGAGUUCUAUUUAAAAUAAAAUACUAAUAUCUGAAAUAUUAAAUUUGUAAUUACAAAAAUAACCAAAAAUACAAAAUACGUUAAACUAAAAACUGCAGGUCCGUAGUUGACAGCACGCGCCCACGCCUUAUCAACAAAGUUCUUCUGACGCUCAUAAUUUCUCCAAGAGAACAAUCAUCAUUAAAUAUCAUCUUGUAGCUUAAUUUUAUCACCAAUCAAUAGAAUUGCACCUACAAAAGUAAAACACAAGUAAAUCACUAUUAUUAAGUGCAAAACAUCGAUAUUAAGGGAAGUAAACAAUGCAAAACUAGUGCUUAAAUUGCACUCUAACAAAUUCCCCCAUACCAAGAUGAUGCUUGUCCUCAAGCAUAUAACUCAAGACUAAUCCCAAAUCUCCACUCAAUUCUCAUCUCAACUCAUCCAAAAACAAUUUUAAGCAAGUAUACCUCAAGAAAUUAAGUCGAUCAACAUUCGAGAGACAAGGAUUUUAAAGCAUAGAAUCUCAUAAGAUAGAAUAAGAACAUUCAACCACUAAGAAGAUCCAUUCAAAAUUCAAGUGCAACAAGAUUUAAUAGCCCUCUCAUUGACUUCACUCCAUGCACUCAAAGUGUUUAGGGUGUCAUUUAUUCACUCAAAUCAAAUCAAAGAAUGCUAUUACCAUAAGCUUGCUUAUAUAUCACAUCUCAAUCCACAAAACAUGAAUUAAAUGCAAAAAUCUAAGGGUCUUAAAAGGUUGUAACGGGGUUAAAUGGGUUAAAUGAAAAAGAAAGGUUUAUGAAAGAAAAAGAGAUCAAAAUGAGAAGAAUGAACUCAUUGAACGAACUUUAUGAUAUCGAAACGCUUAUUUCUACUCAAGUCACCAAGAAUGUAAACAUUUUUUUUUUCGAUCUUUCUUUUUCUUUUUUCUUUUUUUCUUUUUUUUUUCUCUUUUUUUUGAAUCAAACAAAAGAAACGAACCUUGCACAAUUUAAUUCAAGCAUAAUGCUUGUUGAUCUAAUUGAGAAACUUUAUUACAAGGUAGAAAAAGCAACAAAAUAUAUCCACACAAUGAGUCCAAAAAUCUCCUUAAAUUGAGGCUCAAAAAGAAGAAAAAUGGUUAAGUAGACGGAGAAAAUUAGAUGGGUAAUGGUUAAGGCUCAAACAAAGAUAGCAAAUAAAGGUCUUCGAGUAGAGAAAAAAAAAUGCGAGAAUAGAAAAAUGGAAAAGGGUUUGCCCUUAUCAUUUUAAUGCAUAAAAUCCCGUAAUGCGGCUUCAACAUGCAUAACAAAGCAAGUUCUAGAAUAAACAAACUAAGAUUGAUAUUCACAUAACAAAAAUAUUAGAGCAAAGUGGUUGCUCAUAGGCUCAAAUCCUCACAAAGUUGGUAAAUUUGCCAUCAAAUCAUGUACACUCUUCAAAUGAAUCAACCAUCAAUAGUGGUGUAGAAUGAGAAGAAGGUAUGAGUGAAGGAAAGGUAAAAAUGAUAAGAAAUGAGAAAGAUGUAUGUAGUAAUAUGAAAAGUGAAAGAUAAAAUGUGAGUGAUGAAAGAAUAUGGUAAAAUAAAAAUAGAUAUGAAUAAUUUGAAAUAGAUGGGAAAAAAGUAGUGAGAAAGCGAGGAAAAGAAAAUUAAUAAUAUAUGAAGCAUACUAACUCCAAAAUCAUUUAAGGAUGAGUAGAGUGAAAAUAGAUGAGUAGAGUGAAAACAAUAAUUUCAGACAUCAAUAAUGCAAAAAUCCCUCCCCCACACCAAGAACUUACAUUGUCCUCAAUGUAAAAUAAUCAAAGCUCACAUAAAAAUUAAAGCGUAAAGAUAAAAGAUUAAAGGAAAAAAAAACUUCCCUGAAUUGUGAACUUUGAUCCACAUAACGUCUAUGGUUGCGUUGUGAUUGCUGCUCGGCUGGAGCUUGCUUGAUGGACGCGGGAUGGAGCUGAUUGUGUUGCGCGCGCGCGCUGGGGCUGCUAGAUCUGCGCGCUGCGUGGGCUGUGUUGCGCGUGAGAGCUGGGCUGACGCUGGUUCUGCGCGCUGCUGGGCGAAGGCUGGAUCUACUCACGCGGGUUGCUGCUCGCUGGACGCGGGAUGCUGGUGCUGCUGGUUGCGUUGCGCGCGCGGGACUGAUGCACUGCGCGAUGGUGAUGGCUGGAGCUUUCUGCGCCCGGGCUGGUUGCGUUGCAGGUGGGACUGAUGCGGCUGCGUUGCGCGCGCGAGAACUUGCGUUUUCCGGCGGGCUAGUUUGCUACUGGUGUGCUGCAAGCGGCUGGAGAAGAAAACAAGAUCUGGAAAAUUAGGGAUUUUGUGAACAAUAAAUUUUUUUUUUUUUUAAACAAUGAUGAUUUUUUUUAUUAUAAAUAAAUAAAUAAAUAUAUAAAAGAAGAACAAAACAAAAUCUCUUUUUUUGUUUUUUUUUUUAAAUAAAAUUAAAUUAAAAAAAAUUUUUUUUUUGAAUCACUUUGAGACACCAAAAAUUUCAAAAGUACUUUUUUAAUAAGCACGUGGGCAAGCCUUAAAACUAUUUUACUUUAAAAAUUACAGAAGUACUUUUUAGUUAAGACGUGGGCACGCCUUAUCGAAAAUUUUCUUUUGGCCAAAAUAAGCAAACACAUUAUUUUUUAAAAAAAAUCGGAAUCAAAAUUAAAAGAAAAUAUAACAAAAACCAAAAUAAAUAAAUCAUUUGGGUUGCCUCCCAAAAAGCGCCUUUGUUUUAUGUCUUUGGCUAGACACAUUGAUGCAUCAAUCUCCAUAAUUGGGACUCUCGAGAGCCACAUCUUCCACAAUAUUUACCGAAAAACCUUCAUAAAAAGGUUUUAAGCGAUGACCAUUAACCUUAAAAACUUUGUCAGAGGUCGGACUCCGAAUCUCAACUGCACCAUAAGGAAAAACAUUAGUAACAAUAAAAGGUCCAACCCAGCAAGAACGUAAUUUACCCGGAAAUUACGUCAUGCAUAUCCAUAUGGCUACAUCAUGGCUUUACUAAGAGAGCAUGCUGGCAUUGUUGUUGCUAAUUCAACCUUGAUUGGUGUUUCAGAACGAGUUGCUGAUGAAUGUAAGGGGCUGCCUUUAGCUAUUAAAGCUGUUGGAAGUGCACUAAAAGGUAAAGGAUUUGAUGAGUGGAAUCUAGCUCUAGAUAAACUACAAGAUGCAAAACUCAAUACAAUCGAAGGUAUUGGCAAUGAGGACCAAGACGUUUACCAUUGUCUCGAAUUUAGUUACGAUUAUUUGAAUGGUGAGGAUUCCAGGUCGUGCUUCUUGUUGUGUUCUUUGUUUCCAGAGGAUUGUGAGAUAUAUUUGGAUGAUUUGGUUGGAUAUGCAGUGGGGUUGAGAUGGUAUCGAGCUGAGUCAAUUGAAAAAGUCAGGAGCCUACUGAGUGGAACGAUGAAAGAGGUCAAAGCUUCUUCAUUGCUGUUAGACACUGGCAAUGACAGAUCUGUGAAAAUGCAUGACGUAGUCCAUGACGUAGUCCAUUACAUAAUUUACCUUUUAGUGCACUUCCAACAGCUUUAAUAGCUAAAGGCAGCCCCUUACAUUCAUCAGCAACUCGUUCUGAAACACCAAUCAAGGUUGAAUUAGCAACAACAAUGCCAGCAUGCUCUCUUAGUAAAGCCAAUCCUUCUUCUCGCUUUAGAACACCUAGUUGAAUCCGCGUGUCACAACCCAUGCGAUCACAAACUGGCUGCAGGCGAGUGGUUAUAAGGAUUUUGCAACAAUUGUCUUUAUCACCAACAGGAAUACCUACUGUCUCCAAGUCGAGUUCAUUCCAGACAUUAUAAGAAGAAGAAAUUAAGAACCAUAACAAAUUUGAUGAUUCUAAUUUGCUAGAAAUAUUGCAAUCCAAAACUAAGAAAGUUAAAACCAAUUAUUUGAAGAAAAAAGUAGGAUAGAAGCUCCCAGAAUAUUGUUAUGUGUUGUAUGUUUUCAGUUUGUAUUUCCCAAUCAAUAAGGAAAAGUAAGUACACAUGUUACAAAAAUUUAAUAAAAAAGAUUGGAGGUGACAAAACCUAUCAAUCUUCUAAUUAACUUUCUCUCCUUUCGAAUUUCCUGAGUUUGGUAGAGAUUGCUUAAGUAGUGUAUCUAUUAUAAACAGGCAAAACUAUGUUGCAACAGUGGUAUGGUACUACUGUUGCAACCAGCCAUUGGAUCUAUAAUUGUUCAGUUACAUUAGCAAGAUCCAAUGAUUGAAAGCAACAUUAGUACCGUAUCACUGUUGCAACAUAGCUGGACCCAUUAUAAACACCUGAAGUCAAAGUUAAUGUUUUAAUUGUUAAGAAAAGUUAGAAGAAGAAAUUUUUGUAUAAGAGAAUUGGGUUUAAAUUUAGAAUUCUUUGGGAGGAAAUGAGUCAAAAUUCCAAUAAUAUAAUUCAGCAGUAUUUAUAUAUAUCAUUAGUUGGGUGAAAAAUUAAUUUCCCUCCUUUGAUGUGAUUUUCAUAAUUUAUUUUCAUAUGAUGGUAAUUUUUUGUUUAGAGUGAAGUUAUUGGCACCCUUUCAUUAUCCUUAUAAAAUCCUACUUCAAAUAAAAUUACACUUAAAGACAAUAGAAUUAAAUAACAUAGUUUUUUUUUUCAAACAAAUUACUCACAUUCAUAAUUUUUUUUCUUCUAAUUUUCUACAGGUUGCUUUGUAUCUAACUAAAAUAAAUUGUACAAAUUUAGAAUAAUCUAUUAUUCUUUUUAAAUUUCUUAUUGAUUAAAUAUUUGUGUGCUUAAGGUAGCUUUAAAAUUAUAAGAUAAAAUAUAUAUAAUUUAAGCCAAUGAUUAACAUUCAAAAAUUUAUCUCUCAUAAAAGUUUUUAAUUUGUGCGUAGGGUAAUAAUAAAAUUGCAAAAGAAAUGAAAAAUAGCAUAGCACUAUUUUGAGUUUAAACAAUAAAAAUUUAAAUGAAAAAUUAGAAGUGUAUUUAAAAAAAAGGAUAUUUUUAAAAAUAAAAUAAAUAUAAUUAAAAAAAAAAGAGUUUCAUGAGGGGUGCAAUAGUUCAACUCUUUUGUUUAUAAGUUUUAAGAUGUUGGUAUCCGUAGCUUAGCUUUUCCCUAAUUAUUAUAUUAAAAUGUAACAACAAUGAUGAUCAACCCUAAUUUCGUGGAGGUCAAAGAUUUUGGUCAUGCCGCAUUAAUUAGUUCGGUCAUACUUUCUACAAAUUUAUUUACAUUUAAUAAUUUGACCAAGACUACGUAAGGCGCCGCCUGGAGUCAUAGAAUUUUAUAUGUCGUUUAAUAUGCUCAUUUUGUAUUUUUUUUAAAAAGUUUUAUUAAUUUUUUUUUGUUUUUAAAAAUAUCAUUUAUUUAUUUAAAUUUUUUUAAAGGUAAAGAAGUGGGUAAAGUUUAAAUUCAAUUUUUAUCCCUUACAUCAUGGCCCCUAAGAUUUGAACUAAAAUCUUAAAAAUGAAAUUGUAAAGAAAUCCCAGUUCGUAUAAAAGAAAGAAAACAAAAUUAAGGAAAACAUAAGCACAACAAAAUUUGACUGAUUAUUAAAAAUGAGAAAUGAGUUAUAAUGAGAAUUUUAGCUUUGUCGUGAAAUAAAUUGGGAAGUAUCCAAAGUACGCAUGUAAAUAAUGUAAAUGAUAAGAAGACGAAGGGAACAUAAUGAUAAUAAGCAAGCCAAAUAUUAAAAUGCAGAUUCUACGCUUCCGCCCCCAUACUUCAAGUUAGUGUCUCGCUAAUCAUUUUAGAUGUAUCAAUUACAAAGGGAGGCCAUCUAUUUAUGGUAAGCGUACGCCUCUAAUGCUUUGCCAAGUGUCCAUUGAUAAUAUCACAAGGGAAAUUAAAUUGGUGUAUGUGUAUUACACCUCCUAAAGUCAUGUUAAGAUAGUUAGUGAGCUGAUAAAGUUUGUUGCACGUGUGAGUUGGUUAAAUCUGCUAGAAAUGCAAACGUGUAAAGCUGAGUUAGCAAGUUAGUUAAGGUUGUUACGAAUUCUUAGAUUCAGCUCACGUGUAUUGUAUGUAAUACUUAGAUUCAGGUCAUGUAGAUUGUGUAAACAACUUUCUAAUAUUCUUUAGAUCUCAAUAUAAAUACUUGUAAUCAACAAAUACAAUAAUAAGAGUCAUCAUUCUUCAUUUUCUCUCUGUUUCUCCAUAUUUUCUCUACAUCCAAACACAAUAUUCUCAGUUCUUGACUUGGUAUCAGAGUUGCAGUUUAAUUGUCAUGGCUUCCUUAAGCACAAAUUCAAACACAAAUCAGUCUCCUUCAUUCUUUACCCUCACAAAUGCGAUCAAACUGGACAGAUCUAACUAUACGAUCUGGAAAUCUCAGAUCCUCUCUUCAGUGCGUGCCAAUGGACUUGAAGGCUUUCUUAAUGGAACUAAAAUUUGUCCAGAUCAGUUACUUACUCAAGAGAUUGAAAGUUAUGGUGUUGAAAAUACUGGUGGUGAAAGCUCAGCUGAUAGAUCUCAGGAGAAUCCAGCCUUUGUUGCUUGGAAAAGGUAGGAUCAAUUAUUAUUAAGUUGGCUCAUGUCCUCCAUCAGUGUUGAGAUACUUAGUCUUGUGGUAAAUUCUGAUUCUUCUCAUAAACUUUGGACUAAUCUUGAAGAAAAUUUUUGGAUUAGAAACUAUGGCUAAGAAAGCACACUUAAAAAUGAUGUUAAGCAAUCUCAGAAAGGGAUCAAUGACAAUAACUGAGUAUUUUGCCAAACUUAGAGCUGUAACUAAUAAACUUGCUGUAACUGGUAGCCCUGUUUCUACUCUAGACUAUAUUACUCAUCUAAUAUCUAAAUUAGGCCAGCCAUACUACCCUGUUGUUUUGUAUAUUGAAGCUAUUGUUUUGUAUAUUGAAGUUAAUAUGAUGAAAAUAUUUGUCAAUGAAGCAUAUUCUAUGCUUUUAACUCAUGAAGCAAGAAUUAAAGCUAAUCAUCCAAGUGCAAAUAAAGAAGCAAAGUUGAAUUAUGCUGCUAACAUAGCUUAGGCUGGACCUAGUACUAAAUAACAAUAAGAAGUCUAGUAAUCAAGCUAAUUACUAUCAGGGCAACCAAGGUAACUGGAAAAGAAAUGCUCAUUGGUGUGGUAACAAUGGAGGAAGAGGUGGCUUUGGCAGAGGUUUUUCAGGGCAAGGAAGGGGUAAUUAGAAUAAUGGUGGUCAUUGGAACAAUGGACCUUGGAGUAGUAGUUGAGGAGGCUAUAAUGGUUCUGAUAUAAACAAUAUGACAUGGUUGCUGGUGAACCUGUAAACAUAACCAAAAAAGUAAGAAGGCAUAAUUUUUUUAUAAGAAACUCAAAAAUAUAUUAAUGAUGAAAAUUUUAAAACAGAUAGUGGACCAGCUGUCCAGUAAGAAAACAAAAAAUUGAAUAUUUGUGCUAUAAAAAGGCACACCCAAUCUCACCCCUAUAAAAGGCUAGAAUCAGCUACAAAUCCCUAUCUCAAAACCCCAUCCCAGUUUAGAUGAAUGAAGAAAAAAGAUGAAUCUUGAAACUCCUUAGAAACUGAAUCCCAAAGUGAAGCAAGAAGAUGAACUCUAUCCCAAGCAAGCAAUAUGGCAUAUUUCUCCAUUAAUGGUUAAAAUAGGAUAAAAGCUCGUUUCAUCCUUAUAUUUUAAUAUUCGUGCCUAUUUAGUCUCUGUAUUUUAAAAAAUACCUCAAAACAUCCUUAUCCUUAAAUUAUUGACAUUUCUGCUGUUACUUUUUGUUUUUUUUAACUUGCUUUUACAAUAUUACCCUCUUACAAUAAUGUUUCUUUUUAUAAAGUUAAUAAAAAAAUUAAAUUAUCAAUUUAACCCCAAAAAUAAAAUAAAAACAAAAAGAAUAUAUUAAUUUUUGUGAAAGCUUACAUGUGUCUAAAAAUUUUUUUAUUGUAAAAAUAAUUAAAUUACCUUGUUUUUGGACAUUGGUAAUAAAAAAAUUAAUAUAUUAAUUCCUCAGCAGUGUGUUACAAAAAAGUAACAUAUAUUAAUUUUGUUUCUAUUUUAUUUUUUGAGAUUAAAUUAAUAAUUAUUUUUUUUCUUUUUACUAAUGUCCAAAAAAAAUAUUAUAAGAGGGUAAUAUUGUAAAAAUUAAGCCAAAAGUAACAAAAAGUAAGAGGAAAUGUGCUAAUAAUUUAAUGUCAGGGAUGUUUUGAGGUAUUUUAAAAAAUAUAGGGAGUGAACGGGUACUAACCUCAAAAUAUAGGGACUAACCGAGAUUUUACCCGUUAAAAUAAAGUAGAUGGCUGUCUUGAUGAAUGGGAAAUUGUCAAGAUCAAUAUUCAAACUCACGCAAAGUAAACGGACUUAAUUCUCAGGGGCUACUCAUUCUAAGUCUUAAAGAAAAUUUUUCUAAUUUCUAAAGAUUAUAUGGGGAAAAAUCAUUAUUUUCUAACAUGGAAAAUUUGAUACGGUGUUUAAUGUCUGAUCACAAUGAUAAUAUGAGUACUAACAAAAACAUCUUUAAUCGGCAUGGUGCGAGUAAAACACCUUUGCAAUCCAAUCAGCGAACGCCUUUGCAUUAGGCACAGUACCCGAGAGGAACACAAAUCGGGAGUCCUUUGGAGCCAUCACAAUGCUCUCUUCCCAUACCACACCUCUCUCACGAUCACGCAUGUAAUGUACCUCAUCAAAUAUAGCCCAAGCCACUUCACGCGUAAUCUCUGAGCCUUUGUACUGCAUACUACGCCAGAUUUCAGUAGUCAUCACCUGAAAUUAAACUUCAUAUAAGCAAUCCACAAAUCAAAGCGCUGCAACACCCAAAAGAUGACACUACCAAGUUGACCUACCAAACAAGAAGCAUUAGGGUCAAUUGUGACAUCCCCAGUCAUCAAACCGACAUCUGAAAACUCUUCUUUAAACUCCCUGUACUUCUGAUUGCUGAGUGCCUUAAUCGGUGAAGUAUAUAUCACACGUUGCUUAUUCCGCAACGACAUAGCAAUAGCAUACAAUGCUACCACAGUCUUCCCAGCAGAUGUAUGGUUCGAUACCUUUCAAAUAAAUGAAAGGCAAUUAAAAAAAGAAAAGAAAAAAAAAAACUAUUUUUAUUUUCACACAAGAUAACACUUCAUGCAAAACUUCUUAAUUCUUAUCGGUGAGCUGAAAAGCAGAGCGCUUUGUACAAAAGCACUUCCAAAUUCGAAUUAAAUUUUUUACAAAAAAUUACAGCUUUAUAUAUAUGUGUGUGCGCGUGCGUAUAAUAAUAAUAAUUAACGAACCGUAACGGACUGGCCGUUGUCGAGGCACUUGAUAGCUUCGGACUGGAAUGGGUCGAGAGUGAAAAGGAAUUCCUUAGCAGGUUUAGCGUCAGCUUCAGCCACUUGACCAAGACCCAUUAAACAUAAAACGCGGCGUUUUCAUGGACUAGUACAUUCCAUGCUUCGAAAGUUUUAUGUUUUAGACUGAUUGGUUUGAUACAUUAUUUGUUUAUUGCGUUUUUCUUGCUUUAAAUAUUAUGUUGGAUUGAUAAGUUUUGUACACAUUUAUAUUGCUCGCAGUAAAUAAUUUAUUACAUUUAAAAAACUAUCAACCGUCUAUCGAAAGAUUUCUACUAUAAAUAUAUAUACACAAAAAACUUUUAAUUUGGUCUAUUUGUUCUCUUAUUUAUUUUUGCUCUAUUUCUCUUUUUCUUUCCUUUCAUUUUAUUGUUUUAUGGUACAAAAAAAAAUAACCUUAAAAUUUAAGGGUAAAAUACUCAUUUUACUAAAUUCCGUUUAAUAUCAUAAUGCUGUCAAUGGACAAUGGCAAAGUACACGAGUGAUACAAAUUAAAAACAAAUAAAUUGAAAGUUUUUAUGUAUUUUCCUUUUAUUUUUUUAUAGCCGAUUGAGAUUUCCCUUCGUAUUCUUAAAUUCAAUACGUUUAGACCGUUUAAAAAAUUUUAAAUUAAAAAAAACCCGUGGUGUAAUAACAAACUCACAUCAAAUCCUGUCCACUGUCAUCCCUAAUAAUAUUUACCACUUCAUACUCAAGUGUGAUAAUAACUGUGUAUCACAAUUGAUUUUACAUACGGGUAAAAGUUCCAAGUCCGGAUAUUUAGUUAAUGAAAUUGAUGAAAAGGGCAUGAAAGAAAAUAAGAAAUUAAAUAAUACAGGUAUUAAUCAUUACAUAUUUAGUUAAUGAAAAUUGAUGAAAAUAUUUCUGCAGACAUGAGCCGUAAUUAUAAUACCGUUAAGAAUGAAGCAGCAGAGUUUCCCCAAACAAGCUAAAACACGGCACCUGAAUUUAAAGAAUUUUUAUGUCACAGUAUCGGGACAAAAAGUUUAAUGCAACAACAUACAUUAAGUUAAUUCCAUAAUCUAUCACCAAAGAAAGACAAACACAAGCUUAUAAGAUUAAAACUUUGGAAAACAUUGAAGAGUCGGACAAAAUUGUGUAACCUUCAGAGUUUAGAGCCUAGUUCAUCCAGGAAAGCAAAAGAAAAUAAUAAUAAUAAUAAUAAUAAUGGUGGUUUGAUCUCAAAAGGUGGCAUCAAAGUGGUAACUUUGAGGUAUUGGAAGCAAUAACGUCUUCAACUUUGUCCUGAUUUCGAAGUCCCUUAACCCAUCCGCCAUCAAUGGAUUGAAUGCUUCCAUUCAACCCAUCAUCCACAAAAUCACCAACCCGUUUCACCUUCAUCUCCUCCGCUUAACAGGGUACUUCCCAGAGAAGCUAGCAUAACAAAAAUUCUGAGAAUCAUUGCCUAACAACUUGUUCAAGAUGUCAAUCGGCAGAAAAGCAAGCAAAUCACACCCAAUAAACUCCCUGAUUUCCUCGACGCUCAUCCUGUUGGAAAUCAACUCCUCAGUACUCGGAGUGUCCACUCCAUAGUAACAAGAAGCUAUGAUUGGUGGGCUUGCAAUUCUCAUGUGAACCUCUUUAGCUCCAGCCUCCUCAAGCAACCUAACAAUUUUCGAUGAAGUUGUUCCUCUCACUAUCGAAUCAUCGACAACCACAACUCUCUUUCCCUCCAACACUCCCCUUACAGGAGAGAGCUUAAGCUUGACACCAAAGUCCCUAAUCUUCUGGGAAGGCUCAAUGAAAGUUCUCCCAACAUAGUGUGACCUUAUCAACCCUUGUUGAAAUGGCACCCCGGCUUUCGCAGCGUACCCAAGUGCAGCCACCACUCCAGAAUCUGGUACUGCAAUCACGACAUCACACUCAACAGGAGCCUCGGUAGCAAGUACUUCCCCAAAAUGAUUCCUCGACUCAUAAACAGACCUUCCAAAAACAACAGAAUUAGGCAAAGCAAAAUAAAUAUGCUCAAAGAUGCACUGCUUAGGUUCAGGGUGAGGCAUCAAACAAAGUGAUUGAACCCCAUCUUUAUCCACCAUCAAAACUUCUUGGGGAUGUACCUCCUCAAUCAAAUAGUGCACAAGUCUCUGACGCAAAAACCACAGCACCAUUACUCCUCCUACCUAUCACCAACGGCCUAAACCCGUACGGGUCACGAACCGCAACAAGCUUAUCCUCAGUAACAAACACCAUUGAAUAAGCACCCUCAAGCUUCUCACAAGCAUCCACAAUCUUCAAAAAGAACGGCCUAGCUUUCGAUAUCGCAAUCAAAUGGAGAACAACCUCAGUAUCAGAACUAGUAUUAAAAAUGGAACCAUUAUCUUCAAGCUUAGCCCUCAAAGUAUUAUAGUUAAAUAAAUUCCCAUUAUGUGCAACACCAACAAAACCAAACCUGUACCCAGCAACAAAAGGCUGCACAUUCUUAAGCAUGCAGUCGAAUAUCUAACAUGACCAAUGGCCAUAUCGCCAGGCAAUUGAUCAAGUUUAGACUGAUUAAACACAUCCGAGACUAAACCAACACCGGUAAUAGACUGAAGAACUUUAUUAUUCACAGCAACUAUAACUACACCUUCUUGGCCGCGAUCUGCAGAGCGUGCAGCGCCAAAUAGCACAAACGCGAGGCCUCUGGGUCACCGUAUGAAACGACCCGCCCCGAAUCCCCCGUGCGAGUCAAUCUAGUCUCAUCAAAACGGAUUUGAUAAUAAUCUAAUUAGUAAGGAUUCUGCCGAAAAUUCGGCAGAGUCUCCUUUAUAUAUAUAACACUCCCAAUCUACAAAUAUGAAUAUAACACUCAUAAUAUAAUUCAAUAUACAACAAACUCCAGUGAUCAACAUCCUCAACCAAAAUGCUGAGUUUUAUAUCUCCAGAGUCUCAAAAGAUAAUAUUAUAACUAAUAUUAAUAUCUAAGUUUAUUCUUAAUCCCAAAAGAAUAAUAUAAAAAAAUUAUACAAUCCCAACAGGACGAGAUAACCAAGAUGUCCUAACAAAAACAUUUAUAUUUUCUAACACCAUCACGUGGCCAAGACUCAAAAUAUAUUUACAGUCGCUGGGUCGGUCUGGUGUACCUGCAACCUCCUGGUGAGGGGGGGGGAAAUAUAAUAAAAACGGGGUGAGUUUAAAACUCAGUGAGAUCAAUGAGUGGAUAGUAGUUUUUGAAAAUUAAUGCUUACUUUAAAAGAAAUAUUCAUAUAAUUUCCAAACACGAUUUCAUCAAACCAUAUGCAAGAAACCAAUAGUAAAUCAUUUAACAUUUAAAUCAGAUUACUAACCAUGAAAAGCAUAUAUAAUAUCGUACCAAAUAACCAUGGAAAUCAUAUUACAAUAUCAUAUAUAAUACACAAAUUUGAAAAUCAUCACCAAACAAGUACCCAGAGAAAUAAUCUCGUCAUAUCCGGACAUCAACGGACGUGCAAUGACGUACUAUAUGGGUACCGUCACGCCCCGGAGCUACACGGAUAGACAGGGAAAUAUAAUCUCAUAUCUCAUCAUAUCUUAUCAUAUAUGUGCAUGCAUAAUCUAGUCCCCAAAGGACAAAAACGCCCAAGCACAUGGCCCAAAGCCUCUGUGUGUACUCAGACGGGCCCCAAAGGCCUGUAUCUCAUCUGUAUCAUCUGUAUCUCAAUAUCUGUCUGUAUCUCAUAUCUGUGUAUCUGUAAUCAUCAUACCGCAUGCAUAUGCCCUCAAAAGGCAAAAACGCCCAAACACACGGCCCAAAGCCUCUAUGUGUGUUCAAACGGGCCCCAAAGGCCUCUCAUCUCAUCUCAUCUAUAUCACUGUAUCUGGAGGGGAAGGGUACUGUCUAGUGAUUUCAAAAACAAUCAUUAUACUCAUAUUCACAUACUUUUUUAACCAUAUUUUAAAUCAUACCACAUUUGAAUCCACUUUUCUUAUCUUUAAAAUACUAUCAUGCUUAUUCAAAGUCGAUACGAAAAAUCAUUAACCAAACAUUUUAAUAAAAUACCAAUGCGUGGACAAAAUCCAUUUCGAGGUAAUCAUUAAAUCAGAUCAUUUAAAAUACUUAUUUCGCAAACAUACUUUACUAUCAUAAUUAACUAUGAAAAUAGGUUUUGUAUAUUCCACUCACAGUGACGGUGUUCACGCUCGGUUAUCGUCCACGUCCGCGGACCUAUUCUUGCUCGCGGAUCCUCCUAAAUCAAGGAAACGACAUAAAUAUUUUCCGUAAAACAGAAUUAAGACUAAAUUUAUGCAAUAAACUCGAAACGAACAUCUAUCCAUAAUUUACAACUCCCGUGUCGCUAAAAUUACUAAAAUGCCCUCGAGUCCGUAAAUCAGUAAAAUACUUCGAAAUCGGAAAUCACCGAAUCACCCUCGGAAUCGUAAUUACACCCAAUCCUCACUUCUAGGAAUUACUAAAAUAUCAAUAGGCUCAGAAAUUACAAAAUUGCCCUCAUAGUGUGAAAUUACCGAAAUGCCCUUGUGAUGGUUGUCGAAGCCAACAAAAAUAAAUACCUACUCUAAAUAAAUUGUGUAUAGUGAUUGAGCAGGGUCGUGUCCACAAAGAUCGGUAAUUAUUUAAAUCCUUUUGAAACGUAAAACGUAAAAUGGGAGAAUUGUUAACAAUAAUAAAAAUCAAAUUAAAAUAACAAGAAUGCAAAUUCAAGUCGUAAUUCAAAUUGGAGAAAGCUCUGGUUGAAGGAAUUAAUUCAGCUUGAUUCGACUAUUGAUAAUUGAUUCAAAUAUAAAUUAUUAUUACUUAUGAAUAGACCAAUUAUAGCUACUGAGACCCUCUAAUAGCCAAUCUCUCCUUAACUAGUCGAUAACCAAGGUACGACCGUUGGUUAUUUCCCUAAUUAAUAGACAACCCUAGAUACGAUCAUAGAAUUUAAUCAAUUGACAGCCUGAAAAACCAGAGAGACCCAAAUCCUAAUCAACAAACACAUACGAUGAUUCAUUUAAAUUAGAUUGUUUAUUCUCACAACACAACUCUCUGCUAUGUUAUUUGUCACAAACAUUAAAAUCUUCAUACGAUGAAUCCUUUAAUUGACAAUAGAUUAAGUUGAUAAUUAAAUAGUGGCCAAUUACCUAAUUAACAAACAUAAUCAUGAAAAUAAUUCAGAGAAUAAACAAAUACCCAAAAAGCAAUAAAUUAAUUAAAGCACAAGAAAGAUCUCACAGUAGUGAUGAAUCAAAGCUUCAUUAACCUUCAACCAAAAAAAUAGGUUUAGUUCUUCAUAGAGAAAAGAGAAAAUUUAGAUCUAGGGUUUCUUUCUUUUCUCCAAUCUCCCUUCUUUCACAAUAGAUUUCUCCCUUAAAUACUCUCCCUCUCUUCUCCUCUAAAAUUCUAUUUAAAAUAAAAUACUAAUAUCUGAAAUAUUAAAUUCGUAAUUACAAAAAUAACCAAAAAUACAAAACACGUUUAAACUAAAAACUGCAAGUCCGUAGUUGACAGCACGCGCCCACGCCUUAUCAACAAAGUUCUUCUAACGCUCAUAAUUUCUCCAAGAGAACAAUCAUCAUUAAAUAUCAUCUUGUAGCUUAAUUUUAUCACCAAUCAAUAGAAUUGCACCUACAAAAGUAAAACACAAGUAAAUCACUAUUAUUAAGUGCAAAACAUCGAUAUUAAGGGAAGUAAACAAUGCAAAACUAGUGCAUAAAUUGCACUCUAACACCUUGCCGGUCAACGGUCACCGAAAUUUGGUCAACGCUGGCCGGGAAGCUCAAGUCUGAAAGUUCCAAUCACGCUAAGUUCAAUGGUACCGGCGGUGAGCUCCAACGCGCAACAACGACGUCGGAAUCUAGCUCGGCAGCCGUGAAUUCCAACAAUUGACCGGCGGCGAAACAGUGACUCCCGGUGACUAUGGAUGGUUGGAAAUGGAAGAGGGAGUCGUGAGGAACAAAAUCCAACCGGUGGUGUCACCCAAAACUGGUGAAAAUCCCGGCGGAACAAAACGAUACAGUCGCGGGUUUUCAAACUUUGAUUGCCGGCGUUCCGGUUGGUUUUCGGCGGCCAGGAUGGCAGGGGAAUGAUGGCUGGCUUCUAAGUUUCAGAUUGGUACUAAGCUCGGCCGAAAUAGUGGCCGGAAAUAGAAGUUAUGGCCGGGUCAAUUUCGCGGGUCGGGUCGGGUUUUCCGGGUCAGUUGAUAGCUUCUGUUACUCUCACACGUGUGUGUAUAAGUUCCAUGUUUCUAACUUAUUCUAUUAUUUUUAAUAAAGUCUUUAACCGCCUCAAUUUCAUUUUUAAUUCACAUAUGUUACAAUCCUCCCCCCUUAUAAAAAUUUUGUCCUUGAAAUUUACGUACCUGAUAAGAAAAGAUAUGGAUACUGAGCUCGCAUUAAGUCCUCGCGUUCCCAGGUAGCCUCUUCCUUUGUAUGAUUCCUCCACCAUACUUUUACUAGAGGAAUGGUCUUAGAACGUAGAACUUGGUGUUUCUCUUCCAAUAUCUCCACUGGUUCCUCUUCGUAAGUCAAAUCUUCCUUCAACUGAAUUGGUUGCUUCGAUAACACAUGACUCGGAUCAUAUAUGUACUUCUGGAGCAUUGAGAAAUGAAAUACAUCGUGGAUUCUGGAUAACUCGGGUGGUAGUGCUAAUUGAUAAGCUAAUGGACCGAUGCGCUCAAUGAUCUCAUAUGGCCCAAUGUAACGUGGACUUAGCUUCCCACGUUUCCCAAAUCGAAGCACCCUUUUCCAAGGAAAUAUCGGUAUGAAAACUCUAUCAUCAACUUCGAAUUCAAGUUCCCGCCUACGCUUGUCUGCAUAGCUCUUUUGUCUAUCUUGAGCCACCUUUAAUCUAUCCCGGAUUAAUUGUAUCUUCUCGUUAGUAUCCUGGACAAGUUCUGGACCGAAUAACCUCCGCUCACCAACCUCAUCCCAACACAUUGGAGUCCUGCAUUUUCUACCAUACAAAGCCUCAUAUGGUGCCAUCUCGAUACUAGCUUGAUAGCUGUUGUUGUAAGCAAACUCCAUCAGAGGUAAAUGAUUGUCCUAAUUACCUUUAAACUCCAUAACACAAGCUCGCAACAUAUCCUCCAGAGUUUGAAUAGUAUGCUCUGACUGUCCAUCAGUCUGUGGAUGAAAAGUUCAACUUUGUGCCUAAGGCAUUUUGCAAGCUAGUCCAGAACUUAGAAGUAAACCGGGAAUCUCUAUCUAAAACUAUAGACACGGGUACUCCGUGAAGUCGAACUAUCUCAGCCACAUAAAUACUCCCUAACUUGUCCAUCGAAUAGGUGGUUUUGAAUGGUAAAAAAUGAGCAGAUUUUGUAAGUCGAUCAACGACCACCCAAACACUAUCAUAUCCUUUCUGAGUACGUGGAAGUCCUGCUACAAAAUCCAUGGUGAUGUGCUCCGACUUCCACUCAGGAAUAGGAAGCGGCUAAGAACACCCUGCAGGCCUCUAGUGUUCAGCCUUAAUCUGCUGACAGACUAAACAUCGAGAAACAAACUCUGCUAUCUCUCUCUUCAUACCCUGCGUCCAGUAAUGAUCCAUCAGGGUACGAUACAUCUUCGUACUACCAAGAUGCAUCGCAUAUGCUGAGCAGUGAGCUUCUUCCAUAAUCUCUUCUUUCAGAUCUUUAAUAUCAGGUACACAAAGUCUAUUACCCAUGACUAAGACUCCGUCGCCUCUCACCGUAAAAUCGGUUCGUAAACAUUUUUGCACAUCCUCUUUCAACUUCAUUAACUGUGGGUCCUGAGCUUGCAUCUGGUGAACUUUGUCCAUCAAAGUCGGCCUAACUCGAAAAUUAGCUAUCAAAACUCCACAAUCGUCAGCGUUCAACUCGACUCCCAAAGAUCUCAACUCGAUCAACAGAGGCAUCUAUUUCACUCGCAAGUGAGCUAUAGAGCUGGAAGACUUCCUACUGAGUGCAUCGACUAGAAAAAAACAUACCUCUUUGAGAUACUACAAAUUGGCUUUAAUUCAGUACUGUUGAUGGUCAAGUUGGGAAAGUAAUGAAGCUGUAACUCUUCCAAUGCUGUCCAAAUUGAACAAUAAUUUUCUGAACAGAAGCUAACGAGUUCUGGGAGACUUCGAAGUGUUAAUUCUCUUAACAAAGGGAGGGCGAGCAUCGUAUUUCCAUCUCUGACACUUAUUUCCCCUUCAUUGUGAUCAAACUUUGCUUCGACAAUACAUUCCAGCCUGUCGCAAUAAGUCACACUGAGACUUUUAAGCUGCUCCAAACUUUGAGCUUGUGAUAACGUGAAGAUAUAUGUCAAAUUAUGGCAGCCAUACACACUCAAUUCUGUAAGAGUUUGGAGGCUGAUCACAUGUUGGGCAGGCGUCUUCCAUAUCCACUUUGCUAAUCUUGAGAGCACCUCAUGAUUCCCACUCUUUCCAUGCGGCGACUGAGAGGCAUCCACUAUGCAUUCUAAAUCUUCACAAUAGUUGACAAAUAGAUGAGUCAACUCAUUUAAGCCCCCUUAAUCUAUGCUUGGAACAAUAUUAUGGAGACCUAUUAUCCUCCUCAAAUUAAGAAAUUUCAGAUUUUGACACAAUGUCGAAAAAAUACUGAGCGAGGCCGCUUCACAAUAGUUAAUCAUUAAGCACCUGCUCCGUCCAAAAAAUUCAUCUUCUUUUUUCAUUCAAACUUCAAGUUUGUUACAGUUACUGACGAAGUACAUUUGCAAUUUUGGAAAUGUAAAGUCUUUUGAAAGACGUACAAUUUUUUGUUCAAUAUGUAAAGUCUUUCCAUCAUCAUCUUGGAUUUCAUCACCGUCGGGUUGGGAGUUCAACUCAGUAGCCCUAGCGUAACUUUCUUCUGAACUCAUCCCUUCAGCCUCCCAAUCUUUUAUCCGACCAUAAAAUUCUUCUAAUUGAGGAAAUUUUUUUAUCGUAAUAGGAGAAAUAGAACCAGAAUCAAUGAAUAGAAGAAGUUUCAAUCUACUAAGUUGAUCCUCAAAUUCUUCAGGAAUUUCAAUGGGAGACCCCUUGACACAAAGAAUUUGAAGUCUCUUCAACUUUCCAAGGAAAGACGCGUCACUCACUUUACAUCGAAUCAACUGCAGAACUUGGAGGUUGGUGAGGAAUUGAAGCGAUUUAAGUGAAAGGACUCCACCUAUUAUAGUAAGAACUUUUAAUGCUGGCAUCUUUUCGAAAAAAUAUUCUGGAUCUUGCAAUCGGUCGCCAUAUUUAGCAUUCUCCAAUCGCAAAAUAUGAAGGUUAGGGCAUACCAAACCACUUGGAAGCUCUUCUUUUUCAUUUCCCAUCAAAGAGAUUCCUUUGUAUUGUUCCACUGCCUGUUCCGCCAAUCCAAUGCCAACUUUACUAGUAAAAUAUUUUUUCUCCAUUGAGCCUAUCCAUAAGGCUACAUCACGAACAAUGUCAUGCAUUUUCACAAAUCUCUCAUUACCAGCAUCUAAUAGCAGUGAAGAAGCUUUGAGCUCUUUAAUCGUUCCACUCAAUAGGCUCCUGACUUUUUCAAUUGACUCAGCUCGAUACCAUCUCAACCCCACUGCAUAUCCAACCAAAUCAUCCAAAUCUAUCUCAUAAUCCUCUGGAAACAAAGAACACAACAAGAAGCACGACCUGGAAUCCUCAUCAUUCAAAUAAUCGUAACUAAAUUUGAGACAGCGGUAAACGUCUUGGUCCUCCUUGCCGAUACCUUCUAUUGUAUUGAGUUUUGCAUCUUGUAGUUUAUCUAGAGCUAGAUUCCACUCAUCAAAUCCUUUACCUUUUAGUGCACUUCCAACAGCUUUAAUAGCUAAAGGCAGCCCCUUACAUUCAUCAGCAACCUGUUCUGAAACACCAAUCAAUUUUGAAUCAGCAACAUCAAUGCCAGCAUGCUCUCUUAGUAAAUCCAAUCCUUCUUCUGGCUUUAGAAAACCUAGUUGAAUCUGCGGGUCACAACGCAUGCUAUAACAAACUGGCGGCAGGCGAGUGGUUAGAAGGAUUUUCCAACAAUUGUCUCCAUCACCAACAGGAAUACCUAUUGUCUUCAAGUCGAGUUCAUUCCAGACAUCGUCAAGUAUUAUGAGUAUCUUGCUGCUUUUACUCUCAGAAAACAUCAAGCGCAAUCGGUCUGCUCUCUCUCUUUCAUCUUUCUCAUUUAGUGCCCAGCCUAACGACUUUGCCAGCUCACCUUGAACCUUUAUUAUAUCUGGAUCCUGAGACACAGUGGCUAUCCCCACCUCAUCGAAAAUCUUUUCUUGUCGAAGUUGAUUGCCCACAAAGUUUGCCAAAGUCGUCUUUCCGACACCACCGAUACCAUACAAUCCCACUAUCGUCGUGCUAUCUCUUUUUAGUCUUCAAUAAUCUGAUUGCAAGUCGAUUAUGUAGUCCCGAAAGACAUAAAAUGUCUUGGCAUAUGCAAUUCUUUGUCUGAUGGUAGAGGUUUAGGAAGGGCAACUGAGCUGAAUUUGCCGCAUUUCUUUUGUAGAUCAGACAACUCGCUAGUCUUCUUUGAUGGUUUUCUACCUAGCCAACAUCGCCAACCCCAAUUAGGACACCAUCCAUUAAGACAGCUCUUCUUUUCAUCUAUCUUUGCUUUCAAAUUUCGAACAUCGACCAUUUCUUUGUCUACAUCCUUCAACCACUUCUCUACAGAUUUCUCGAUUACAAUGGCUCGGUGUAUUUGUCGUUCUUGUUCUAUUUUUUCAUUGAUGCCAUCUUUUGCCUCCUUCAAAUUAGUUUCUUUAUCCUUAAGUUCGUUAAUAAUGCUGUUGAAACAGAGCAGAUAAUGAGCUUGGUUUAUGGUUGCUUCCACCAACAAUUCUCCAAGCUUUGAUGCAACACUUGAGCAAAUUUCCAUGCUAUUUAUCUGCAAUUAAUAAAGUUGAUCUCAGUAUGCUGUAAGCAAAACAACGAGGCUUGAUUACAAGAUCGAACGAGAAAGUUUAAUUACCUUUUUCUAUUAUGUGAAUGCACGUUUAUUGACCCUAGCUUUGACCAAUAAGAGCAAAAUGCAAACGCCGAGCUUUAAGUGGCCUUUAGCUGCGCAAAACAAAAGAGAAGAAACAAGGUAGCUUAUUAUUAUUAUUAUUGUUUUUAAGGACGGAUAAAGAUUAGCUAGCUUGCGGACAAAUUUACUAAAAUCAAGAUAAACCUAAGAGUUUUCCUAAUUUGUUCAAACAUAGAAUAAGCGUUUCUCAACAUUAUAUCCAUAAAUGCCCCAGCAAACGUAAUAUGUGGUGGAUUAUAUUUAAAUUAGUUUAUUUUAGAAAAUUUUAAAUAAAAAAUGUCAAACAACAAAGAAAUCUAAUAGAAUCUGGAUAAACACCGAAGAGUUCCUACAUGGGAGAAUAUGGUAAAAUUGAUGAACUUGGUUCAAAAAAUUGCAAUUCUUAUUGAGAUUAGAACCAAAGAUUUUAACUAAGGUCUCCUAAGCCAUAAAGCAUAACUCUUACUACUAAAUUACAAGUAUUUUGUUACAUUUGAAUGUGGUCUUAUUUUUUUAUUGUCUGUUUUAGAAGGGACUCAAGGUAUGUUUAAAAGAAAUAAUAAUGGUUCGGAUGGGGCUGAAGCCCACUCAUGAAAAAUUUAAAGGCUUCAACAUAAUUACCAAUUGUUUCUUCAUCCAAUUUUCUAAUAGAAUAUUGCCAGAAUUCUGAAAUAAUAUCUUAAUAUUUUUCUUCAAGUGUUUACGGCACCCUCGUAUUGGAUUGUCAAUUUAAUAACUUGUUAAAUUAUUUAAUACUUCAUCUCACGAUCUAAUGGAUAUAAAUGCUGGAGAAGGAUCAGUUCCCAGACGUUUUUCUCUCACUAGUCUUUUGGUGAAAUAAGUGACUAAGAUUAAAUUUUAAUUUUUGAUAUUGACAAUUAAAUUGGCUUGUUUCACAUUAUUAACAAUUAAGCUAGCUUUCUUUUUUUCCCCCAACUGGAUUUGGAAGGUUAUGAGGGAGUAGGAGAGAAAACACGAGAAGAACGAGAUCCUAAUUCAUAAAUAGUACCUUACUUGGGAUGGUAAAGAAUUUAAAGAUUGGGGUGAAUUCCAUUUUAGUCUCUAAAAUUUUGACUUGCGAGUAACCAUACUUUUAGUAUUUUUAAAAAGAAUGGGAUUAUUUACAUUGUAAAAUCUAUUUUGAACACUCUUUUACUUAACACAGUCAUUCAACAAAUUUUAAAAAAUAAUUUUUACUAGGGUUCGCAAUAAACUCUAGAUCCGGCCCAGAUCCGAAAUUCGGAUCCGAAAAAAUCAGGAUCGGCAUGUUAAAAAAUGCGGAUCCGGAUCUUAAAAAUCAAGAUUCAUACGGAUCUGGAUCCACAUGCAAGUGCAUCCGGAAAACCGGAUAUCCGGAUCCGCAUUAUUUUAUAAUUAAAUUAUUUAUUUAAUUAAAUUUUAAUUGAAAAAUAUAUAAAUUAAAUUAUUUAUUUAAAUGUAUAAGCAUAAUUAACUCUAAAAUCUUCAUUAAUUAUGAAAAAUAUGUUAAAAUAAUAAUAAUAAUAAUUAGAGAAUAUUGUAAUAAAUCGGUUUACCUUAGAUUUUUUUUAUGUUUGAUUUAUAUUAUGAAAUUAUUGUUUGUGAAUUUAUGGUGUUGAAUUGAUGUUAAAUUGUCGAUUGUUAAGUUAUAAUUGAAUUUUAUUUAAUAUUAUUAUGUAAAUUAUUAAAUUUAAAAUUAAAUUUAAAUUUAUUAUUAUGCGGAUCCGAAUAUUCGGAAUAUCCACCCACAAUCCGUGCGGAUAUUACCCGCAUCCAGAUCCGCAUAUUUUUUUUUACGGAUCUAAAUACAGAUCGGGAUGCCAAAAGCUUAAUCUAGAUCCGAAUUCGGAUGCACCUACAUCCGGAUCCGGAUUUGGAUUUUGCCAUCCCUAAUUUGUUACUUUACACACUAUUUCAAAUGUCAAAACUGUCCUUCAUUAGGACCAUUCAUUAACUAAUUAUUUUCUAUAAAAUAUUCAUCAUUCUUGAGCCAUGUGGCGUUAAUUAAUGAUUCCUAAGCAUUAUCAAGGUUCAAGAUUUAUGUUGAAACUCUUUCAGUUGAGAUUUGAGCCUAGGCACUAGCUAUAUACAUACAUACUCUUUCAAAUGCAGUUCUGGGAAUAUUUUGUGACUAAUUUUAUAAAAGUGUUUUAGUUACAUUAAUGCAGUGAAACAAUAAAGAGUACGUGGCUUGAUGAUUUCCAAAUCAAGUUGGGGAAAAAACAAAGCAUUUUCUUUUAUAAUGGAUUAGAUUAGACGAUGAAGGGAAAAUUAUUUACGAUUAUUACUUGUUUGUGUGUUUAGAGUAAUAAUAUUUUCUUAAAUUAUACUAAUGUCCCUAGUAGUAAAUUUAAUUAAGGUUAUUUUCGUAAUAUAAAUUUUAUUAAAAUUAAAGUGUCUAAAAUAGAAUUUAGAGUGAAAAUAGCUCUUAGACGUCCAUAUCAUUACCUUUAUAACUAUUGAAAAUAUGAAUUUUCAAAUGUAAAAUAACAUUUCUAUAUGAUAUAAAUUAAAAUUCAAUCAAAUUUAUCAUGCAACAAAUGAAAAGUAAAGAAAAUUAAAUAGGUUUUAAUAGAGACAAAAUAAGCUUCUAUGUUGAAUUUAAAAGUAUUAUAUUAGUAGUAAUCAUAUACGUAUCGAACUUUUUAAUAAAAUUUAUUUAGAAAUUGGCCAAUUGGGUUUUAUGAAGAAAAUAGAGGGGCACGAAUGGCGCCACUUUUAAUUAUUGUUGCUGUACAACUGAAAAUUGAAAUGUUGUAUUUAAAAAGUACUUGUUAGAUGUGUAAAAUGCACCAACUUGAAAUGGCACGAGAGCAUAAUGGAAUUUUGUUGGGAAAUUUACAAAAAUAACCAUAAAACUUUUACUAUUUUCACAAUUAACCCUCUAAACGUUUUUCUAUCAACAUUAACCAAACACAUGCUUUUCUCCCCAAAUUACCCUUGUAUUUGCUAACCAACCUGUCGCACAUAGUUUGGUGCGACAGGCACCUGUCGCACGAAGCUAAGUGCAACAUGCACCUGUUGCACUGUUAUAGUGCAAUUUAUGCACUAGUUUUGCAUUGUUUACUUCCCUUAAUAUCGAUGUUUUGCACUUAAUAAUGAUGAUUUACUUGUGUUUUACUUUUGUGUUAUGAGCGUCAGAAGAACUUUGUUGAUAAGGCGUGGGUGCGUGCUGUCAACUACGGACCUACAGUUUUUAGUUUAACGUGUUUUGUAUUUUUGGUUAUUUUUGUAAUUACGAAUUUAAUAUUUCAGAUAUUAGUAAUUUAUUUUAAAUAGAAUUCUAGAGAAGAAGAGAGAGAGAGUAUUUAAGAGAGGAAUCUAUUGUGAAAAAGGGGACUUUUGGAGAAGAGAAAGAAACCCUAGAUCUAAACUUUUCUCUUCUCUCUAUGAAGAACUAAACCUAUUUUUCUGGUUAAAGGAUAAUGAAGCUUUGAUUCAUCACUACUAUGAGAUCUAUUUUAUGCUUUAAUUGUUUUAUUGCUUUUUGGGUAUUUGUUUAUUCUCUGAAUUAUUUUCAUGAUUAUGUUUAUUAAUUAGGUAAUUGGCCACUAUUUAAUUAUCAACUUAAUCUAUUGUUAAUUAAAGGAUUCAUCGUAUGAAGAUUUUAAUGUUUGUGACAAAUAACAUAGCAAUGAGUUGUGUUAUGAGAAUAAACAAUCUAAUUUAAAUGAAUCAUCGUAUGUGUUGAUUAGUAUUUGGGUCUCUUUGGUCUUUCAGGCUGUCAAUUGAUUAAAUCCUAUGAUCGUAUCUAGGGUUGUCUAUUGAUUAGGGAAAUAGUCAACGGUCGUACCUUAGUUAUCGACUAGUUAAGGAGAGAUUGGCUAUUAGAGGGUCUCAGUAGCUAUAACCAGUCUAUUCAUAAGUAAUAAUAAUCUAUAUUUGAAUCAAUGAUCAGUAGUCGAAUCAAGCUGAAUUAAUUCCUUCAACCAGAGCUUUCUCCAAUUUGAAUUACAUCUUUAAUUUACAUUCUUGUUAUUUUAAUUUGAUUUUUAUUAUUGUCAACAAUUCCCCCAUUUUACGUUUUACGUUUCAAAAGGAUUUAAAUAAUUACCGAUCUCUGUGGACACGACCCUACUCAAUCACUAUACACAAUUUAUUUAGAGUAGGAAUUUAUUUUUGUUGGCUUCGACAACCAUCAAAUUUUGGCGCCGUUGCCGGGGAUUGGUGUCAUUUAUUUAAUCCUUUUUACGUUUUACUUGGUGUAUGGUUCGUUCUUCUCGUACAUGUAUACUUUCGUUUGAUCCUGAAAUUGAGAAGACAACUCGCCAACUGAGACAGCAGACGAAGCGAGCUAAGCAAUGAUCCUCGUCGCCUUUGCUUUCUGAAACAGAUAUAGUGCCUAAUUUAGUUGAAUCAUCUAGUGAUUCAGAAGAACAAGUGAUGGAUAGACCUGCACCUGUAGAAAGAACCCUUAGAGAGUUAGCUGAACCAGACUUGAAUCAACAACCACUCUGCAUUCAAUAUGUAGACUUGGAGGUAAAUUUUGAAUUAAAGUCUGGUCUUAUUCAUUUAUUACCCAAGUUUCAUGGUUUUGCAGGUGAAGAUCCUCAUAAACAUCUUAAGGAGUUUCAUGUUGUGUGUUCAAGUAUGAGACCACAAGGCGUGACUGAAGAGCAGAUUAAGCUGCGUGCUUUUCCUUUCUCUUUAGAUGGACUAGCUAAAGACUGGUUGUACUACUUGCCUCCUGGAUCAAUUACAACGUGGAAUGGUUUGAAGAAGCAAUUCCUCGAGAAGUACUUUCCUGCUUCAAGAGCUGUUAACAUCAGAAAAGACAUUUGUGGGAUCAGACAACUUCCUGGGGAGACUUUGUAUGAGCAUUGGGAGCAAUUCAAACAAUUGUGUGCCAGCUGUCCUCAGCAUCAGAUUUCUGAUCAACUUCUUAUUCAAUAUUUUUACGAAGGACUGUCAUUGAUGGAUAGGAGUAUGAUAGAUGCUGCUAGUGGAGGCGUGUUGGUGAACAAGACCCCUACUCAAGCAAGGGAGCUGAUAUCAAAUAUGGCUGCCAACGCACAACAAUUUGGCAGCAGGUAAGAUCUCACUUCAAGGAAGGUGAAUGAGGUAAAUAUUUCUUCUGUUAAACAACGUUUAGAUAAACUUACUUCUCUUGUGAAAAAGUUUGUUGUAGGUAAUGUGCAACAGGUGAAGACUUGUGGCAUUUGUUACAAUAUGGGUCAUUCAACUGAUAUGUGUCCUACACUUCAAGAAGAACCCGUUUAACAAGCCAAUGCAGUUGGAGGAUUUCCAGGCAUGCCUUAGAGGAGGUAUGAUCCUUAUGCACAAACAUACAAUCCGGGAUGGAAGGAUCAUCCCAACUUCAGCUAUGGAGUUAGGCCGUCAGGAUUCCCACAACAGUAUCCACCAAGACAACUAGCACCUCCACAGUCAAACUCCAAGUUAGGUAUAUCUCUUGAAGAAAUUGUUAAAUCACUUGCAACUAACACUCAACAAUAUUAGCAGGCAACUAUAGCAAGCAUUCAGAAUUUGGAGAACCAAAUGAGUCAAUUGGCGACUACAGUGAGCCGUCUGGAGUCUCAAGUAUUAGGGAGAUUGCCUUCACAAUCUGAGGUGAAUCAAAAGCAAAACGUUAGUGCUGUCAUCCUUAGAAGUGGGAAGGAGUUGCAAGAGCCUAGUAAGAAAGUGACAAAGCAUGUAGAAGAUGAGCUUGAGAAGAAUGAAUUGAUGCCUAAAUCUCAAGAUGCACAACUCACCAGAGCGAAACCCCUACCUAUUGUGAUACCUCCUCCUUUUCUAAGCCGGUUUGCAAAAUCCAAGAAGGAGGAACAAGAGAAAGACAUCCUGGAGACAUUUCGCAAGGUUGAGGUAAAUAUUCCUUUAUUAGAUGCUAUAAAACAAAUACCUCGAUAUGCUAAAUCUAUUUUUUAGCCCCUACCUCCUUGGCUAAGAUCUAACUUGGGUGGCAAAUUAAAUAAACUUGUUUGAAACUACUCAGCCACAUCUUUAGGGGUAUUAUUGUUAGUUGCUUAACUACUAAAUUAAUAAAAUUUGUAAUAUUUUCAAUAAAGAUUUUCCUAUAAUAUUGUAUAAGCUUUUAUAGUAUUAAUAAUGGGACUAUUGUGGACCCAUGAAUUUAAGUGUUUUAUGGUGCAUUCAGUAUUGUUUUCAAAUUUCAUUUUCUGUCUUCUAAAUUCAAGAAACAUCAAAUACAUGUUUGGUAGAUUGUUUCUAAAUAUACCUUUGAAAAUUUAAAAUUUAUUUAUACUUUUAACUAAGAAAAUAAGAAAACAACAUUUUCUUGUUUUCUUUGUUUCCCAAUUCAAUUUAAGCUUCAAUAUGAAAAAUUUUCUUCCGCCAUCUCUCAAAAUAAUAAUGACAUCAACAACAACAAAGACAACAACAACAACAUUGUUGUUGUUGUUGUUGUUAUUAUUAGACCACCUAAAAAUCAACUUCCAUUAUAAUAAUCUUUUCUUCUUUUAUGCAUUAUAAUAUUUAUGCUUUUAUAUAUUAAUUAAAUCAAGUAUGCAUAGUUUAUCAUUUUUCUUUAAACAAAAAAAGAUCACCUAAUUUAUUCUUAAAGUUAAAAAAUCAAACUAAUUAAACAAUUAAAAUCACCUAAUUACACUACUUAAUAUUAAGUUUAUGGAAAUUAUUCUAAUAAUAAUUAUUUAAGCUAUUCCUAUCGAGCAUGUUUUUCUUUUUUCUCACGUUCAAGAUUAUUUUCGAAAAUGAUAUCGAACACAUUUAAAAAUUUUUAAAAAUAAAUUCGAAAAUAGCAUUUUCAUUCUCAUUUUUUUUAAUGAAAACAACAAUUGAAAAACAAUACCUAAAUAUGAUAUAAUGAUAAAAAUUUAAUGAAAUAUAUAGUAGUGGGUAAUCUUCAGGUUAUAAGUGAAUGUAGAUAUAUAUAUAUAUAUUACUUUCAACUAAUAGAUAAAAGAAAUUUUCUAUGGUGUUGGGAUGAAAAUCCCAUUAUCAAUGAUGAGAUUAUUAUUGAUCAUUAGAUUUAAAUAUUAGAAUCUUCAACCUUAAUUUAAUUUUAAUAGUAAGUAAUUGUGUAACAAGUAAUUUGCAUGUUGUGAUAUUUCUUUAUACAUUAAUUUAUUUUUAUCCAAUCAAUUGAUAAACAUUUUUAGGUCACCAAAAAAUUGUAAAAAAAAGUAAAAGUAAUUCUGAAAUUAAAAACGUUAUAUACUGCCUAUAGCUAUAUAAUUUUACUGUUUCUUCUUUCACAAUUAAUAUUCAUAUAAAAAUAGCUUCUAAAUAAAUGUAAUAUUACUCCAACAAUAUUUUAUAGGGACAAUGACACCUAUACCCUACAGUUUAGGGAAAUGUUCACAAAUAUCUCUAAGUUUUCAGGAAGGGACAUCAACACCCAUUUUAACCAUAAUGCCCUUUGAAUUUAAUAAUUAGAAAAUUGACUUUAAGAUUUUUUAAUUGACAAAUUUAAUAUAAAUAAUAUAAUCUAUCAAGUAGACUAAUAAUACUAAAUUAUUUUUAACAUUUAAAAUAAUAUUAAAAUUUUAAAUUAUUAUAUUUAUUUUAAUAAUAUAUUUGUAUAUAUUAUAAACAUUUUAAAUAAAUCUUGGGUUAAAUAGAUUUUACAAUUAAAAAAAAUACCCCUAUUAAUAAUAUGAAAAUUAUUUUUACAUAAUAUUUAAAAUAAUUUUAAUUUUAAUUCAUUUAUUUUAAUAUUAUGUUUCUAUUUGUUAUUAAAAGUUAAUUUAUUAUCUUAAAUUUGUAUUAAUUAAAAAACUUUAAAGUAAAUUUUCUAAUUCCUAAAUUCAAAGGACAUUACGAUUAAAAAGGGGUUUCGGUGUUCCUUUUUGAAUACCUGGAGAUCUUUGCGACCAUUUCCCCAUACCUUAGAGGUGUAAGUGUUUUUUUCCUUACUUUAUAUAAAGAUAUUUCAUAGAUCUUAUAAUAAUUUAUACUGUAUGAAUUUAAUCAAAUGACCAUUAAUACUUAAACAUUAAUAAUUAUAGAAGGUAUUGUAAUAAAUUAUUUGAUAUAUAUUAUUAAUGAUACUAUAUAUGUGUGUAUAUGACUACAUGAUGGCUUGGAUAUAUAUUUUUAGUAGUAAGUAUUUUAACUUAAAUUUUUAAAACAAAAUUUAUACUAUUGAUUUCAUGUAAUUCAAUGGUGGAUGAUUUAGCAUCAUAAAAUAUUGUUUUGAUGUUUAAUAUAAUCAUUAAAUUGUGAGAGAUUAAUUUCUCAAAUUUUGUGUUAAAAUUUUAAGUUAAAAUAUCCCAAACCAAUUGUUUUAUGAAAAUACAAAAAUAUAUAAAGAAUUUUUCUCAUUAAUUUUCAUAUGAAUAUUAUUAUAGGUAAUAUUUUAUAUAUUGUCACCAUUAAUUACCAUCAUUAAAAUAGUGACUCUUAGUAAUAUAGAAUUUUAUAAUAAGUUAAUUGCAACCAAAGGAUACCAACAAAUAAUAUUUCACGAUUCAUAAACUAAAGCUAAUUAAGAAUAUAUUUUAGGUUUAACUUUUAUGAAAUCAACAAAAUGAUAUUAGAAAAUAAAAUGAAAAUAGACUAGUGAAAGCUUUGAGUAAUUUUCUGCAAUGAAAGAAUAUUAAUUGUAAUAUAAACCAUAAUUUCAUCGUAUAGCUACGCUAAAUGGGAGUAACAAAUAAUAUAUACUUUACGAUCAACUAUUAAAUGGUCCUUAAUAGCAUAUAAAGUAGUGGGUAUUUUAAUAUAUACUAUUAAACUUUUUUAAAACAUAAGUAGUUAAGUAUAUGAUUUUUAGGAUAUAAACAAUCACAACCAAAUGUUUAUUGAUGUAAAUUAUAUGGCAUUCAGUUAAAUGUACAUACUUAAUUCUAAUUGGUUAAACAAUUCUCUUUCUUUCUUCGCUCUCUUACGACUUGAGGCACAUAACUAAACGCGUGGCUAUUAGCAUUUGCCACCAUGUAUUUAACAACCCCAAAUGAAGAUAUUAAUUUUUUUAGUUUAAUUGCUGCUUCAAAAUGGGGUACUGCAUUUGGAUUUUGUUAUUCAAAUACCAAAAUGUUCCCACAUUGUGUUGGACAGUUUUUGGUUCUAAAGUUGAUGACUGGUUUUGCCAAUCAGGCUUCAAAUGAGAACUUCUAAACAAUAAGACAAAUGGGUUUUGAGUUUAUAAUCUUGUAAACUUUGUUCUAUUGUAUAAGUUAUGAAAUCGUUGAAACAUCACUACAGCUACAGGUCUUUAUGUGUCAAUGAACUGCAGAAGCUGAUGAUCUACUUGUAGUAGACUUCUAUUGCCCCUGCCAUUCUCGGAAGACAAACAAGUUCAGGAACUACUUCUGGACCAAACUCAUAAUAUUGCCACUGCUUUGUGCCAAUCUGAGACGGAAAGAAGAUUGAAGUUCCUAAAUAAGGCACAUCAUGAUUUAAUAGAAGUACCACUAUAAGGAAAAAUUGAUUUCAGGAAAGCACUAAAAUAUGACAUAAUCUCCCCCUAAUGGUCUAAAGUAGUCAAAAAAUUAUAUCAACCAAGCAAAAACACAUAAACUAGUUGAGAUACAAAGUUAUCAUAAAAGUCAAUUUUGAUCACAAAUCCAUUAAAAUUAAAAGACAUCAGAAAGUUAGAGAACAUUAUAAUUUAGGACUCAGCUAAGUUGCAGAUUCUGUAACUAACAGCUGAGUCCACAUUGGCCUUGCAUCAGCUGAGUUUGGGUUGCUUUCCUCUCUCCUGCAACGCGUGGAAGCGUCCCAUUUGCUGUGUUAUAUACAGAGUCGGUACCGUAGCAAGCUCCUAUAAUUUAAGUUUGACUACUGUGGACAAUAGUCUGCCUCUGUUCAAAAGCUAUGCUGCAAGAUAUAGCAUCUUUGCAAUGUUAUACUUUCUAAAAGUAAUAAGAAAUGAAACCAAGGGGUAAAUCGAACACCAAAAGAAAUUUAGUCGGCCAACCACAUUAUGUUCCCACACAGUCCACCAAUUAAGUUAAUAAUUAAAGGGAAUCAAAAUCUAAGAAAUCUCAUCUUCAAGCAAAAUACAAACACACCGGGAUUGAAAAUCAUAAAAUCAUAAAAAGAAGCUGACUUGAAAAGCUCAAAUAUACGUUCAUCAGCCUCUCAACUUAUAUCUAAGAACAAAUGCCUGCAGCUUGUGAAGACAUAGAUAAUUGAAGCUGAUGAGGCAUAUUUAACAGAUGAUAAUCAAAACUCGUGUGAUUAAAAUUAUAAUUCAAUAAUCGAGCACAUAAAACAAGAAGUAACUAGUUGUAUAUAUACCAAACAACUUUCUGAAGUUAAGGCGUAAAACAACAACGUAGAACAAAUUAAUUAAAUAUACCAGCACCAAUACUCUUAUUAUUAUCCAAAUAUAGAAGACCAAUGUAUCAAACAAGGAAAAUGAAAUAUUGUUAAUAACUCAAAAACCACUAGUGUCAAGAAAUAAACUAAUAAGUAAAACCCAUAACCAGACACGACCACUUCAAAAUCUCUGAAAAUUGAGGUCUAAACAUUGAAAACAAUUAGACAUAUAUAACAGUCAAUCGAAACAAAGCCUCAAAAUAAUAAUGAACUACAAUAAGACAGAAACUAAAUUGUAAACAACCGCAUACCCAAUAACAGUAAUCAAGUAACGAGUCAAAACCAGAAUCAAACGUAGAAUUUGAAAUCCAUACGAACUCUAACGUAUUAGAAUGAAAGAAUAAGGACGAUCGAUAAACUAGACUAAAAAAAAAACAUGCCCAGUUAAAAAACGAAGGUAAAUAAAUAAAAAUGGUAUAAAACUGCGAAAAAAAUUAAUUAAAUGAAGAGAAAAUCACAGGAAUCCUAUGAAAAGGAAGGUAAACAAAACCUUCGGGAGCCGAGAAGAUGCCUUUUUUUGUUCACUUUUGUGCCUAUACAUACAUUUUUUUUUUUUGUUGGUAAUUUUGAAGAAAGUAUUGGUUAAAUAUUGUUAGAACGAAAUAUUAAUAGAUGCUGGAAAUUUCAACAAGGACAAUCUUCGAUUCAAAUGUAUCCCUAUGAUAAAGAAAAAGCCUACUUGGCUAAAUUUUGAGCACCACAUUACAAGAUCUAGGUGUAUGUAACCAUGCAAAAUGAAACAUCUAUUAAUUGUAAGUCCCUUGACCUCUGGAACCAGCCAACCAGUCUCUUUCCUGCUAGACAACCUUCCAUCGAUCAGACUAAUAAUAUUUACUAAAUCAUGUUCUACAGUUAAUGGAGUUGGACCCAAGGCAAUUGUUAGAAGUCCGCCUAGACAUAGAGUGCGCUUAGAAGUGGGAUGCUUAGAGAUGGGCCGCCAACACAACCAGCCAACCGUAGUGUGCUUAGCAAAUCACCCAAGCCCGGCCCAAGAUCUAGAACUAUCUACAAAUUGUAAAUAAGCUAAAAGUUUCUAAGUUUCUCCACAUAGGUCCCUAGGAUAUUUAUGGAAGUUGCUAGGAAGUUUCCUCCCCUAGAACUCUAAUACCUAUAAAUAGGGGUAAGCCCCCUCAUUUGCCCACCAACCACACCACACACACAAACACUCUAGCACACACACAAGCUCUCUAGCUUUUGUAAAAAGCUCUCUUGUAUAUUUUCUCUUUGUGAGUAAUAAAAUCAUAUUCAGCCAUAUUGCUCUACUUCUCUCUAGCAUUUUCUGCAAGUGUUCUUGCUUCGCUAGUUUGAGGAGUGUUCUAGGGUUGCUUAACAACUUGUUCGCUAGAAGGACAUCAUGGUCACAAAACAUGGACAUGCAAGAAAAAAAUAAUAUUGAUACGUUCUAAAAAUAAUAUGCGUUCUUCUACAGUGAACCAAAAAAUUUAGGCUAAUGGUAGCAAGUGAAGGAAUUGUGAUUUCACGUGCAUUUUGUUGACAUGAACGUAAAGGACUUUUUUUUAUAGUUUAUAUUGUUUAAUAUAACAUUUGAAUUGCAAAAUAGGGGUACAAAAUAGAUACACGAAGUGAUAAAACUAAGCUGAUUAUAAUAAAUAUUGAAUUAUAAGAUUUAGGUUUAAUCAGAAAGACAUAAGUGGCGCACAAAGUCACGAAUUGAUAUCAUCCAUGAUGCAAGUUCAAACAACUGCAUAAUAAGUUGCCCCAAGCUAAACUAUUAAUCUAGUAACUAUUCCAGUCGAUGUGGGAUAAUUUUCCUAUCACCAACUAUCACGUGCAAACCGAAUUUUUUGCUUGGUCCUUACAUGUGGUAAGGUAAUAUGAAUCCACUUGUGCAUAAAUUUGGCUCAGAUACUAUAUAGAAGCCUAUGACCCAAAAUUAGACUUAAAGGUUAUCUCAAGAUUUGAGGGUUGCCUCAAGCUCAUAUUAUUAUUAGCCUGGUAACCUUUUUUGUUUGUUGAUAUGUGAUAUUUUCCCUAUAACUUUUAUUAAUCUUUAUGCUUAUGUUUUGUCAUUUAUCCCAAAAUAUAACAUUAACAAAAGUUCCAAAAUUUCCUUCAAGAGAUAUAUUUGAGACAAGGAAUUUGUGCAAUAACUUUGUAAAUUGAUGAGCAAAUUCAGAGAAAAGAAUAUAUGUGCCAAACAUAACGUUUAUUAUUGUGUUUAUUUGUAGAGCUAUUUAAAGCCCAAAAAAAAAAAAAAGCACCGGUCCGCUAUGAUUUCAAAUAAGUUCAAGCCCUAUGUCAUUAUUGGUACAAAAAUGUAUCAAAAAGGUUAAAAACUAUUUUUAAAGGUUAAAAACUAUUUUUAUUUAACUUAUAAACUUAGGAAAUUAUCAACUGUUCGCCUUUAAAUUGCGCUAUUAUAAAAAAUAUUACAAUAUUUUCAGGUUGUGUCAUUCAUCUACCAUAAAUUUACAAUAUGCAUCAUUUAUCCACCAAAUCAUUAACUUCGUCAAAAAGUGAUAGACGUCACAAGGGUAAUUUAGACAUUUAACACAAAAAAAUAAAAGAGAAAUUAUCUAAGCUUACCAUGUUAUCAAAAUUGCUACAAAAUUUUAAAUUUGUUCAAUUUUCUAAUCUAAGUUUAUGACCUCCAAGAUGUUAAUUGCAGUUUGUAAUUAAUGACUUCAUAAGGAUAAUUUAGACACUCAAUAUGCAAAAUAAAAAAUAAAAUAAUGGCUUAAAACAUUAAAACAAAAAACUACUUUUUAUAAUUGAUAUUCAAUUAAAUACACAUAAACUCUAUUUUUUCUUAAUUAAAAAUAUUCUAAUUUAUUUUCUCAAUUUAUCUUCAUAAAUUUACAUUAAUAAACUAAAUCCACAAAUUACCCUAAACCCUAAUUCAUAAAUGCCCAAUCAAUCUAAUAGUUUAAUUCGAUUUCAUAAUUAAAAAAAGCUAAAUUUAUUAUAUUAGUUAUGGUGCAAAGUAAAAAAUGUCCUUAAAUCCAAGGGUAAAAUAGCAUUUUAUUUAAAUUCUAUAAAUUAUUCUAACAAUGUUAACAUUUUGGUGGACGGUUAAUAUAAGUUACAAACUUAAAAUAGAAAAUCAAAUAAAUUCAAAAUUUCAAACUAUUUAGGGCAAAUUUAGGAUAAUAAUGGUCAAUUUAUUAUAAUUCUAUUAAUUUUUUAAUGGAAGCAAGCGAUAUAAUGGAUGAAUGAUAUAAAUUGUAAAAUUAAGGUGCAUGAACGAUAUAAUUUUAAAGUAUUGUAGUACUUUUAAUAAUAGAACAAUUUAAAGGUGGAUUGGCGAUAAUUUAAACUUUAAUGAAGCAACUAAAAAAUAUUUUUAACAAAGAAAAAUAAUUGAAUGCUUUGUGAAACCAAAAAUAUUUGAAAUGUUUUAAGAAAAAUAAAGGAAAUUAAAUAUCUUUUUAAAAAACAUAAUUGAGUAAAAUCAUUUUACAAAAUGCUCUUUCAAAUGCACAUUCCACAAGCCAAGAAGAACGGGUGGCUAACAAAAAUCUCACUUUUUAUGAGUUUAUAAAAUCUCACUUUCGCAAAAUCCAAAAAUAACCAAUACUAUCACACAAAAAAUAAAAAGUAUUGCUGUCACGACAUUACACACUUUCUUCGCCGUCUAGAAAGGUAGAACAUUUUGAAGUUCCUCAAUACAAAAUGCGUGCUAUUACUAAAUUGGCCCAAUUAAUGCCCAUCGAAAGGCCAUCAAUUUAGCCACCAAAUUUGCCAAAGUUUUAACAAUUGAAGAAAUAGUGAACUCAAAAGGAACAGAUAAAUUUUGAAGUUGAACAAACCUUAAGGUACAUACAACAAAGCCUUGAAACUUUAGUCUUCACAAUUUAAGCACGCAAUAAUAUUAAGUAUCCACCUAAAAAACAAGUAUAGAACAAAGCUUGUUAGCUUCUUGGGCAUUAACUAUGAAUGAUGAGUAAAAUUAAAAAAGCAAACAGAGAAAAUUAUAAGAAGAAGAAAAGCAAACAGUUAAAAAAAAAUUAUGAGAAGGAAAAUUUUGGUAGAACUCCGCGGCUCAUCUGUGAAAUUAAUGUCAAUAUGUAUUUUUAUGUAAAUAGGGUCUCUGGAUUUUAGGAUGAAUCAAUCAGCUACCACAAACGAAAACAUGAACCAACUAUAUAUAGAGUCAAUCAACUAUAAUUAAAGUUCUCAAGAGCUUACCUCUGCUCCAGAAUUCUCGGAAUCAUCUAUUUCCUUCUGAAUUUGCGCGAAGCUUGGGACAACUAAGAAAGCGUCCAUGUGGAGCUGGGAUCUGAUAACCCGCAGGCCAAAAGUUGGUGAGGUUUGGUAAAUCUAACAGUGUCAAGUUCCAAAAUCCAUUCAUAACAAUUUCAUUGUAAUCCGUGACAUCUGCUCCAUCUUUAUGCCAGAAUACUUCUUCUAAUUCAUAAUUACUUUCUACCCAUAGUUGAGUUAGAUUUUGAAGACUUGGAGCUACGCUAAUAUGAAAUAGAUGCUUUAGUUUGGGGCAGUUGUAGAAAGUGAUCCUUCUGAGUUUUGGGAAACAUACAGGUUGGAGAUGAUCCUCAUCCUCAUCCUCAUCAAUGAUUUGCUCUAAUUCCAAGCAUUUCCGAACAGAUAACUCCUCCAAUUGCAACAGAUUUCGAGCAAGUGUCGAUGAGAGGAGACGUUUCAACUUAGAGCACCGGAUCACGAGUAAACGGGUAAGAUUUUGCAGGCUAAAAAUAUGCGUGGGACCUUCAUGAUAUAAUACUUGCAGUUCUGGAAGAUUUUUCAAUUGCAACGACUUCAAACAUGGGAAUAGUUUGUUUUCUUGUCCCUCAGCGAUAAUAGCUUCCAAUUGAAACACCACAUGUACUCCAAGUUGGCUAAUUUUCAAAUCUUCCAAAUUUUUUAAGUCGUGCUUCAACAGUGCUGGAAUCGUGUCACUCAAAUGGGAACAAUUGUCCACAUUUAGAAUUUUUAAGUUCUGAGACAAAUAAAUAAAUAACUUGAUGUAAUUAAAAUCUAUUAGCAGCUAAGAUUAUCACAUGAUAAGUGACGAACACCGCAAAAAACAAAAAUAGAAACAAAAUCCAUACAAAAAUAUAAUAAUACAUAUGUAAACUAAUAAAAUAAUUAAAAAGUAAUAUGGAUUGAUCAUGUGAAGUGAUAUAAAGGUGACAUUAGAUUGUUUGAGAAAAAUUAGUAUUCUAUUAAUUUCUAUGGAUUGAUCAACUAAUUAAUUGAAUUUGAGUAAUAUUAUAUACACUUCAGUAAGUGUUUCUAUCAAUUCUUUCUAAACCAAAAUGAGAUAAGACUUCCAUUUGAACAAUGAUUUUAGGCCCUAAAAUAAAGAAAUUUCCCUAAGAUAUUUGAGCAUUAUUAUUAUCAUCACCACAUCCACGAUCAUCAUCAUCUCCAUAGGACCAAAUAAUUAAUGGCUGAUCAUAAAAUUUAUUGCUAAAUUAUCAUUUUGAGUAAAAUUGAAGGAAAAGAAAAAAUGUAAACACAAACAAACAUACCUCUUCAAGAUACUGCAAAUUGGCUUCAAGUUCAGUACUGCUGACGGUCAAGUUGGGACAGUGCCUAAGGUGUGACUCUUCCAAUGCUGUCCAAAUUGAACAAUAAUUUUCUGAACAGAAGCUCUUGAGUUUUGGGAGAUUGUGAAGUGUUAAUUUUGUCAACAAAGGGAGGGCAAGCAUCGUAUUUCCAUCUCCAACACUUAUUUCCCCUUCAUUAUGAUCAAACUUUGCUUCGACAAUACAUUCCAUUCUCCGGCAUCCACUUACAUAGAGACUUUUAAGCUGCUUCAAACUUCUAGCUUGUGACAACGUGAAGAUAUAUGUCAAAUUGUUGCAUCCACACACAGUCAAUUCUGUAAGAGCUUGGAGGCUGAUCACAUAUUGGGCGGGCGCCUUCCAUAUCCACUUCAGUUCUGGUAAUUGCCACAUAGAUAACUCUGCUAAUCUUGAGAGCAUCACAGGAUUCCCACUCUUUCCAUGCGGCGACUUAGAGGCAUCCAUUAUGCAUUCUAAUUCUUUGCACUCGUUGACAGAAAGACAAGUCAACUCAUUUAAGCCCCUUGGAUCUAUGCUUGGCACAAUAUUGUGACAACCUAUAAUCGUUCUUAAAUUAAGAAUUUCCAGUUCUUGAUACAAUGCCGAAAAAAUACCGAGAGAGGUUGCUUCACAAUUAUUAAUCUUUAAGCCCCUUCUCUGUCCAAAAAUUUCAUCUUCUUCUUGCAUUAGAAAUUCAAGUUUGUUACCAUUACUGACGUGGUGCCUUUCCAAUUUCGGGAAUGUAAAGUCUUUUGGAAGACGUGCAAUUUUUUUGCCAGUAUGUAAAGUCUUUCCAUCGUCAUUUUCUUCUGAACUCAUCCCUUCAGCCUCCCAAUCUUUUAUCCGACCAUAAAAUUCUUCUAAUUGAGGAAAUUUUUUUAUCGUAAUGGGAGAAAUACAACCAGAAUUAAUGAAUAUAAGAAGUUUCAAUCUACUAAGUUGAUCCCCAAAUUCUUCAGGAAUUUCAAUGGGAGACUCCUUGACACAAAGAAUUUGAAGUCUCUUCAACUUUCCAAGGAAAGAUGCGUCACUUACUUUACAUUGAAUCAACUGCAGAACUUGGAGGUUGGUGAGGAAUUGAAGCGAUUUAAGUGAAAUGACUCCACCUAUUACAGUAACAACUUUCAAUGCUGGCAUCCCUUCGAAAAAAUGCUCUGGAACGUGAAAUUGAUAGUCAUAACCACUAGGAAGCUCUUCUUUUACAUAUCCCAGGAAAGAGAUUCCUUCGUAUUGUUCCAUUGCCCGUUCCGCCAAUCCAUCUGUAGUAACAACUUUCAAUUUGUAGUUAUAUACAGUAUUCUGCAGUUGCAAAAUUUGAAGGUUAGGACAUACCAAACUGGUAGGAAGCUCUUCUUUUUUAUUUCCUACCAAUGAGAUUCCCUUGCAUUGUUCCAGGCUUUCUUCCACUACCCGUUCUGCCAAUCCAAUGCCAACUUUACUAGUAAAAUAUUUCUUUCCCACUGAGCCUAUCCAUAAGGAAACAUCACGAACAAUGUCAUGCAUUUUCACAGAUCUAUCAUUACCGGUGUCUAACAGCAGUGAAGAAGCUUUGAGCUCUUUAAUCGUUCCACUCACUAGGAUCCUGGCUUCUUCGAUUGACUCAACUUGAUACCAAUCCAACGCCACUGCAUAUCCAACCAAAUCAUUCGAAUCUAUCUCAUAAUCUUCUGGAAACAGCGAACACAACAAAAAGCAUGACCUGGAAUCCUCACCAUUCAAAUAAUCGUAACUAAAUUUGAGACAAUGGUAAACGUCUUGGUCAUCCUUACCAAUACCUUCUAUUGUAUUGAGUUUUGCAUUUUUUAGUUUAUGUAGAGCUACUUUCCAUUGACCAAAUCCUUUACCUCUUAGCGCACUUCCAACAGCCUUAAUAGCUAAAGGCAACCCCUUACAUUCAUUAGCAAUUUUUUCUGAAACACCAAUCAAGGUUGAAUCAGCAUCAAUGCCGGCAUGCUUUCUUAGUAAAGCCAAUCCUUCUUCUCGCUUUAGAACACCGAGUUGAAUCUGCGUGUCACAACCCAUGCGAUCACAAACUGGCUGAAGGCGAGUGGUUAGAAGGAUUUUGCAACAAUUGUCUCUAUCACCAACAGGAAUACCUAUUGUCUCCAAGUCAAUUUCAUUCCAGACAUCGUCAAGGAUUAUGAGGAUCUUGGGGCUUUUACUCUCAGAGAACAUCAAGCGCAAUCGGUCUGCUCUAUCCUUCUCAUCUUUCUCCGUUAAUGCCCAACCUAACGACUUUACUAGCUCACUUUGAACAUUUAUUAUAUUUGGAUCCCGAGAUAUAGUGGCUAUCCCUACGUGAUCGAAAAUCUUUUGUUGCCGAAGUUGAUUGCCCGCAAAUUUUGCCAAGGUCGUCUUUCCAACACCACCGAGACCAUGCAAUCCCACCAUCUUUGUGCUCUCUUUUUUCAGUGCUUCAAUGAUCUGAUUACAAGCCAAUUCUGUAGUCUCGAAAGACAUAAAAUGUCUUGGUGCAGGCAAUUCUUUGUUCAAUGGUAGAGGUUUAGGAUGGGCAACAGUGCUGAAUUUGCCGCGGUCUAGUAGAUCGGCCAACUUGCUAGUCUUCUUUAAUGCUUUUCUUCCCAGCCAAUAUCGGCAACCCCAAUUAGGACACCAUCCAUUAAGACAACUCUUGUUUUCAUCUAUCUUUGCUUUCAAAUUUUGAACAUUGGCCAUUUCUUUGACUACAUCCGCCAGCCACUUCUCUACAUCUUUCUCCACUACUACGGCGCGGUGUUUUUGUCGAUCUUGUUCUACUUUUUCAUUGAUGCCAUCUUGUGCCUCCUUCAAAUUAGUUUCGUUAUCCCCAAGUUCUUUAAUAAUGCUGUUGAAGCAGAAUAAAUAGCGAGCUUGGUUUAUGGUUGCGUCCGCCAAUAAUUCUCCAAGCUUUGAUGCAACACCUGAUAAAAUUUCCAUGCUAUUUAUCUGCAAUUAAUGAAAUUGAUCUCAGUAUGCUAUAAGCAAUUAAAACAACAUGGCUUGAUCGCAAGAUCGAACGUGAACGUUUAAUUACUUUAAUUUUUUUUCUUUUGGCUUAUUAACGCCAGCAUUGAUCAAUAAGAGCAAAAUGCAAAACAAAGGAGAAGAAAUAAGGUAAACGUUAUAUAUGAUGGAUUACAUUGAAAUUAGAUUACUUUAGAAAUUUUUAAAUAAAAAUUUAAUAGAAUCCGGAUAAACCUAAGAGUUUGUUGUGCAUUGCGAGUGAAGACAGGCAGUUGCAUGGGGAAUAUGAUAAAAGUGAUGAAUAACUGAAAAGCCACCCAUAAUAACAAUUAAAAAGAGUAUUAGAGAUUAGAGGAGUUCAACAUUCUAUGCAAGCCCACUCACGAUAAAAUUUGAAUGGUUUCAACAGGAUUACCAUUUUUUGACCUUUAAUAAAUAUUCUAAUAAAAUAAUACCAUAAUUCCAAACAAUAUCUGAAUUUCUUUUUCCUUCAAAUGUUCAUUAAACUCACAUAUUGGAUAAUUAAUUUAAUUAUUUUUUAAAAUUAUUUAUUACCCUAUCUUAUUGUUCAAUAGAUAUAAAUGACACCUUAUUUGGUAUGGUAAAAAUUGGGGUAAAUUUUCUUUUAUUCUCUAAAGUUUGGACCUAUUACCAGUUAUAUAUAGUAUUUGUAUUUUGUAAAAUUUUACCUAAAACGUCCAUGUCAUUACUUUUAUAGCUAUUGAACCUGAAUUUUCCAGUGUAAGAUAUUAUUUUUGUCUAUUAUAAAUUAAAAUUCAAAUAAAUCUAUCAUGCAACAAACAAAACGUAAAGAAAAUUAAUUAGGUUUUAAUUGGAAACAAAUAUAAAAUAUCGAUUUUUUUAUUAAUUUUUGUGAAUUCUUUUAUUGUUCGAAUUAGAAUUGAAUAAUUUGUAUAAGGAUAAUUUAUAUGAAGAUAAUCUGCAAAAUAAGCUUAUAUGCCGAAUUUAAAAGAGUUAUAUUAGCAAUCAUAUAUUUAUCAAAAUUUUUAAUAAAACUAUUGUUUAAAAAUUGGCCAAAUGGGUUUCAUGAAGAAAAUAGAAGGGCAUGAACAAUUUAAAAGACGUAUUAAAUGGACCAAUUUGAAAUGGUAUGAGAGCACAAUGAACUCAUGUUGGUACCUGGGUAGGCAAAUUAAUUUUAUUUUUAAAGUAUGGUUAACAGUACUGACUUGGAGGUGAUUGACGUUAAGUUAAAUUAAUGCAAACAAAUGGUAAAAAUAAUUUAAUGAAAAUUAAUUAAUAAAAAAAUGCAUUAAAAAAUUAGAACUUAAGUUCUUGAUCAUUUUGUCCGUAUGUUUUUAAUCCAACGCUCAGAAUUGGCGUAAAACUAGCCAUUGGAAGUAAAACACAAAAAUCGAAUUAAGGGCCUAUGAAACAAUAAGAUCUCAUACCUUCUUCGUUAUAAAUCCUCAAUUACUGUUGAAAGCUCCAGUUAAGAGAGUCGCACAAGUUCGGAGAAAAUUAAAAAGCUGCAUAUGGCAAUAUAAAUAAACAUCAGAUCAAAACGAUAUAGGAUAUAUCUGGCUAAUUAACAUCUUAUAUAAGUCCUUGUUCUCAGUCAAAUCUUUCAUACUUAGAAAAAAAAAAAGAUUGAAAUAAUAACUGUAUGUUUUUAAUCCAACGUGCAAAAUUGGCAUAAACAAACUAAUAUAGCAUAAAACAAACAUCAAAUUAAGAGCCUAUGAAAUAAUAAUAUCUCAUACCUUCUUCAUUAUAUAUCCCCAAUUACUACUGACAGCUCCAGUUAGAGUGGCAUAAUUUCCGAGAAAAUUAAAAGCUGCAUCUAGCAAUAUAAAUAAACAUCAGGUCAAAACAAAAUAGGAUAUAUCUAGCUAAUGAACAUCAUAUAUAAGUCCUUGUUCUCUAUCAAAAUCUUUCCUUCUUAAAAAAUAAUAAUAAUAAUAACAAUAAUAAUUGAAAUAAUAACUGUGGGUGACACAUGAAGCAAAAGUAACAUACCGAAAUGAGAGCAGCUCACAUAUCUGGUGACUUCCAAGAGAAUGAAAAAUGAAUGACCUUCGGCAGCAAGAUCCAAAUCAAGUAUCACAAAUUGCUACUGACUUCGUGGCUUCACUUUCCUUUUCUUUUUCUUUUUUUUUAUAUCACAGUGUGAAUUGAAAGGUGAAAAGUGAAAUGGUACACAUGCGUAUGAUGAGGGGGUAAUUUUUAGACACCUGCCCGAGGUUUAAGGUCUUCUGAAUUAGAUGGAUUGUAUUUUCGUAUUAUCAAAUACCUCCCCUGCCCGUUUUUAUUCCAUUUAGUAUUUUCUAAAUGGCUGAAGGUAAAUUGGUAAAAACUCAUUUAAAAUAAAAAAAAAUCAAAGAAAUUCAAGAAGAAGCUUUAUAUCUGCCAUUUGUAUUUGGGGUAUCUUUUUGGUUGUUGAGUGAAUGAGCUUAAAUCUUAAAUAUUUAUUUUCUUAUUAUAUAUUUCUUAUUGGAAAGAAUUUGAAUCUUAUUCUUAUUAAACUUAUUCUCUUUAAAUAAAAGUAGAUUUCUCUCCAUGUAUUUAGUGUGUAUUUUGAAAUUAAUGUUCAACAUAUCUUUAGAUCCUAUUAUAAAUAUUCAUAUCUAAAAUCUCAACAGAUUCCAACAUAUAAAUAUAUAUAAAGAGAGAGAGUAACGUUCUAAUAAGAAAUUUUUUAAAUUAUCAAAUUAAAGGAUAAUUCAAAAGAUAAAAAAAUACAUAAUCUAAUAUAUUAUAUAACAAAAUAUACUAUAUUAAAAUAUAUAUUUUGCUUAAUUUUUUAAUAUAUCCCAUAAUAACUUAAGAAAUCCUUUAUUUACCUGAUAUAUAUAUAUAUAUGUAUAAUUUUUUACAAAAUAAACAAUUUAGAGUAAAACAAAGGACAUUCUGGGGCCUUUUGCUAGACUACCAAUCUACCAUUUUGGAUUGCAAUAAAGUGAAAAUACUGGACUACCAAUCUACUAUUUUGGAUUGCAAUAAAGUUAAAAUGGGUUACACCAAAAAAGUAAAAAAAAAAAAAAAGUGACAAUCAAUCUUGUCGGCCAAUACAUCGAGUUUUUUGCCGGAUUAGUAUCACCGUCAAAAACAAAUUAUUGCAAGCACUAGCAAAAAGCAAUCGAUGAUUUCGCAAUUUGGUUGUUAAAAAGCAAACUAGAUCACGAUUCCUCAAUUCAAAAUGGGGCAAAAUUAUGGUAUCACAAUGUUACCGUACUACAGCUGGAUCCAGCUUACAGUUACCAUCAUAAUUGAAUCUAACAGUUGGAUCCAUCUAUAGUAUGGUAUUACUGUGGUACCAUAGCUGGACCCUUCAAAAAAAUGCUUUUUUUAAUUAAAUAAGUGAAAAUUAAACCUACAAUUCAAAAUAGAAGACUGUAGAUGCGUAUAAAUUGAAGAAGGUAAAUUUUGUGUGUGCGUAAAUAUUUUAGUCAACAACAAAAAAUUCUAACAAGUUAAUAUAAGAGUAUCAUAGCAGUACAAGAGAAUUUUUUUUUUUUUUGGAUGUUAUGAGUUAUCGAGAUACCCAAUAUAUAUGUGUGUGUGAGAGAGUGGGGAAGAAAAAAAAUAUUAAGAAUAGUUUUGGCAUUUUGAUGGGUUUUAUAGAGUAAAAUCUAUAUUUUCAAAUAUGAUAAUUCUUUAAUUUAAUUUUUUGUUAUGAAAAAAAAGGGCAUUUUAAAUAUGUUUUAAGUUAUAAAUAACUCCAUCCAAAAUUUAAAAAUGAAAUCUUAGGGGGGAAAAUUUUUCACCCAAACUAAGGCCCAAAGUAGCCGCGGCAUUUUUCACCAAUUCUCCAAUUCCCAAUGUGGUCUAAUUAUUUACAAGGAAUAUGAGUAGGGGUGGGCACGGUUCAGUCCGGUUUGGUUAGAAUCUAAAUUAAGCAGAACCGAUUUAAAUAGGUUAUUUUAUAAAAAAAACUAAAUAAGAACCGAACUCAAUAAAAAUUGGACAUAAACGGAUCUUUUCAGAUCGGUUUGGUUCGGUUCGGUUUUUUCGGUUUUGGGCGUAUUUUGAAUUUCUAAAUUUUAGCCCAUUAGGCCUCAUGAAUGUAAUGAUUUUAUUCAACAAUUAAUUUAUCCUAAUUUCAUUACAAAUAUUAACAAUAAAUACAAAGUAUUCAAAACACAUUUUAUCACUAAUAUCUUACUAACUACUAAUAAGGUACUUAUAAAAUAUGAAAUAUUAAGAUUUCAAAAUACAUAAUCAAACUCCAAUACUCCAUCUACAUAAACACAAUGUUGUAACGACAAAAAAAAAUAAUAACAACAAUUAAAACUUACAACACAAAAUAAAAAGAAAAUUUGGAAACAAACACUAACAACAAUUUUUAAAUAAAUAAAUAAAUAUAUAUAUACUCGUAAUUGUGUGUGUGCAUGUCUAUUUUAGUUAUCUUACGCAACCAAUUAAAAUUUAACAUGUGUCUAUUUAAAUAAAAUUCCAAGAAUAACUCGGUUUUUCGGUUCUGUUUUUUGGUUCAGCUGAGUGAACCGAAUACCGAACCUGUAUUUUAGUUUUUUUUACAAACCAUAUAUUUCAGUUAUUUUUUAAAAUUAAAACCAGUCCAAACGGAACGGAACGGUUCAGAUCGAUUUUCUCUAGUGCACGGUUUUUUUGCCCACCCCUAAAUAUGAGAUUCUCUACCACUCCAAUUUAUCCCAUUGUUAGCAAUCCUAUUAGAUGUUUUAUAUCCUAUUUUUAUUAUGCUCCCCAAACAAAUAUGUUUCACCUAAAGGUGCCCAACGGGCUACACCGUCCGUCUGAAUGAGCGCACGAGAGGCUCCACAGGCGUGUCUGAUAUGCUCUUUCAAGUCUACAUACCUAACGUUCUUUUUUUAAGUGCAUAUAUAUUUUUUAAAGCUCAUGUGAAAUUCAGUAGUAAGAGAAUGCAAUACUAGUUAAUAAGUUAGAGCCUACAAAAUAAUAAUAAUAAUAAUAAAAUUUUCUCUAAGGGUUAACAUUUUAUUGUUAACUUGAAUUUAUAUACAGUUAUCGAUUAUAGUCCAUAAUAAUAUUAAUACUUACAAGUUUCAAAUUAAAAUUUAAUAAUUAACAUUUCAUUAACACAACUAUAUUAUCUAAUUUUGCAAUAACCAAUUAUAAUACAACAAUACAUAAUUAUAAUUUCAUAGACCAUGGUAAUAAAAUCUCUACGUUAAUGAAAAAUUUUAUUUUGAUAUAUGUUGGUCUGCUUGCUAUUGAUGGCCGAUGGUCGUAUGCUAGCCUGCUAAUGAAACGUGUUUAUUAUUGGUUUUUUAACAUGUCUUGCUUUACCACAUCUCUAAUCAAAUUGUGCUCUUAAAAUCCAUAGCCUAACCUAGCCUCUGUGUGUAUCCUGCCGUGCCAUACUAUACAAACAUGUAUCUGGUACCAUGCCACGUACCGGUCGGCCCUUAGCCAUCUCUAGUUUCACCCCUAAAUAAAAUCUAAACGGCUACUGGCAAGUGAGAAAACUUGUUAUUCUUUAUUUUGAAAAUAAAGGGAAUUGGCGAAUUGCUUAGUUUGAUAUUGUUUUUGGUAAGUCAUUUUUUGUUUUGAAACAUUUUUCUGAGAUGUUGUUGUAUUUGGUGAAAAAUAAAUUAUUUUAUUUUAUACUUUUAAUGAAGAAAAGUAGAGAAAAACAUUUUGUUGUUUUCGACAACAUUUGCCUUAUAAGUGCACCCGUGCCACUUUUUUCUUGUUUUAUUUGUAUGAUAAUUAUCAUGGACCCACGUAACUUUCUUUUGCAUUUAAAAUUUCAUAAUAAAUUAAAUUAGACAAAAGAAAAGAGUCCCACAAAUAAUUUAUUUUAUAAUUUUUUAAAUAAUACUAUUUUAAAAUAAAUUAUCAAAACAAAUUUCAUAUUCACUAAAAUUAAUCAUAUUCAUAUUAUAAAAUUAAUAUAAAAACAAUAUCUGAAAAGUAAUGCUAAAUACACUGUUAAAUUUUAUAAACGGCAUUAGAAUUGAUGAACAAUCUGACAAAGAUGCUGCGAUUUAAGUAGGGAUGACAAUUAAAGCCGUAUUUGAAAAAUUUCGUCUCCAAAUUAAAAAAUAUGGAUUCGGAUAUGGAAAUUUGGAAUUCACAUAGAUCCAUAUAAAUUUUAUUUUAAAUUAAAAAUAUAUAUUAAAAAUUAAAUGAAAAAUUAAAAAAUAAAUUUUAUUUGUGAUUUUAUGAUGUUGUUGUAUAUUAUUCAUGUUGAAUUAUUAAUGGUUGGAUUAUGAUUGAAUUUUAUUUGAUAUUAUUAGGUAAAUUAUUAAUUUUUAUUUAAAAUAAAAAAUAUAUAUUAAAAAUUAAAUAAAAAUAAAAAAUUAUAUUUUAUUUGUAGAUUUAUGAGAUUAUUGUAUGUUAUUCAUGUUGAAUUAUUAAUUGUUGAAUUAUGAGUGAAUUUUAUUUGAUAUUAUUAGAAAAAUUAUUGAACUUUUAAAUUAUAUAUUAAAUUAUUUAAUUUUAAUUUUUACGGAUCUGGAUAUCCAGAAUAUCCUCCGGUAUCCGUUGCGGAUAUUACCCGCUUCUGGAUCCGCAUUUUUUUAUACAAAUUCAGAUAAAAUAUGAAUGCGAAUCCGAAUCUGGAUUUUACCAACCUUGAACCUAAGCAUGAAUGGGCCUAAAGUUUUUACAACAAACAUGGAUCAUUCAAUGACACGAGAUGUUUUACAGCUCUCACUAGUAUAAUUAAAUAAUUAAUUCAUCUCUAUAUUCAACUUACUCCGUCUCAAAUUGCAUGCAAAUACGAAAAUACACUUCUGAAUCGUUCACUUGAGGAAAAUUCCAAAUUCUCCACGUAGAAUUUAGAUUCAAACCAUAGCAAAUUAGACAUAAUUCUAAUUUAUAUGGGAAAUAUAAUUAGCGAAGACACUCUUUAUAUAAACAUUAUUGUCAUAGGAUGCCAAACCUAAUAAGAUUCAAGAUCUUAACAUACUUCAUAUGAAAUUUGAUCUUGACGCGUACCGACAGGCAUAACAUCAAGACUCUACUUCAUAUAUUAUAAUGUAACUUCAUGGAUUUUUCGCUCUCUUGGGGGUCUAUCGUUUGUUUGCAAACUUUUCCAUUUUAAAUUGACAAUUAUAGGCGCUCUCUUGUGGUACAUAAAAUAAACGUUUAUUUUUAGAAUAUUAUUAUUUAUCUCAAUUUUUUAUUUAAUAGUUAAUUUUAACCAAUUCUUAAACUGUCAUAAUCAAUUAAUUUUUUACAUUAUGGCGUCUUAAAUAAAUUUUGGAUCUGUAAUAAAUAAAAACUGGUAACGUUUGUUCUUUUAAAACAUAAAACAACCGUAACAUUGGUUUUUACAUUUUGAAUUUUUCUUGCAUCACUAUUUAGAAAAAUGAUGUUAAAUCAACUCACAAAAUAUAUCAAGCCAUCUAAAAUCCAAAUAUUAUUACAUUUGUAUUGCAUUGUUAAAUUGUUGGAACGACGGCAAAGCAAUUGAAAAGAUAUUAACAAAAAAAUAAAGAUUGGCCAAGGAUUAUUCAUGUUUAGGAAAUGCCUUAACUUUUGAUAUAAUCAUUGUUAUAAUUAUAUUGUAGAAAUAAUCAAUUACCUAAUGUUUGUGGUGGUAAAUAUUAUUAACUUGUUUUACUAUACCCGUGUUUAUGCUGGUCUCCUUUUUGUCCAUUUCUGUACAACGAAAUAUUUGCAUGUGUUGAUAGAAAUUGGUUUAAAUGACAUUUAAAAUAGUAUAUCCCCAGACAAUUAACGAAAUAUUUGGAUGGUAGGAUGAAGUAAUAAAUAGUUUUACAAAUUACCAUAUUAGAGGUAAAAAAAAUUCGAGAGGUUACUUGACAAUUAUGACGUUACUAACUACAAAUUUAACACAAAAAGUUUAAUUAACUUUUCUUUUUGAGAUGGCAAAAUCUCUGGUGUUGAAAACAAUGAGGUUUGAGGUUCAAGCUUGAAUAUCAAGUUACAAUUAAUAGAUGGUCUUAGGACAUAUCAAAGAUUUCUUUAAAGACAAAAUAAUAAUUACAAGCAAUAGGAAUUUAUGGUAUUCAGAACAUUUAUAUCUUCGCACAUGAAGCUUGAAUCCAGAACAAGAUGCAGCUAGCCAAUCCUUCCAAAACCCCACAAAACCUCUGUCAACAUAUCUGCUCUACUUCAAUAUUAAGCACAUUCAUAGCGGUAUCAACAGCUUACAGCGCCAAAAUAUUUUCCCCAAAAAGAGUGAGAGAUUUCACUGAAGCUAAGUUGUGACUUGUGACUGCCCAAAUGUUCUAUAACACGAUAUGAUUAUUCUAGUAACACAAAUCCAAUAGCAUGCAACAUAAUCUACUCUCUAACAUUGUGCAUUAGUAAAAUAAAACAGAGUAAAAAGAGAAACCAUGCCUGUGAAUCUCUUCUUUUCCCCCUGCCACCCCUUUUUUUGGUGAAGUCCAUCAAAUGAAAAUGCAGCAUGACCACGUUGGCCACUGCCACUGCCAUUACUUCUUCAACUGUGCCUUUUGUUGCAAGAAAUAUUCAAGUGAAAGAUUGGAUUAUAUAAUUCAAGAUUCCAAUAGACCUGAGCUGCAAAGGUUGCCUUCCACUAGCCUAUCAGAGACUAUGCUUUCUAUUUUCCUAGUUUGUUAAUCAAAAUUUUAUAAGAUUUAUUUAUGGAAAUCUUGGACAAAAUUUUACGUAAGAUACCACAAAGCCAAAUGCAAUCAUUGUAAUUCUCAGCAGCAACAUUUAAAGUGAAAAAUGGAAGCCAUAUAAACAUAACUAUGUUUGCUACGAGGAACAAUUAUUUCAAGCUUUCAGAAAUGCUAGCAAGAAAUUGUAAGAGAACUUUACCUAGUCACAGAAUAUGUCAAACAUACUACCACCGUCUUUAGCACGAUUGUUAUGGAAGUAGCUUUUGAAUCGGAAGAUUCCAGCUUCCACCAGGCACCAUUUUUUUCAUUUUUGAUACAAUCUGCAUCACUGGCAUUAGUUAUACCAUCAACAUUUGCAUCCUCACUCUCAUCAUCCCAAUCAAGGCUUCUUCUCCAGCUCUGGAUUAUAAGUCCACUCCGACAUCUUCGAACACCUCGGUCCUUCCAUUUGCCAACAACCGAUAUGGCUUCCUUCCUUGCCUUCCCCAUUAAUAUAUCACUCGAAGGCAAAAAAAGCAUCAGCAAUUCUCUUCAACGCCUCAUCGUUUAUAACCCCCCAAAAAAAGGGUCUUCAGACACCUCAACUUUGCCUUCUGCAAAACCUCCACAAAAUCUGAAUUAUCCAACACAACAGCCAGACACUCAAUCCUUCUUUUGUCCAUCAUAUCCACCGUAUGAUUCCUCAACAAAAUAUCUACAGCUUGUGGCUUUUCUAACACUGUCUUGAUCCAAAACCCUGCUCUUUUCAACUCAUCUGCCAAACCAUAACCCACUUUUGGAGUCAAAAUUGUCCUUGCAGCCCUUUUAUAUUUUUCCAUCUCCAUCGAAUACUUGCCACUCAAAUCGAAUUACCAGACAGGAAUCCCAGUAACAAGUCCACUCAACUUCUUCUCAUCUGAUCCCUCUUUCACUCUGGCGGAAACAUUAAUAACCAUUCACCAGCCACAAAUUACCCAAGUAAGUAUUCGUGUCGUCAACACUUACCCUUCACUUCAUCUACGCAAACAAGAAUUCAAAUUGCUUAUUAGCUAGUGCUCGAGCGAAAGCCAAAAUAAAUUAAAUAUGUGUGUGUGUGUGUUAAAAGAGAAACGGUAGCGAAGUUAUUACACAAUAAAGCAAACCAAAAUAAAUUCUACACUCAUGUGGGUGUUUCGCUCGCAAAAUCUGGACAAGAAAAAAUAAUAUUGAUACAAUCUCCAAAUAAAGAGCAUUCCUCUUGGUAAAAUAGACAAAUCCUAUAAAUUUUGAUUAAUGGUGCCAAAUGAAAGAGUUGUAAUUUCAUGUACAUUUUGUUAACAUGAAUAAGGGUACAAAAUAGAUAACAAAGUGACAAAAACAAAGCUAAUCACAAUGAAUGAUAAGGUUUAGAGUAAACAUAAAGUUAUAAUCUUGAACAUAAGUGGCGCUCAAAGCCAUGAAUUUGAUAUCAUCCAUGAGGGGAGUUCAAACAACACCAUGUAAGAAGCAACAAGUGUUGAGAAAAAAAAAAUUCAUUCUAACACAACAGAAUAAAUUGUAAAGAAAUCCCAGUUUGUAUAAAAGAAAGAAAACAAAAUUAAGGAAAACAUAAGCACAACAAAAUUUGACUGAUUAUUAAAAAUGAGAAAUGAGUUAUAAUGAGAAUUUUGGCUUUGUGGUGAAAUAAAUUGGGAAGUAUCAAAGUUUGCAUGUAAAUAAUAUAAAUGAUAAGAAGACGAAGGGAACAAAAUGAUAAUAAGAAUGCCAAAUAUUAAAAUGCAGAUUCUACGCUUCCGCCCCCCCAUACUUCAAGUUAGUGUCUCGCUAAUCAUUUUAGAUGUAUCAAUUACAAAGGGAGGCCAUCUAUUUAUAGUAAGUGUACGCCUCUAAUGCUUUGCCAAGUGUCCAUUGAUAAUAUCACAAGGGAAAUUAAAUUGGUGUAUGUGUAUUACACCUCCUAAAGUCAUGUUAAGAUAGUGUGCUGAUAAAGUUUGUUGCACGUAUGAGUUGGUUAAGUCUGCUAGAAAUGCAAACGUGUAAAGCUUAGUUAGUUAAGGUUGUUACGAAUGCUUAGAUUCAGUUCACGUGUAUUGUAUGUAAUGCUUAGAUUCAGGUCAUGUAGAUUGUGUAUACAACUUUCUUAUAUUCUUUAGAUCUCAAUAUAAAUACUUGUAAUCAACAAAUACAAUAAUAAGAGUCAUCAUUCUUCAUUUUCUCUCUGUUUCUCUCAUAUUUUCUCUGCAUCCAAACACAAUAUUCUCAGUUCUUGACUUGGUAUCAGAGUUGCAGUUUAAUUGUCAUGGCUUCCUUCCUUAAGCACAAAUUCAAACAUAAAUCAGUCUCCUUCAUUCUUUACCCUCACAAAUGCGAUCAAACUGGACAGAUCUAACUAUACGAUCUGGAAAUCUCAGAUCCUCUCUUCAAUUCGUGCCAAUGGACUUGAAGGCUUUCUUAAUGAAACUAAAUUUUUUCCAGAUCAGUUACUUACUCAAGAGAUUGAAAGUUAUGGUGUUGAAAAUGUUGUUGGUGAAAGCUCAGCUGAUAGAUCUCAGGAGAAUCCAGCCUUUGUUGCUUGGAAAAGGUAGGAUCAAUUGUUAUUAAGUUGGCUCAUGUCCUCCAUCAGUGUUGAGAUACUUAGUCUUGUGGUAAAUUCUGAUUCUUCUAAUAAACUUUAGACUAAUCUUGAAGAAAAUUUUUGUAUUAGAAACUAUGGCUAAGAAAGCACACUUAAAAAUGAUGUUAAGCAAUCUCAGAAAGGGAUCAAUGACAAUAACUGAGUAUUUUGCCAAACUUAGAGCUGUAACUAAUAAACUUGCUCUAACUGGUAGCCCUGUUUCUACUCUAGACUUUAUUACUCAUCUAAUCUCUAGAUUAGGCCAGCCAUACUACCCUGUUGUUUUGUAUAUUGAAGCUAAUAUGAUGAAAAUAUUUGUCAAUGAAGCCUAUUCUAUGCUUUUAACUCAUGAAGCAAGAAUUAAAUUUAAUCAUCCGAGUGCAAAUAAAGAAGCAAAGUUGAAUUAUGCUGCUAACAUAGCUUAGGCUGGACCUAGUAAUAACAAUAAGAAGUCUAGUAAUCAAGCUAAUUACUAUCAGGGCAACCAAGGUAACUGGAAUAGAAAUGCUAAUUGGUGUGGUAACAAUGGAGGAAGAGGUGGCUUUGGCAGAGGUUUUUCAGGGCAAGGAAGGGGUAAUUAGAAUAAUGGUGGUCAUUGGAACAAUGGACCUUGGAGUAGUAGUCGAGCAGGUUAUAAUUGUUCUGAUAUAAACAUUAUGACAUGGUUGCUGGUGAACCUGUAAACAUAACCACAAAAGUAAGAAGGCAUAAUCUUUUUAUAAGAAACUCAAAAAUGUAUUAAUGAUGAAAAUUUUAAAACAGAUAGUGGACCAACUGUUCACUAGGAAAACAAAAAACUGAAUAUUUGUGCUAUAAAAAGGUCACACCCAAUCUCACCCCUAUAAAAGGCUAGAAUCAGCUACAAAUCCCUAUCUCAAAACCCCAUCCCAGUUUAGAUGAAUGAAGAAAAAAGAUGAAUCUUGAAACUCCUUAGAAACUGAAGCCCAAAGUGAAGCAAGAAGAUGAACUCUAUCCCAAGCAAGCAAUAUGGCAUAUUUCUCCAUUAAUGGUUCAAAUAAAGUGAAUGGCUUUCUCUGAUGAAUGGGAAAUUGUCAAGAUCAAUAGUCAAACUCACGCAAAGUAAACGGACUUAAUUCUCAGGGGCUACUCAUUCUAAGUCUUAAAGAAUUUUUUUCUAAUUUCUAAAGAUAAUAUGGGGAAAAAUCAUUAUUUUCUAACAUGAAAAAUUUGAUAUAGUGUUUAAUGUCUGACCACAAUGAUAAUAUGAGUACUAACAAAAACAUCUUUUAUCAGCAUGUGCGAGUAAAACACCUUUGCAAUCCAUAAAUGUAAGACGCCGCCUGGAGACUGGAGUCAUCGAAUUUUAUAUGUCAAAAGCGCGUUUCAGUUCAAUAAGCCAUAAAUGUCGUUUAAUAUGCUCAUUUUGUACUUUUUAUAUAAAAAAAAUUAUUUAUUUUUUUUAAUAUUGUUUAUUUAUUUAAAUUUUUUUUAAAGCUAAAGAGGUGGGUAACAUCUAAAUUCAAUUUUUAUCCCUUAUGUCCUGACCCUAAGAUUUGAACUAAGGUGAAUAGCCAAAUGUAUAAUAACAGGUAUUUCGAAUUUCAUUUUAAAUGAUAUGCAAUUCAUUAAGUGAUUGUUAAUUUUUUAUAAGAUCAAAAUGAAUUAAUUGUAUUAUCUUACUAACUAAUUGAUGAGUGCCCUAUUAUUUGGGAUAACUUUUGAAUAAAAAAAUUUUGAUGGAUGAAAUAUUCUUUUGAGAAUUUAUUGACUUAUCUCAUUUAUGACUUAUUGUUGCAUUUAAGUGAUAUUGCAAAAAUUAUUUUGCAAUAAUAUUAUUGUUUUGACGAGUAAGUUUGGAGUAAAUAAUACAUAUGGCAAGUAAGAGGUUCGUUAUUGCAUUUAUUUUGCGGACCUAUUUUAAAGCCAAAAAAAGACAUUUCGAUUCAUUAUGAUUCCAAAUAAUUUCAAGCCAUAUGUCAUUAUUGGGAUAAAAAUAAAGUAAAAUGGUUAAAACUAUUUUUAUGUAAUUUAUAAAAAUUAAUGAAGCAACUGCACAAUUUUUUAACACGAAAAACAAUUGAAAUGUGUGUGGAAAAAGAAGAAAAAAAGAAGGCAUUUAAAUAUCUUUAAAAAAAAUAUGAUUGAGUAAAAUCAUUUUACAGAAUGCUCUUCCAAAUGCAAUUCCACUUUUUUUUUUAAUUGCAUUGGGAUAUUCCAAAAUUGGCACAAUUCAUUAAGAAUUCGGCAACUCAAAUUUUAUUUAUCUCUCUAUGCAUUUGACAAAUUAAAAAGAAAAAAAAAAUCAUAUAUCUUCUGUUCAAAAGAAACCUUGGUAAAUAUUGUAAAACAAAUUACCAAUUUUUUUAAUUUAUGCCAUUAUAUCGUCGCUAUUUUCUCGCCCACUUUCUAUCAAAUGAAAAUGUAAUUAUAUGGUUCAGGAUACCAAUAUGCCGGAGCUGCAAAGGUUGACUUCCACUAUGCUAUCAAUGUCUAUACUUUCUAUUGAAUUUCCUUGUUUUUUUUUUAAAUUGCGAGAUUUAUUUUUGGAAAUCUUUGACACAUUUUAUGUAAGAUACCAUAAAGCCAAAUACAACCUUUUUUAUUCUCAGCAGCAACUUUUUUUUUUCCUUUUAAAAAAAGGAAGCCAUAUAAAUAAUGCUUAAAACAUUAUUUGCAACAAGGAACAAUUAUUUCAUGCUUUCACAGAAUAUGUACUGCUGUUAGCCCGAUUGUUAUGAAGUGGCUUCUGCAUCAGAAGAUUCCAGCUCCCACCAAGCAUUGUUAUCUCUAUUCUAAAUACAAUCUACAUCGCUGGGCAUGAGUUAUAUCAUUAAUGUCUACAUCCUCACUUACAUCAUCCCAAUCAAGUGCUUUUUCUCCACAUCUGGAUUAUAAGCCCACUCCAAUCUCUUCAAAACAUCCCAGUCCUUCCAUCACAACUGAUACGACUUCCUUCCUUACUUCCCCAUUAAUAAAUCGCUCCGAGAAAAAAAAAAAAAAAAAAAAAAAAAAAGCAUUAGCAAUUCUCUUCAACGCCCCAUCAUUCAUAUCCCCUACAACAACCAUCUUCAGACACCUCAACGUUGCCUCUUGAAAGACCUCCACAAAAUCCAAAUCAUCCGACACAACCACCAAACACCCAAACCUUCUCUUGUCCACCAUAUCCACCAUAUAAUUCCUCAACAAAACAUCGGCAUCUUGUGGCUUAUCUAACACCAUCCUGACCCAAAACCAUGCUCUUUUUAACUCAUCUGCAAAACCAUAACCCACUUUUGGAGUCAAAAUUGCGCUUGCAGCCAUUUUAUAUUUUUCCAUCUUUGUUGAAUAGUUGCCAACCAAAAGCACUCUCACCUUCCCUCUAGCUGAUUCUAUUUGAUUCGACCUUUUCUUUUAUUCGCCCUCAUGAAUUUGCUUAGAAUGAUUAACAAGCUUGUCAUUAUUAUAAAAUCUCCUUCCACAAUCACCAAUACAUACGGCUUAGCAGGCCUAAUUACACCCUUGAUUUCUAAUUGGUUAAACAAUUCUCUUUCUUUCUUUGCUCUCUUACAACUUGAGGCACAUAACUAAACUCGUGGCUAUUAGCAUUUGCCACCAUGUAUUUAACAAUCCCAAAUGAAGAUAUUGAUUUUUUUCAGUUUAAUUGCUGCUUCAAAACGGGGUACUGAAUUUGGAUUUUGUUAUCCAAAUACCAAAAAUUUCCCACAUUGUGUUGGACAGUUUUUGGUUCUAAAGUUGAUGACUGGUUUUGCGAAUCAGGCUUCAAAUGAGAACUUCUAAACAAUAAGACAAAUGGGUUUUUGAGUUUCUAAUCUUGUAAACUUUGUUCUAUUGUAUAAGUUAUGAAAUCGCUGAAACAUCACUACAGCUACAGGUCUUUAUGUGUCAAUGAACUGCAGAAGCUGAUGAUCUACCUGUAGCAGACUUCUAUUGUCCCUGCCGUUCUAGGAAGACAAACAAGUUCAGGAACUACUUCUGGACCAAACUCAUAAUAUUGUCACUGCUUUGUGACAAUCUGAGAGGGAAAGCAUAUUGAAGUUCCUAAAUAAGGCACAUCAUGAUUUGACAGAAGUACCACUAUGAGGAACAAUUGAUUUCAGGAAAGCACUAAAAUAUGACAUAAUCUGCCCCUAAUGGUCUAAAGUAGUCAAGAAAUUAUAUCAACCAAGCAAAAACACAUAUACUAGUUGAGAUACAAAGUUAUUGUAAAAGUCAAUUUUGAUCACAAAUCCAUUAAAAUUAAAAGACAUCAGAAAGUUAGAGAACAUUAUAAUUUAGGACUCAGCUAAGUUGCAGAUUCUGUAACUAACAGCUGAGUCCACAUUGGUCUUGCAUCAGCUGAGUUUGGGUUGCUUUUCCUCUCUCCUGCAACGCGUACGUGGAAGCGCCCCAUUUGUUGUGUUAUAUACCGAGUCGGUACCGUAACAAGCUCCUAUAAUUUAAGUUUGAUUACUGUAGACAAUAGUCUGCCUCUGCUCAAAAGCUAUGCUGCAAGAUCUAACAUCUUUGCAAUGUUAUACUUUCUAAAAGUAAUAAGAAAUGAAACCAAGGGGUAAAUCGAACACCAAAAGAAAUUUAGUCGGGAAACCACAUUAUGUUCCCACACAGUCCACUAAUUAAGUUAAUAAUUAAAGGGAAUCAAAAUCUAAGAAAUCUCAUCUUCAAGCAGAAUACAAACACACCGCGAUUGAAAAUCACAAAUUCAUAAAAAGAAGCUGACUUGAAAAGCUCAAAUAUACGUUCAUCAGCCUCUCAACUUAUAUCUAAGAACAAAUGCCUGCAGCCUGUGAAGACAUAGAUAAUUGAAGCUGAUGAGGCAUAUUUAACAGAUGAUAAUCAAAACUCGUGUGGUUAAAAUUACAAUUCAAUAAUGGAGCACAUAAAACAACAACUAGUUGUAUAUAUACCAAACAACUUUCUGAAGUUAAGCCGUAAAACAAAAACAUAGAACAAAUUAAUUAAAUAUACCAGCACCAAUACUCUUAUUAUUAUCCACAUAGAAAAGAACAAUGUAUCAAACAAGGAAAAUGAAAUAUUGUUAAUAACUCAAAAACCACUAGUGUCAAGAACUAGACUAAUAAGUGAAACCCAUAAUCAGACACAACCACAUCAAAAUCUUUGAAAAUUGAGAUCUUUGAAAAUUGAGGUCUAAACAUUGAAAACAAUUAGACAUAUAUAACAGUCAAUCGAAACAAAGCCUCAAAAUAAUAAUGAACUACAAUAAGACAGAAACUAAAUUGUAAACAACCGCAUACCCAGUAACAGUAAUCAAGUAACAAGUCAAAACCAGAAUCAAACGUAGAAUUUUGAAAUCCAUACGAACUCUAACGUAUUAGAAUGAAAGAAUAAGGACGAUCGAUAAACUAGACUCAAACAAAAACAUGCCCAGUUAAAAAAUGAAGGUAAAUAAAUAAAAAUGGUAUAAAACUACGAAAAAAAUUAAUGAAAUGAAGAGAAAAUCACAGGAAUCCUAUGAAGAGGAAGGUAAACGAAACCUUCGGGACCCGAGAAGAUGCCUUUUUUGUUGACGUUUGUGCCUAUACAUAUAUAUAUUUUUUUAUUUUGAAGAAAGUAUUGGUUAACAAAACGAAAUAUUAAUAAUAGAUGCUGGCAAUUUCAACAAGGACAAUCUUCGAUUCAAAUGUACCCCUAUGAUAAAGAAAAAUCUUGAGCACCACAUUACAAGAUCUAGGUGUAUGUAACCAUGCAAAAUGAAACAUCUAUUAAUUGUAAGUCCCUUGACCUCUGGAACCAGCCAACCGGUCUCUUUCCUACUAGACAACCUUCCAUGGAUCAGACUAAUAAUAUUUACUAAAUCAUGUUCUACAGUUAAUGAAGUUGGACCCAAGGCAAUUGUUAGAAGUCCGCCUAGACAUAGAGUGCGCUUAGAAGUGGGAUGCUUAGAAAUGGACCGCCAACACAACCAGCCAACCGUAGUGUGCUUAGCAAAUCACCCAAGCCCGGCCCAAGAUCUAGAACUAUCUACAAAUUGUGAAUAAGUUAAAAGUUUCUAAGUUUCUCCACAUAGGUCCCUAGGAUAUUUAUGGAAGUUGCUAGGAAGUUUCCUCCCCUAGAACUCUAAUACCUAUAAAUAGGGGUGAGCCCCCUCAUUUGCCCACCAAUCACACCACACACACAAACACUCCUGCACACACACAAGCUCUCUAGCUUUUGUAAAAAGCACUCUUGUAUAUUCUCUCUUUGAGAGUAAUAAAAUCAUAUUCAGCCAUAUUGCUCUACUUCUCUCUACCAUUUUCCGCAAGUGUUCUUGCUUCGCUAGUUUGAGGAGUGUUCUAGGCUUGCUUUGCAACUUGUUUGCUACAAGGACAUCUUGUUCACAAAACAUGGACAUGCAAGGAAAAAAAAAUAUUGAUACAUUCUAAAAAUAAUACGCAUUCUUCUACAGUGAACCAAAAAAUUUAGGCUAAUGGUAGCAAGUGAAGGAAUUGUGAUUUCACGUGCAUUUUGUUGACAUGAACGUAAAGAAAUUUUUUAUAGUUUAUAUUGUUUAAUAUAACAUUUGAAUUGCAAAAUAGGGGUACAAAAUGGAUACACGAAGUGAUAAAACUAAGCUCAUUAUGAUAAAUAUUGAAUUAUAAGAUUUACGUUUAAUCAUAAAGACAUAAGUGGCGCACAAAGUCACGAAUUAUCAUCCAUGAUGCAAGUUCAAAUAACUACAUAAUAAGUUGCCCCAAGCUAAACUAUUAAUCUAGUAACUAUUCCAGUCAAUGUGGGAUAAUUUUCCUAUCACCAUCUAUCACGUGCAAGCCGAAUUUGUUGCUUGGUCCUUACAUGUGGUAAGGUAAUAUGAAUCCACUUGUGCAUAAAUUUGCCUCCGAUAUUAUAUAGAAGCCUAUGACCCAAAAUUAUACUUAAAGGUUAUUUCAAGAUUUGAGGGUUGCCUCAAGCUAAUAUUAUUAUUAGCCUGGUAACCUUUUUUUUUUGUUGAUAUGUGAUAUUUUCCGUAUAACUUUUAUUAAUCUUUAUGCUUAUGUUUUGUCAUUUAUCCCAAAAUAUAACAUUAACAAAAGUUCCAAAAUUUCCUUCAAGAGAUAUAUUUGAGACAAGUAAUUUGUGCAAUAACUUUGUGAAUUGAUGAGCAAAUUCAGAGAAAAGAAUAUAUGUGCCAAACGUAACGUUUAUUAUUGUGUUUAUUUGUAGAGCUAUUUAAAGCCCAAAAAAAAAAAGCACCGGUCCGCUGUGAUUUCAAAUAAGUUCAAGCCCUAUGUCAUUAUUGGUACAAAAAUGUAUCAGAAAGAUUAAAAACUAUUUUUAUUUAACUUAUAAACUUAGGAAAUUAUCAAUUGUCCGCCCUUAAAUUGCGCUAUUAUAAAAAAUAUUACAAUAUUUUCAGGUUGUAUAAUUCAUCUACCAUAAAUUUACAAUCUGCAUCAUUUAUCCACCAAAUCAUUAACUUCGUUAAAAAGUGAUAGACGUCACAAGGGUAAUUUAGACAUUUAACACAAAAAAAAAUAAAAGAGAAAUUAUCUAAGCUUACCAUGUUAUCAAAAUUGCUACAAAAUUUUAAAUUUGUUCAAUUUUCCAAUCUAAGUUUAUGACCUCCAAGAUGUUAAUUGCAGUUUGUAAUUAAUGAGUUCAUAAGGAUAAUUUAGACACUCAAUAUGCAAAAUAAAAAUAAACUAAUGGCUUAAAACAUUAAAACAAAAAACUACUUUUUAUAAUUGAUAUUCAAUUAAAUACACAUAAACUCUAUUUUUUUCUUAAUUAAAAAUAUUCUAAUUUAUUUUCUCAAUUUAUCAUCAUAAAUUUACAUUAAUAAACUAAAUCCACAAAUUACCCUAAACCCUAAUUCAUAAAUGCCCAAUCAAUCUAAUAGUUUAAUUCGAUUUCAUAAUUAAAAAAGCUAAAUUUAUUAUAUUAGUUAUGGUGCAAAGUAAACAAAUGCCCUUAAAUUCAAGGGUAAAAUAACAUUUUAUUUAAAUUCUAUAAAUUAUUCUAACAAUGUUAACAUUUUGGUGGACGGCUAAUAUAAGUUACAAACUUAAAAUAGAAAAUCAAAUAAAUUCAAAAUUUCAAACUAUUUAGGGCAAAUUUAGGAUAUAUGGUUAAUAAUUUUCCCAUGUCUUUUUACAUUGGUUGAUAUAAAUUACAAACUUAAAAUAGAAAAUCAAAUAAAUUUAUAUUUUCAAACUAUUUAGGACAAACUUAGGGUAUAUGGUUAAUAAUUUUCUUUUAUCUUUUUACGUUAAAUUGAGUUUCAAAUGUAAAAUGGUCAAUUUAUUAUAACUCUGUUAAUUUUUUAGUGGAAGCAAACGAUAUAAUGGACGAAUGAUAUAAAUUGUAAAAUUAAGGUGGAUGAAUGAUACAACUUUAAAGUAUUGUAGUAAUUUUAAUAAUAGAACAAUUUAAGGGUGGAUUGGCAAUAAUUUAAACUUUAAUGAAGCAACUAAAAAAAAUUUUAACAAAAGAAAAAUAAUUGAAAUGCUUUAAGAAAAAUAAAGGAAAAUAAAUAUCUUUAUAAAAACAUAAUUGAGUAAAAUCAUUUUACAAAAUGCUCUUUCAAAUGCACAUUCCACAAGCCAGGGAGAACGGGUGGCUAACAAAAAUCUCACUUUUUAUGAGUUGAUAAAAUCUCACUUUUGCAGAAUCCAAAAAUAACCAAUACUAAUCACACAAAAAAAUAAAAAUUAUUGCUGUCACGACAUUACACACUUUCUUCGCUGUCUAGAAAGGUAGAACAUUUUGAUGUUCCUCAAUACAAAAUGGGUGCUACUACUAAAUUGGCACGAUUAAUGCCCAUCGAAAAGGCCAUCAAUUUAGCCAGCAAUUUUGUCAAAAUUUCAACAAUUGAAGAAAUCUUGAGAUACAUACAACAAAGUCUUGAAACUUUAGUCUUCACAAUUUGAGCACGCACUAAAUAUUAACCAUCCAUCUGCAGAGCAAGUAUAGAACAAAGCUUG
rnacentral:lncRNA from 1 species